rnacentral:lncRNA from 1 species
GUGUUUCCAACCCUAGCACAUGACAAGCAUUCCAAGACCCUUGCUGCUUGUUUUGCAGGAAAAGGAAAAAAAGGUUCAGCGGAUUCGAAGUAUAUUUCAUCGCCAGUUGUCUGUUCCCCUUGCUAACUCAAGUGCAACUCUUCUUGCCUACAAGUCUUGGGAGGUCGAACAGGGGGCUGUCCUUGAUGUUGAAUCUAGUAAUCUAGAUGGGAUUUCUUCUAAUGUUGCCUCAGCAUACCAAAAGGCAUUGGAGAUGUGUAAUGCACGAGCUCAUGUUGAAGAGCAGAUUUCUAGGCAGGAUUUAUCUGACUCAGAGAAAUUUCAACAAUACAUGGUAGAUGACUUUACUAUCGUCAUUUGAUAGCUUUUUAUAGUAAGUGAAAUCUAGCCCUAAAAAUUUUAUUAAUAUGAAUUUUUUUUUCGGGGAUUUCUUCUUAUGGCAUUAUUAUUUUGCUUUUGUGUAGCUAACAAUUAAUAUCUGCACUUUAAAUAUUAUCUACUGUUUCUUACCAAAUAAUAGUAAUAAUAAUAAGUAAUAAAUAAUUAAUAUCUGCAUUGUCAAAAAAAAAAAUAAUAAUGUCUGCUCUUUUUACUCUGGGGGGCAUGCAGUGUCAUUAUCUUCCUUCUUCUCCUUUUUCUAUUUUGUGCUUUCAAGUUUAAUAUUAUUAUAUUAAUCUGUUAUUGUUGUAGAUAUACUUGAAGUAUGAGCAAUCUUCUGGAGAUCCUGGUAGAGUUCAACUUCUUUAUGAACGGGCUAUUACCGACUUUCCUGUAUCAAGUGAUCUCUGGCAUGAUUAUACUCGUUAUCUUGACAAAACAUUAAAGGUUUAUCCUUCUAUUUUCUAUUUUACUUCUUCUGUUGCAGCUAUUUGUAUACUAAUCGACUCUCCUCUUCAGGUAGGUAAUGUAGUGAGAGAUGUUUAUUCCAGGGCUACAAAAAAUUGUCCCUGGGUAGGAAAACUUUGGGUACGAUCUUUGCUUUCUCUGGAACAUGGCCGUGUUUCUGAGGAGGAGAUAUUCACUGUAGGUUUAAUUGUUACCCUUCAUUCUGAGCUUAAUCAGUUUUCCUGAAUGUAAUUGAUUUUGAUUGUUUGAAGUUAAAGAAAUGAUCAGCUUCCUAGGCAAAUUUCUUGGCAAGCACUUGAUUUUGGGAGUAACUGAGGAGAAGCAUUCCCUAGUGUUUUUUUGUUUUUCUCCUCCCCUAAAAUUGCAAUAUACUUCCCUUGAAGAGUAUUUUUUGCUUUAGCAUUUACACAUCUGUACAGAAGCAAACAUGAAUCAGAGAGAUUUAGUGGGCAAAUUCACCUGUGCUGAAAAAUUAAUGCAUAUUAAAUACCGCGGUGGUUGUUGGAAUGCUCCAAAAAGUGUUUUCUUGGUGCUUCUGCUCCUUUUGCACUUUAAUAUCAUUUUAAUAACUGGGUUGUUUAAAUGUCCUGUACUUAUUUUCUUUACAAAUGUCUUUGUAUUUUUUUUAAAUUUAUAAAAGAUUGUUCUAAUUAUAUUAAUAGCAACAAAUUGCACAAACUCAAAUCUUAACUUCAUUCUGCCCCUAUUACAUAUAUACGGGAUUCUCCUAUUAUUUCAUCAAAUUUUCCAUUACUAAUUUCAGGUCUUUGAGAAGUCACUACUAUGUACUUUUUCAACCUUUGAGGAGGUAGAGAUAUAAAUUUAUGUCUUCUGUACAUACCUUGGUUUCUUGAGCUGUAUGAUUUGGUAUAUAUCUACUUCUGAUUCAUCAUGCAUUUUUUUGUUAACUGGUUCUUUUUUGUUUCAGUGCCUAGAUCUAUUCCUUACUUGAAUAGAUGGUUUGAGGCAGAGAAUUUUAUUCUCCGGUGAAGUUGAGGGCGCCGUGGAUUAUUCAUUGAUAACGGAAACCUUUCAGGUUUGUAAACUUACACUGUUGCCUAUUCAAUAUUAAAAUUGGUUUUACUCCUUAAUAUCAAGAAAUUGAAGCUUCCCAAAUCAUACCCAAGAAAUGCUCUAUUGUGGAUUACUGGAUGGAGCUAGUUGCUAGAUGAUACCUUUAAGAUUCAAGACAUAUGUUGUUUUGUGUAUGGCUAUCAAGUACUUUGGCCUGCAAUUGUGGCAUAUUGGUCUUACGCUAGCAUCAGGUAUAACAUUGUGUCUGGCAUAUAUACCAUUGGAAUUCUGGGUUUCUGUUGAAUGGGCUCCAACAGCUAUAUCUGUGUCCAAUGUUGUGGGGUCCUCUUCUUUGGUGCUUUUAAGUGAAGUUUUAAGUUUCCUUGUCAAAAUUUUGUUACAUAUCAAGUAGAAGGCACUGCACUGAAGCAUUGGUACUUCUAGAUUGCUUGUUCUGCAUGGUAGAUUUCAAUCCAUUGCUUUUAUUUCUUGGAUCAUGUUUAUCAUUGAGGACUUUCCUGGCCAGUGAUAUAGCUGACUGGUGCUACCAUCAUCAUUGGUAGGGCAAAAAAGUCAAUUCCUAUGGGAUGCUUUCUGACUUAGAGAAGAUGUCUUCAAGAAUUUGUGGAUUUAAGUCCUCACAUGAUGUUCAACUCUUGAUAGUCUAACCUUGGUACAGGAUUUAUAGCUGUCUUCAAAGUUUGUGCUCAUAAAUGAGUAACCUGUCUGGCUUUAUGAUACCAGUUAAAUUUGUUAGCUUUCUGGGAUUUGGAGGUUGUAAAUGUCCAUAAACAACAAUGUCUUCUCUUCCUUACAGCGUGCAUCAGAUUACUUGUCAGAACAGAUGAAAAAUACCAAUGGUUUGCUGCGUUUGUAUGCUUAUUGGGCACGUCUUGAACAAAGUAUGGGAAAAGAUACGGUUUCAGCUCGUAGUGUCUGGGAGAGGCUACUUAAGAUCAGGUUCACCAAUUUUAAUUUUUGCCAGUACAUACAUAGCAAAAUUUCUUUAUAUCUAUAUAUUUUCGGAUAACUUGUGCUUCUCUUAAUGCAGUGGUACAAUGUUGGAAGCCUGGGAAAGUUAUAUAUCUAUGGAAAUUGAAUUGGGUCAUAUUAAUGAAGCUAGAUCCAUCGACAAGAGAUGCUACAAUAAAAGAUUUACAAGGACAGGUUCAGAGGUAAAUUUCUUUUGUCCAGCUUCUUUAAUUAAUAUUAACUGCUUAACAACGUACCUUGUUGUUUCCAUCUUGUUUGUUUAACUGGUCUUAUUUGUAAACACCUGAAAUCAUACAUCUUAAUUUCUGAUAAUUAGAUGUUAUUUUAGAUAUCUGUAUCUGUUAACGUUCUUUCAAGUCUGAUUCCAAUGCAUAUUUAGUUAAACUGCUCUUUACUGCAUUUUGGAUUAGUUGAUAUUGUGGCAGAAUUUGAAAAAAUAGAGUUAUCCUUAUCUGGUGGUUGUUUUACAUGAUAUGUUCUAUCUACUUAUUUUUUGUUUUUAUCCCUAGAAUAAAGGACUUUGCUAAGAUAAGACUUCUAGUCUAUGUUAGCUUCAAGCCUAUAUAUAAUCUUGUAGUUUGAUUAAUAAAGGUAAUAUGAAAGUGCAGUGUUUACUGUUUCCUUCCUAUAUUUUGUUACAUGGUAUCAGAGCUAGGUAUUAGUUGAAGGAAACCAUGGUAAAAACAGCCAUGACUGGCACAAGUAGGAGUAUUGACUCUUCCGAAUCUGCUGAAACAUCUCAGAUUCCUUCUCUGUCAACUCCUACAAUUGUUCACACUGCAAUUACUGAAAAUACAUCACUUCAAAUUACAUCCCACAAACUCAACGGAAAGAACUUUCUCCCAUGGUCUCGUUCUGUUCAAAUGGUAAUUCGAGGGUGUGGAAAACUUGGCUAUCUCCUUGGCCAAAAGCAAAGGCCAGAUGAAAAUGAUCCUGCAUUUCAAACAUGGGAUGCUGAAAAUUCUAUCGUUAUGGCAUGACUGGUUAACUCAAUGGAACCAAACAUCGGGCAGACAUAUUUAUUUUACCAAACAGCUGCUGAACUGUGGGAGGCUGUCAAAGAAACUUACUCGGAUUUGGAAAAUUCAUCACAGCUGUUUGAAUUGAGGAAUAUGGCUCGUAACUUGAAACAAGGUGAUAUGGAUGUAACCCAUUAUUUUAACUCUCUGAAGAAUCUUUGGCAGGAAUUAGAUCUAUUCAAUGAGUGUGAAUGGAGGUGUAUUGAUGAUGGUGCUCAAUACAAAAAACUGGUGGAUAAAGAUUGAAUUUAUGACUUUUUGGCUGGUCUUAAUAAGGAGCUUGAUGAUGUUCGUGGUCGUAUACUUGGCACUAAACCAUUACCUUCCAUCCGAGAAAUCUUUGCUGAAGUCAGACGAGAAGAGAGUCGUAAACGGGUCAUGCUUGGGGAGCCAAAAUCACUUACAGCACCUGAAAUGUCUGCUUUGGCUGUUCAGGGAUCUAAUAAUUCCAACAAAGGUGGCCAGUUGUGGUGUGAUCAUUGCCACAAACCGAACCACACCAAAGAGCGUUGUUGGAGGCUACAUGGUAAACCAACAAAUUGGAAAGACAAUAGAGGCAAUAAGCGAAGUCCAAAAGGAUUUCAAUCUGCAACUGGCACUGAUCAAAGUGUUCCAAAGGAAGGUGUAAGCAGUGUGAUUCCAUCAUUUACCAAAGAACAACUUGAGCAGUUUCAAAAACUUUUAACUCCUAUUCCUUCGUCCUCUUUGCUGGCCCAAAAAGGUAUUUUCCAGAUCCCAACAGUUUUUCAUGCUUCUGCCAAGGUUCCAGAUCCCUGGAUCAUUGAUUCUGGCGCCACAGAUCACAUGACAGGCUGCAUUCAUUUUUUCUCUUCUUAUACUCCUAGUCCAGAUCAUUUUAAAGUAAGGAUAGCUGAUGGUUCACUUUCAGUUGUUGCAGGGAUGGGCACUAUAAAGAUUACUCCUAGCAUAAUUCUCAAAUCAGUUCUCCAUGUUCCUAAAUUAUCUUGCAAUCUACUCUCUGUCAGCCAAAUCACUAAAGAUCUUAAUUGUGUUGCUAAUUUUUCGCACUCCUCUUGUGAAUUUCAGGACCUAAUUUCGGGGAAGAGGAUUGGCAGUGCUAGGGAACAUGGGGGACUUUACUAUUUUGAGGAUUUCAACAUGAAUAAACAAGCUCAUACUGCUGACUGUGGAUCUCUUUCUAUGUCUAGGGAACAAAAAAUAAUGUUGUGGCAUCGUAGGUUAGGUCAUCCUAGCUUUCCAUAUUUAAGAAAUUUGUUUCCUGAAUUAUUUCGUAAUAAAAAUUCUCUUAUGAUUCAUUGUGAAGUAUGUCAAUUGGCUAAACAUCAGCGUUCCUAUUUUCCUUCUCAAUCAUACAAACCUUCCAAACCUUUUGCAAUGAUUCAUAGUGACAUAUGGGGACCUUCUCGUGUCUCAAACCUUACGGGUAUAAAAUGGUUCAUUACUUUUAUUGAUGAUCACACACGAAUCUGUUGGGUGUAUCUAUUAAAGGAUAAAUCUGACGCAGCACAAACCUUUAAAAAUUUUCACUCCAUGAUCCAAACACAAUUCCAAACCAAAAUUCAGAUUUUACGUACUGAUAAUGGUAGAGAAUUUUUUAACACUUCUCUUAGUCAAUUUCUUUCACACCAUGGGAUUAUACACCAAAGUUCUUGUGUUUAUACUCCACAACAAAACGGUGUCUCCGAAAGAAAAAAUCGUCAUCUACUUGAAGUAGCACGGUCUCUUAUGUUCACUACCAAUGUACCUAAACAAUUCUGGGGAGAUGCUAUUCUUACGGCAUCGUACUUAAUUAAUCGCAUGCCUUCUAAGGUUCUUAAUUACCAAACUCCACUUAACAUGUUUCUCCAUUAUUAUCCACACACUCGAGUAUGUAUGGAUCUGCCACUUAAAGUCUUUGGUUGUACUUCCUUUGUCCAUGUCCAUAGUUUGGCUCAAACAAAGCUAGAUCCUAGAGCUCAUAAGUGUAUUUUUUUAGGUUACUCAGCCACUCAAAAAGGUUAUCGAUGUUAUUCUCCUGAACAGCACAAAUAUUUCAUUUCUAUGGAUGUUACCUUUUUUGAAACUCACCCUUUCUAUGCCCAGAAUUCCCUUCAGGGGGAGAGUUCUAAUGAAGGGAAUUUUUGGGAAGCGUCCUUACCAUCUCCAACUUUUCCCCAGUCUUCAGAAUUGUUAUCUCCACCUAAACUCACUGCUGUUCAGCCGUGUCAGUCUCAAUCAGAUUUGUCUUCAUCAGAAACAACUCAAAAUUCAUCUCAGCCAAUGAAGUCUACUAAUGAUGAAAAUUUCAGGACAAGGGGAGAAACACAGCAACAACAAGAGCUACGUGUUUAUUCACGACGGAAUAAUCCGCAAAGAGUUGAGGAACCUGUUCACCGACAGCACUGUCAAGAGACCGAACUGAAUGAAGGUAUACAGCCUCAAAAUACUGUUCUUAAACCUGAAAUUGCUGAUCUUGAUAUUCCUAUAGCCUUAAGAAAGGGGAUUAGAUCUUGUGCUCAAUAUCCUAUUUCUAAUUAUGUGACCUAUGACCGACUGUCACCUUCUCUUCGAGCAUUUGUUACUAAUCUUUCAGGUGUACAAAUUCCAAAGAAUAUUCAAGAAGCGUUAGAAGACUCGAAGUGGAGACAGGCUGUUAUGGAGGAGAUGAGUGCUCUAGAAUAGAUGGGAACAUGGGAGCUGGUACAAAAACCAAAAGGAAAGGUUCCAGUGGGUUGUAAAUGGGUUUUUACUAUCAAGUAUAGGUCUGAUGGAUCAAUAGAGAGGUAUAAGGCACGACUAGUAGCAAAGGGGUUCACUCAAACAUACGGGAUUGAUUACCAGGAAACAUUUGCUCCAGUCGCUAAAUUAAAUACAAUUCGAGUUCUAUUAUCCUUGGCUGCAAACUUGGAUUGGCCACUUCAACAAUUAGAUGUUAAGAAUGCUUUUCUUAACGGAGACUUGGCAGAGGAAGUUUACAUGGAGUUGCCACCUGGAUUUGAUAAGGAAGGAAGAGGACUAGUGUGUAAAUUGAAAAAAUCACUCUAUGGACUGAAACAGUCACCUAGAGCUUGGUUUGACAGAUUCUCUAGGGCUAUACGACAGCAAGAAUACAAACAAGCUCAGACAGACCACACGUUAUUUUAUAGACAUAAGGAUGGUAAGAUUACUGUUCUUAUUGUUUAUGUUGAUGAUAUAAUAUUGACUGGGAAUGAUAUUGUUGAAAUAAAGAGAUUGAAGAAAAUACUUGCAACAGAAUUUGACAUAAAGGACCUUGGAUCCCUAAGAUACUUUCUAGGCAUGGAAGUGGCAAGAAAUAACACAGGCAUAUCUGUUUCUCAAAGGAAAUAUGUUAUAGACCUUUUGAAAGAAACAUGAAUGAUAGGUUGUAAGCCUGUAGACACACCAAUGGAUGCAAAUUUGAAAUUAGGAGACUUGAAGGACAGUACUCCUGCUGAGAGAGGGAGAUAUCAGCGACUUGUUGGGAAACUCAUCUAUCUUUCCCACACUAGACCUGAUAUUGCUUUUGCGGUUAGUGUUGUAAGUCAAUUCAUGCAUGCUCCAUGCGAGGAACAUAUGGAAGCUGUUUAUCGAAUCCUGAGAUAUCUUAAAGGAACUCCAGGAAAAGGUCUUCUCUUCAAAAAGAAUGAGGCAAGAAGUGUUGAAGCCUUCACAGACGCUGAUUGGGCUGGUUCAAUUAAGGAUAGAAGAUCUACGUCGGGCUAUUGCACAUUUGUAUGGGGGAAUUUAGUAACUUGGAGAAGUAAAAACAAUCAGUUGUGGCAAGAAGUAGUGCUGAAGCAGAGUUCAGAGCAGUAGCUCAAGGUAUCUGUGAGUUGUUAUGGCUGAAACUAUUAUUAGGGGAGCUAAAAAUCGCAGAUAUUCAACCUAUGAAACUUUAUUGUGACAAUAAGGCAGCCAUAAAUAUUUCUCAUAAUCCAGUACAUCAUGAUAGAACAAAGCAUGUUGAGGUUGACCGGCAUUUCAUCAAGGAGAAGAUAGAAGAAGGAGUAAUUUCUAUGACAUAUGUGCCUACAUCUCAACAAACUGCAGAUCUUCUUACUAAAGGAUUAGUCAAACCAGUGUUUGAAAAGUUGGUAGACAAGCUGGGAAUGUUCAAUGUUUUUUGUCCAGCUUGAGGGGGAGUGUGGCAGAAUUUGAAAAAAUAGAGUUAUCCUUAUCUGGUGGUUGUUUUACAUGAUAUGUUCUAUCUACUUAUUUUUUGUUUUUAUCCCUAGAAUAAAGGACUUUGCUAAGAUAAGACUUCUAGUCUAUGUUAGCUUCAAGCCUAUAUAUAAUCUUGUAGUUUGAUUAAUAAAGGUAAUAUGAAAGUGCAGUGUUUACUGUUUCCUUCCUAUAUUUUGUUACAGAUAUCUUCCUUUCCUAAAGACAGAAUCAUUCAGGACAUAUGCCAUGCUUGGCUGCAAUUUGAACGGGAAUUUUGUAAUAAAAUUUUUAAUGAAUUUAUGGGUUUGAUGAGUAAAAUUAGGGGUUCAUAUAGACUCACCCAUAAAUUGAACCCUUAUUAUGUUGAUGCACAACUUAAUUUAACAAAAAUAAUGUUCAAAUUGUCACAAAAUUUGAAAAAAAAAAUCAUACAGUUAAUUUUUCUUCUACUUUACUCCAUUAUUCAAUGGGCAUAUAAUAAAUUAGGAGAGGGGAGAAAUAAAGGGGAAAAUUAGAGUGAUUGUCGCAAUGAUACACUGAUACAAAUGCUUAUGUAUGUGUAGUGUGUGUGUGGGGCGUUCUUUAAUUUGAUAAAAAAUAAAUGCAGUUAUUUGUAGUUUUAAUCAAAAUCGAGGGAUAUAAACAAAAUUUUUACCACUCCAGAGUCCAGACAUGUAUCAUUAUCUGGUUAAAAAAAAAUUGCAUAAAAUUAAAAAACCACUAGUAGCUGAAAGAGAGAAACAAAUUAAGAAAGGGUUCAGAAGAUGGAACCCGAAGAGAAAACCCUAGCAACAAUCCCAGAAGAAGAAGAAGAUGGAGACACGGCCAUGCCCGACGUCAAGAACAACCCUAAACCAACAACAAAAGCCAACUCUUCGGACUCGAGCGAUGCCUCUGACUCGGACUCGGGAAGAUGAAGCAAAACAGAACAUGGAGCUUCAAACCCUAGAGUAUCAGCUAUCCAAUGAACCCUCCAAUUACGACACCUAUGCUCAAGUAACUUCAAUACACAUAUUUAUUGAGUGAUUUUGUGGAUAACCGUUUGCUUGUUCUUUCUUGGGUUGCGAUAAAAAUGGUUUUUAUCUUAUUUUUAUUUUUCAGUAAAUAAAGGUUUUGAGAAAAAUGGGUGAGAUAGAGAAAUUGAGACAAGCUAGGGAAGCCAUGAAUGAGAUUUUUCCAUUGACUCCUGCUAUGUGACAAGAAUGGGCGAGAGAUGAAGCCUCUAUUUCAACUGGGUAUCUGUCAUUUCCUAUUGCAAUGGUUUUUGAUUUUGUGAGCAAAUGUUUUUUUCGCUUAGAGAUAUAGAUGUUUAUGUUAGUUAUUUGCUAAUGUAAGAAGGAACAAAACCUGCUUAAAAGGUAUUAAAGAAAGAAAAAAGGAACCAAUUUGAAGAAGGGGAUACUUGUAGUGGGAGUUCUACUUUGGGGUUUAAUUGAUGGAAAGAAGAAAUAGCUUAUAUGUUUACAGAAUUAGACAUUUGAUCGCUCAGUUAGUUGAGGAAGAUGGUUAAUCACAAUGUCUGAUGUUGUUUCUAUUGGCCUGAGCUAGUUGUUAAGAUUUCAUACUUUCAUUCAACAAUGCAAUAGACUUUGAUUGGGUCCACCGUAGUUGGGUGUUCUAAGGAAUCAAUGAGUGUCUUGAGAAAACUUGGGUGGAGUGCUGGUCAUUUUCAGGAUUCCGUUUCCAAGAAAACAAAAAUGAAGUUGUAGUCUUUUCCUACAGUUUCUUGACAAUCAAACAGCUCAGGAUUAAGUGUUUACUUUUGGUGUAAUUAUUCACUCUAACUCGAAUAAUACUUAGGUUUAGUGCUAACAAAAUAGGAAGUGAAUUAAUAUCUGAAGCUGACUUAGGAGUGGAAUGAAUGUUACCAAAAAUAUACUAUAUGGUAGAUAGAAUUUGCCUUUUAGGUAAGACAAAAAUAAUUACAGCUGUUAAUUUAUUUCAAUAAGUUCGUACAUCAUUCAAUAAUAAGUCCAAGAUUUUAAUGGUUUUGUUUCCUGAAAAUUUGUCACAAGUGCAUGAACAAAGUUCUAUGGAUGAACUUCUCUUAGUUAAUUUGAGUUCAAUGUCGCAGUUCCUCAUAUUAACUAUAUAAAACACUAAUCUUGCUCUUUACUUUGGAGCAUUUUAAUAAAAUUGAUGCUAAUUCCUUAGCCAUUUUAUUCAUCUUGUGCAUAAAUUAUGCAAUCAAUAAGCCAACUCAACUUUCAUCUUUAUUUAGUGAAAAAUUUGCAAGGCCACUAGGAGGUUUUUGUAUGUCUCAUGCUAACAUGGACGCCAUGGUUUCACUAUGUAAAUUUUCCCUACUGAAAUUCAUGAUCCCUCAAAUACCACUCAUCACUCAUGAAGCUGUUUCUGGGACUUUAAAAGCGCCAAAUUUUAGUUUUAUCCUUUCUAGCUUAUUAACCUGUCCGCAUCUGCAUUAUUAUCUUUUCUGUCAUAGGAAAGUUUAAUUUAUCAUCUUCCCAACAUAAACAUCCGUAGGUCAUUGUUGACUUUUUUUUCCUUUAGAUUCAUGUCAGAUUAUGGUUGCUGGAUUUUCUGCUUUGACACUUAUUGUUUCUAAGUAUAGGCUACCAAGGGAGAAAAAAAUUGACAUUGAUGGUCAUCCCCAGCAUGUUUAUCCCAGGAGACUGGUCAUUCAAUUUCUAUGAAGGACUAUAUAGACAUCCAGACUCUAUUUUGAAGGACAAAGCUGUGGCUGAGCUUGGUUGUGGAAAUGGAUGGAUAACCAUUGCCAUAGCUGAGAAGUGGUUGCCUUUGAAGUUUUGUUGGUUUGUCGUCCUUAUGCCAUGUGAGAGCUUUUAUUUCCUUCCCUACCAGUGCCUUCAGGGGCUCCAUCAUGAUUUCUCUCAUCAUUUUCUAUCUGUGUUUUGCAAGGCCAUUUGAUAUUUAUAACAGCGUUGGCACCAGGUUAUGGUGAUUUAAUGCACUCCUAUUAGGAAAAAUUACAUAAUUAUCAACUCUGUCCUUGUCCAAAAGUCUUUGUUGGAGUAUGUUGAAAGUAUAACCUUGUAGCAGUUCUUUUAUGCUGUCUGAAUAUCCUAUUGCAGUUCUAUGGCCUUGAUAUUAAUCCCAGAGCAAUAAAGAUCUCUUGGAUAAAAUUGUACUUAAAUGCAUUAGAUGAAUCUUUUUCUAAGCUUUUCUGUCACUGUCACUGCAAAAGGUCUUUUGUAUUGAGGGUUAUCUGUGGGGCUAGGAAAGAAGGUCAGCCCAUCUAUGAUGCGGUGAAGAAAACCUUACCGGAUAGGGUGGAGUUUGAUGAAUCUGAUCUCCUAGCGUAUUGUAGACAUCAUGACAUUCAACUUGAAUGAAUAGUGGGGUGCAGACCUCAGGUACUCUCACUUUCUGCAACUCAUGAUAUUUCUAGGGGAUUAAUUUUUGGUGAAGUUUGUUUACCCAACAUCAAGUUGGAAUUUUAGUGUGCCCACAUGGAUUACUUUUAACUCCUAGUUUAACUUAUUCUGUUUUCUCCAUGCAGGUUCUCAACCCCAAUUCCAAUGCAAUGUCGAAAAUAAUUACUGAAAAUGCAAGCGAGGAAUUUCUGUAUUCAUUGAGUAACUAUUGUGGACUGCAGGUUGGAAGAUAUUCUAAAUAAUUUAAUUGUGAUGCGCAAUUGCAAAUUGCCGGGAAGUUAGCAAUUAAGUUGACAGGCUUCUUCUGGUUUCACAUAUUUCCAAGCAUACUUGUUAUAACUUUGGUUUGAAGCUUGCAUACCUUAGGUAAGGUUGAUGUCUUUAGUUGGUCAAUAUCAAUUGGGAAAUAUAGCUAACCAGUGAAGACAGUGGGAAAAGGAUGAUGUGACCUCUUCACAAUGCCAUUGAUUCCCAUAGUUCAUGUUGCUAGGUGAACUUAACAACCAUCUCUUAUGCAUAUCUAAUUUUAUUGUGAUUGGUGUAAUGAUCUGAAAGAUUUCUUUUUUUUUUCCUUGGUUUUAUUUAUUUAUUUCCUCGUGUGACCUCUUCACAAUGCCAUUGAUUCCCAUAGUUCAUGUUGCUAGGUGAACUUAACAACCAUCUAUUAUGCCUUGUGGAUAACUGAGAAAAUUUAUUGCUUUUGACAAAUUGCUUUUUGAAAUAGAGUGCAAGUAGAUUGACCAAUAAUUAGAGAAACUUAGGAAGCAAAAAUGGGGGCAAAGCCGAUGGUUUCAAUACAUUGAGAAGAGAGACAAAGCUCUUAGAUGAAGCCAUGGAAUUGCGGAUGAAGACUGCACAAAUAACUAAUUGAUGAACUUCACAAAUAAGUAAUUGAUGAACUUCACAAAUAAGUAAUUGAUGAAACAUCAUGAUCUUCAAUUUAAAUUUAAAUGCAUUUGUUCUAUUAAUCAUGAAGCAUCUUUUAUUUAUGUUUCAAUAAUUUAAGUAUGUCGCAAUUCUACUGAAUGAUCAAUUCGAGACUUGAACUUCAAGUGUUUUCUUUUUUCCCUCCCCAUUUCCCUGUAUGGAGGGUUUCGUGGACGAUCAGUUUGGCUUAGGUCUAAAUGCUGGAGCAGUUAAGGAAUUACUGUUAUCAAAAUAAAGUUUCCUCUCACUCACUAGCCAGUUGAGCAGCUCGUCACCAGUCGGAUUCAUUGCCGAUUGCAGCCCAUAUCCAUUGCUCAUCACUGUUUGGAUUCGUCAGUUCUGUCAUGUCAGUUCAGUAGAUUGUCGCCGCAGUCAUGAUCGGCCUCUUUGUUGUCGUCGAAGAACCAAUCAAUAAUGAUGAAGAUGAUGUUUUAUGACAAUAAUGAUGAUGAUUGAUGAUGAUGAUGAUGAUUACCAUUGUUGAUGAUUAAUAUUAUCGAUGAUGAUGAUGUAGAUGAUGUAAUUGCGGUGAGAUGAUGAAGAUGAAACUGAAUUGUGAUGUUGAUAAUGAAAUUGACAGAAGGAAGAAGAAGAUAAUUGUGGUGAUGAUGAUGAUGUUGAUGGAGAAGAUGAAAUUGACAUGAUUGAUGAUGAAGUAACGAAGAAUUUGUAAAACAGAGAGAGGGAGAGAGAAAAAGGAGAAGAGGAUAAAAAAGAAAGAAUGAAAAAAACAGGAGAGAAAAUAACAAUAAAAACAAAAGAGGAAAAUAAUUAUUAUUGUUAUUAUUAUUAUUAACAAUAACUUUCUUAAUAACCAUAAUCAUAUAAUAGAUAAUAAAAAUAGUGGUAAUAAUGAACUAAGGGUAUUUUAAUAAUUUAUUGUAAUUUUAAAGUAAAUACAUUAAUGAUAAUAUAAUUUAUUUUAAUUUUGAUUCUUAUAGUUGAAGUAAAUAAUUUAUUUUAAUUUUUUAUUUCACAUUUCAAUUUUAGUCCAUUCCGAAUUAGUAAACGCAUCAUAAAAUCGUGUGAUUCUACUCCUUUAUAUGUGAGAUUGAUUUUUUUUCUUUAAGGCCUACGACAUCCCAAUACGUCUAUAUAUGACCAAGCUACUAAGUGGACGGCCAUUAAAAAGGCAUAAAAUUGAAUGGCCGUCUAAUUAAUUCCCCAUGACAUACAGCAAAAAUUUAAGAAGGAACUCCGAUACCAUCAAUUAUGCAUUUUAAUUUGAAGUUGGAAAAUAGUGAAAACAGAAGGUUCGGAUGAUUUAAUUUUAUACGUAUUUAAUCAAGUAAAAAUGGCACCUGCGUUGUAAUUUGCACAGUUAUCUUACUUUGAAUAAUAACAAAGUUCAAAUUUUGUAUUCAGUGAAAAUCAAAUCUAAAGUGAAAAACAGUAGCUAGAAAAAAAUCUAUGUUCUGAUGUCUUAGUUUAUAAGCUCAAACAAUGAAUAGUAUAGAUACAGCGCAUGAUAGAACACAAAACUCAUGUAGAUUUUUAGUUUCGAAAUUCAUUUCAGAAAAUCUGUUCUGUUCAACAGGUUAAAGUAGAUUAUCAACUAAACUCUACCCACAUACUUGCGUACAAUUAGAGCACUAUGUCAACAAAGGAGCACAUCUUUCGGAAGAUAAUUGAAGACUUGUUUGGCAAUUUGAAGAUUACAUCUUUGCUCUGCCAUUGGAAGUAAGCAACUCAGCUGCCCAAAGACCGCCGUGCCAUCAAGACAAUACCAAGAUACAACAUCAGUAAUAAUAACAUCAAGAAUUACAAAGAGGCCGUCACACGUUACACCCACCCCCAAUAAGAAACUAAUUAAUACCGUCUUAGCUCCUCUGUUUUAAAAGAAAUUUACGCACCCAUGCAGUAGGAAUAAUUAAUUAAUUGUAACUGUUUCUAAAAGUUGAUGAGCCCAAAUAUCCAAUAACUGAUAAAUUGUGUUAAGAAAUAGAAAUAUUAAUAGUACUGAUACAGACGCAUGGAAGUCCCCCCUCUUGAGUUUAUGCUUGUUCUUGUCUGCUUGACAAACAAGACAGAGGUGGACUAAGCAUCAUUGGAUAACUUGGGGGAAAAAUAGUGUCCAGCAAAAAGAAUCCAUCGUUAUGUGCUGCUUCCCAUUUAAUUACAUUUAUCUAACAUUUAAAAGAUGGAAGUAGAAAUUAAAACUCUGUUUUUCAGAUAUGGCUCAUAUACAAUGCAAGUAUCAAGAUUUAAUUAGAGUUCAAUAUACAUGCGUCUAGUUUUUUAUUGAGAGAUAAACUAAUCAUAAAUACUCAGGUGUUUCGAAAUGAUUGAAUAAUGAUAUUAUUGUUAUUUAUAAAUUUAUAAGGAUAAAUAACUGAUAGUCCAUCAUAAAUACCGAAAAGGGUCCCCAGCAUAACUUGAACAACUUUAGUUUGGUUUAGUUUGUGAAAAGUAAUUGAAAGCAACGUAAUUGAAGGAAAUACAAACUUUUGAUUUUGACAAAGUAGUCGUUAAAAUGCUAAAAAUACUGGGACAAUAGAAAAAUAAUGAAGAUCCUAAAAGUUGGUGGAGCAAAUAAACAGAGUAAAACGGAGCAAAUAUUUACCAUUAUACAUAUAUUUUUAUUUUUUUCAAAAAUGAAAGUUGCGAUUUUUUUUUUAGACAAAAGAGACAAAAAAGAAGCACAGUCUGCUAUUACUAGUGUGGCAUGUUAUCUAUUAUAUAAGCACGUGUCUAAUUAUUGUUACCGCCUGCAGUUGUGCUUUCUUUUAUUUAUUUUCCUUUUGUUAUUGAAGUUGUCUUGCAAACUGCUCCAAGCUGAUUACAAAAUUUCCUCUUCCUCUAGGAUCUUUUGAAUGGUCCUGCAAUUUGUAUUCCUUUCUGUGGGAUUGGUUUUUUUUUUUCUUUUAACAGAAUUUUAGGGAUAAGAAACCUUACCCAUUGAAUACCAACUUUGAAUUUUAAUAUUAUUCAAACUUAGAAAACUGCAGAAACAAAGUGCCUUCAUAGCACCAGUUAAACUGUGUCUAGCUACCAUGCUAAUUCCAUUUUUACUUUAUUAAAUAUAUACAGAAUUAAAUCACCUAAGCCUCUAGUUUCACUAGUUUCCAACUUGAAAUUAAAACGUAGAAUUGAUGGUAAUGGAGUUGCCUAUUUAAUUUUGCUGUAGGUCAUGGGCAAUUAGACGGCCAUCCAUUUUUAUGUCUAUUUUAUGCACUAUUGGCCACUAAGUAGCUUGGACAUUUUAUAAGUAGCUUGAAAUAAGUCAAAAUCAAUUACAAGAACAACAAUAAAAGCAUAUUUUAUAAAGGCCACAAAUACAUAAUACAAAUUUAGUUUUGAAUUAUGUAAUUAUUAAUUCAUAUAUUAAGAGAGUCUUAUAGAAAAAAUAGGAGUUUUUUGAAAGAGAUUUGCUAAAGUAAAAAAUUUCGUUUGGUUUAGUUUGUGAUGGCUCAAGUAAUUGAAAGCAAUGCAAGUGAAGGAUACAUGAACUUCUGAUUUUUACAAAGUAAUUGUUAAAAUAUUUGACAAGCUUGAGAUUUUAAAAAGGCUGGGAAAAUAGAAAAACAAUGAAGACCCUACGAGUUGGCAGAGCAGAUAAAUAGAGGAAAACAUGACAAAUAUUCCAAAAAAGAAAUUCGCAUUUUUUUUUUCGAAAAUACGCACAGUCUGCUAUUACUACUACUAUAGAAUGUUAGCUGCUAUAUAUAAGCACCUGUCUAAUUACCAAAUAGAUUCCACUUUGACAAAGAAUAAAAGCUAAUUUCAUUGAUGGCACAUGUUGUGCUAAUUACAAAAUUUUCUCUUACUCCAGGAUCUUUGCAAUGGUCCUGCAGUUUGUAUUCCUUUCUCUGAGAUUGUUUUUUUUUUUUUUCUUUAAAUAAAAUUUUAGGGAUGAGAAACCUUAUCCAUUGAAUAUCAACUUUGAAUUUUAUUAAUAUUCAAACUUAGAAAAAUACAGGAACAAAGUGCAUUAAUAGGAGGUUAAACUAUGUCUGGCUAAAAUGCAAGUUUCAUUUUCACUUAAUUAAAUAUACAAAAUUAAAUCGCAUGAGCCUCUCGUUUUAUUAUACUUCAACUUAAAAUUAAAACGCAGAAUUGACGGUAUUCGAAUUCCUUAUUUAAUUUUGCUGUACUCAUGGGGAAUCAUGGCCUUCCAUUUUUUUUUUUUUACGUCUAUUUUAUGGCCAUCCCCACUAAGUAGCUCGGUCACACACAACAUGCACAUACAUAUAUAUAUUGUGUGUGGGUAUUGGGAUGGCACAGGCCCUAAAAGAUAAAGCUGAACAUCAAUUCCAAAUCUAAAGUGAAAAACAGUAGCUAGAACAGAAUCUUUGUUUUGAUGUCUUUGUUUAUAAGCUCAAACAAUUCAUAGUAUACAGAAAAUGCAUGAUAGAACACAGAACUCAUAUUUUAGCAAUAAUCCUCAGCUCACCGACCUUUAGUUCAGAAUGGCAGUUCUUAUUAGUCAAACAAUCAAAUUAACUUUUAGUUGUAUAUAAGUAGCGCACCAAAUCAACAAAUAAUUGAAGACUUGCUUGGCUAUUGAACCAUACGAUGGCAAUUCGUCAACUAUAACUUAGCUCUGGCAUUCGAAGUAAGCAACUUAGCAUCCCAAAGACUGCCAGGCCAUCAACACAAUACUACCAAGAUACAAGAUCAAUAAUAAUAACAUCAAGAAUUACACUGAUGCUCUCGAAAUAAGGUAUACGAAAUUUUAAUUGUGUAUGCACAAACUAACUUUAUCACUUCUUUCAUAUUAAUACUCAUAAAUUUCAACCUUAUUUUAUGUUGAUGCACAAUCUAACUUUUUAACAAAAAUAAUAUUUAAAUUGUCACAAAUGUAUUAUUCUUAAAAAAAAAAUUCAUAUACAGUAGUUAAUUUUUCUUCUUCUUCACUCCAGGAUCCAACUCCAUACCCCUCUUUUUUAUUGUUAUUCUGCUCAGCCGUUAGAUUUUAAUUACGUUGAUCUAACGGUUGAGAUUUGUAAAUGAAUAACGAAGUGGUGUUUUUGGCUACUGUCUGAACCCAUUGCAUCUAAUUGGUUUUGUGAUUUUUUGCUUUCUUCUCUGUAACGCUUGACUGGUUCUGGAAAUAUCGACCAUCGACAGCAAAUCUGGAGCAUGUAUUAUUUUUCAUUAAAAUAAGUUUCCACCACCGUACCAGUAUAUGGAUUUCUGAAUUAAUUAUUAAAAGAAGCAAACAAUACUGAGAACAUAUUAAUUAUUAAUUUAUAUAAUAAUAUGUUUCCUUCAAAGUAUAAUAUUUGAAUUUGAAAUAACUUUUUAAAAAAAUUUAAUAUCACAGUAAUAGUCACGAUUCAAUUGGUUUAUUUAAAAAAAAAAAAUUGGAAGAAUAGACAAAUAAUGGAGACACAAGUCAACCUAAGGAGAGCCAAUAAACAGGGGAAAGUGAAUUGAGUACUGUCCUCGAGCUCUCAAUUAUCCAACAUUCUCAAAUUUCUAUGUACAUUUUCGUAAAUUCAUGUCAUAUACCAGAUAGAGUAUUUUGGGUUUUGUUGCAUCAGUUCUCUGGUGUUUAUCUUGUUUUAUUACCUUAUGAUGCAAGAUUCCUGGUAGCGAUACACCUCGAAUAAAACUAUUUUUGUUUUUUUUGGCAUUUUUAUUAGCACAAAUCAUUAUUAAUUAAUGAACCCAUCGGGAUAUUGGUUUCAUUUGUAACAACUUGCUAAUUGCUUAAUACAUUUUUGUAAUUCUCGUCAUGAAGUCACAAAGAACCUGCAAAUAAAAUCAUAGAUGUGGUACAUUGUGAUGUGAUAAAUCUAAUUCAAAUCUAAACUAAGAGAUGAUUCAUAUACAGGUACAUAUAGAAUAAAGAUAUUUAAACAUAAGCAUUCAAUUUUUUGAUAAACCUAACUGUCAUUGGCUUAUUGCUAUUAAAGGAAGUGAACAGAAAUAGAUGUAGAAAGUCAGAGAUAUGAAUGAGUGCACUUGAUGAUUUCUCGAAUAGAAAAUUAAAGUAAUAUCAUUUUUAAUAAAUGUGAGAUGAUUUAUACUCUAAAAUUUAUUUUGAACACUCAUAUUUUUAUUACGAAAAAUCUCAUAGUUCAAUUUAUUAGUAUGAACAAACAAAAUAAUAAUACUUUUGAAACUCAUCUAACCAUAGUUCGCACGCACCCAUAUAAACCUUAACCAUAAUAAAACGUUCUUCCUCAACAUAAAGACUAAUUCAUUAUUUAAAAGCAUCUAUUAACAAAUUUGUACACACAGAUUCUCUGGUUCUAAUUUAUUUGAUUUUAAUGUUUCACUUCUCCACCAAAGGAGGUUCUACACAAAUAAACUGUAAGAAAAACAAAACAGUGAGAUCAAAAAUUAAACAGCUAACCAACAAAAACCAGCUACUGGAAAUUUCAAAUGAAAUAUCAACGGAGUACAAUCCGAACCUCCUAAUAUUUUCCACUUUCGUUAAGUGGGACCCACUCAAAAUGUGCCCUCAAAAUAGUAUGUUAUGCUAUUUUUUCAACAUAAACGACAGCAGAAAAACAAAUAUAAAAUGUGAUACGUGUGUAGAACAUAUAUACUCAUCAUAACAAUAACUGAUAAAUUGUGUUAAGAAAUAAAAAUAUUAGUAGUGAUGACAUGAAAGAAGUCUGAUGUCUUGAGUUUGACUAAAAAUAAUUUAAAAUAAUCGAUCAAGCGAAAUUCCUUAAGAGAUGAACUGGGUUGGGAAGGCAGAGCAGCCUCUGUUCUUUUUACUAUAAUGCUAAGAAUUGACUUCAAUUGGGAAGUCAGGCCAAUUGAAGAAGCUCCCCUGUUUUUCACUGAAACAUAAUCCGAACAAUUUAUAAUUAAAUAAAUCAUUCAAAAUCUCCUUUAAUCGAACCCCCACUUCUGUGGUUUAAUGAAAUAUUAACGUUCAGCUCCUGAGGUUGCCAUUUUAUGUAUUGAAAAAGAAGAUAAUACAAGAAACUGAAAAUUAAUUGAUGCUGGAUCAUGUUGGAUUGUUAGUUGUUAUUUAUGAUGGGGAUAUAAUCUUGGCCUUUUAAUUAUCAUCUAGCUAACGCAAGCCCACUAGUUUCAUCUGUGUCCAUCACUAAAAAGUAGAGUUGCUUAAUUGAAUAGUGUCACGUUACAUCACAUAAAGUCACUCAAUUUUCAUUGCCAUAUGUAGCUCAAAAGUGCAUGAACAUUGAACUUUCAACUAACUUAUACUGAUUAAUUAAUACGACCAUCAGUUCUUAGUACCCAACAACAUCCAUCAAUAAGAGCAAAAUUCCCAUUGAUUUCAUAAAUAAAAAAUGAAUAAGUUACAAAGACAAUAUUUGACAAUCACGAAAACAACUAUAAUUCACUUCAAUAAACAAUAUAACAGAUACAUUAUCAAUAUUGCAAGUCUUUUUAUGAUUUAAUUAAAAGAGAAAAUAUGAAGGACAUAUUUUAUAUAAUUGAAUGCUCUCCUUGAUAAUUAGACAAAAUAACACCAAUCAAACUACCUAAUUCAAUCAUCAUAAUGAUUCAAUUUUCAUUUUUUAAUUAUGUCCAAUCAUGCUAAUUUAAUAAAGAUUACUGAGCACUUAAAGUACCUAUAUCUUCAACAACUUUGGCUAAGUUAGAAAAGUAUUAGAGCUGCCUCUAUGCUUUGUGUUAUUAAGCAGGACGUGAUCAUAUUACGUUGCAUUUGUCAGAAAAGAGGUGUUGAAUUAUUAAAAAAAUCUGAUCUGUAUUACUGUAUAUAUAGUCUUAGAGGCUACAGUUGAGACAUAUGAAAAGCUUGUAACUUCUUCUUAAUGCUUGUAGUUUGAUCUCGGUGAUGGAGAUAAGAUUGCUGCCCUGUUCUUCACUUGAUAUAGGCUAUCUCCAAGCGGAACCACUUAAAUUGUGCCUCUGUUUUGCUUGUUUCAGUUGUUAUUCUUGUGAGGUGUGUGAUUUGCUUGUCAUUUCUAAAUCAUCAAUUAGAGAGUUUAGUGAGAUCUUGGUGGUUUUAGAAUGAGUUUAAUCGAUCAAGAAUCAACAAGAUGCAAUGAAAACAAAAUAAGAGACUAAUGCACGCACAUCAUAGCAAUGUUUCAUUCAUUUUGAAUCUAUAUAUACAAAACUUAUAUCUGGUGGUUUGUGUUUGUUUAAUCUAACGGCUAUAACAUGUAUAUUGUCAAAAGCUACAGCGGCCAACUUUGUUUGUCCUCGUAGCAUCCUUGAUCUUAUAUCAUCCUGGUGAUUCUUGAGAGCUCUUCUCAUUCUCUCGUGUUGAGUCCCUUGCUGAGAUGAUAAAUACUUGAGGGUCCUUCCUUGAUAUAUUUCAGCAAACACUUGAUUCAUUCUAUCAAACAUUUGCAUCACAAUGGGUGAUGAUUUGAUGAGAAAUAUUAAUAUACAUGCAUCCCCUGCAUUCGUUAGAGCUGCUCUCAACCUCUGUUUAAUAAGCUAGUCCUCUGCUGUAUCCUAGAAGGUGGAACAUUAUGCUUCCCAGCUGGCUCAAGAGGGAACUAUGCUUCUGCUGCCAAAUUUUUGAAAGCAAACAUCGUGGGAAGAGGUUGAUCUGAAGCCAUUGCAUCUGAUUGGUUUUGUGAUUUUUUGCUUUCUUCUCUGUAACGCUUGGCUAGUUCUGGAAAUAUCGACCGUCAUUGAUGGCAAAUCUGGACCAUGUAUUUGCCCACUACUAAGAAAUAAAGCUUCCACCAACGUACCAGUAUGUCGAUUUAUGAACACAUUCAUUCAAAUAUUAAACGUACAGAGAAGAGAGCAAACUGUGGCUGUUUUCCUUUAAUUUUCUUCUUUGAAUUCUCCUUUUAUUAAUCAUUAGAAAAACUCCCUUUUUUAAAAUCACGUGUUAUAAACAUUUACAUGGUUAAUGUCAUCGAAAUCAAAUGGUUGUCAUCUACGAAAAGAGAAUUGAUAGAAAUUUUGUUAGUCCCAUUGCAAUAAUAUAUUGUUAUAAAUUGCAUUGUUUCCCAUAUAACAAAUAUAAUAAAAUCUCAAUAAAUUAAUAGUUUUGGGGAUCAUAAAAAAAUUUAUUAAAAUUUAACAAAUAUCAAUUAAUUGGCAAAUUAAUAAAUUAUUAAUUUAUGAAAAUAUUCAUUAUUUUAGAAAAACAUGAUCACGUUUUUAGUAUUGAUUUACCUUGAGUUAGUAUCUAUUAUGUUUUAUUUAUCUACUAGUUUUCUCUUGCAAAGAUUUUUUAAGAGUUAGCUGCUUUAUAUUAACAGUAAUAAAAUUAUUGUAUGGUUUUGUUUUUCCAUGUUAAAGAUCGAUUAGUCCUCUGCUUCUCCUCAGCGUCAUCGAGCACCGCCUGAAUCAUCAACAGCGUGCUCUUCCACUUCAUCAGAUCGUCUUCGAUCUUCUCUUGGUGUGCAAACCACCGAAUCCCCUCUGAAGCUAACUUUGGCGUACAGCUCUUCGAUGAUUGGCUUUUUUUUUCUUUUUUUUUUGGUUGUGUUUUUUGGGGGGGGGGGGGGGGGGGGAGAGGGGGGGAAGGAAAGAAAGGAACGGAAUUCUGAGUUUUGGAAUUAUUUUGAAACAUUUUGAACCAUUUUAUGGAAUUAAGUAACAGUGAAAUAAAUAGAAAAGUUGUAAUUCUUUGAUUGUAUUUUUUUUUGGGUAAAUUGGUCCCAAUAAUAGUUUAAUUGUAAAUAAUUAAAUAUAUCAGUAAUGAUUUAUAAAAAGAUCACUAGCAUCAGAUUAUUGGGCGGUAUUAAGGAGAAGUUACGCUUAGUAUUUAUAAUUUAUGUAAGAUGUAUUUGUAAGACUUAUUCAUUAGGUUAACUUGAAGUAUUAAUAUUUACUAAUUGUGGUGAUUAAUUCAUUAAAUUAACAUGUCAUAAUUUUCAAUGAAGAAUGAAGUUCAAUCAAUGUACAAAAAAAAGAUAUAUAUAUAUAUUAAAGAUUUUAAUUCCUAGUUUGAUUUAACUUUGUUUCGGUUAUUGACAUUGCUGAAGAGGCAGUAAAAGCUUGUUGAAUGUCAUCAAAUGCACAAAUUGGCAAUAUCGGUUGGCUUUUUUAUCGGCGCAUCCAUCACAAAAUGAAAGUAAAAACAACCACCAUCGAAAAUUAAUUUUAAGAAUCUUUUUUACCUGAAAUCUUUGAAAAGAAAAAUUAACCUGACAUUUAUUUAUUUAUUUAUUUGGGGGCAAAGGAAGAAAGGAGCAGAAUUAUGGGUUAUGGAAAGCAGAAUGAGAAAUUGAACGGGUGAGAAAAUGGAUAAUUAAGCAGAAUGAGUUUGUGAUUGUGAAGGGUCUGAUCCGAAGGCCAGAAAUUGUAACGGCGGGCUUAAAUGUCAACACGCCAAGACAGUUAAUAGCAGCUAAAUUGGAAAAAAAAAAAAAAAGGCAAUAGAAGUAUAGAUGGAGCAAUUUUUCGCUUAGGUCAUAGGUACAAGAUGAAACUAAAAAAAGGUGGCAGGCAAUUUUAUCACAGACGCUCAUGAUCGUUUUUUGUUUGGGUCGUCAACUCGCCAUGACCCAUGAUUGAAUUAGAGUGUCUAGAAAGAAAAUUAAUAAAUAACGGUUUAUAUAUUUGGUCGUCGAAAUAUUGUAAGUGAGAAAGAUUAUCUUGUUUUUUUUAUUAAUUAGGUUAGUAUUUAUGAUUGAGUGACUCAAAGCUGUAUUUUAGAUUGAGAAUCAAUUGUUCUCUCAUACUGAGAGGCUAUAGGAUUAAGAUUGUUGUUAGCUAUUUCAUCGAUAAGAGAACACCCAAAUUUAUUAAAAGAAGAAAUGCAUAAGGUCUCCUUUAUGAGAAAAUGUAUCUGAUCAUUCUUUUUGACUUGAAAAUCUCAUAUAUAAAAACUUAUUAAUUGUUAAGUAGAUAAGAGUACCAGCUCGGCCAUGUCAUCAUCUCCACGCCGAGGUGGACCACCUCAGCUGAGUGGUACGAGCAGAACACUGGUAAUGAGCCUUCUACAAAUGGGCCGACCAAAGACGAGUACCAGCCAGAAGAGUAUACCGACCAGAGACGAAUACCAGCCAGAAGAGUAUACCGACCAGAGACAUAUACCGAGCUAGAAGAGCGGGAACAUGAUCUCACAGAAUCACGACAGUUGCGCUUUUCCCAGAACCGUUGAGGGAGACGCGAGAUCCCACGUUUGCCCACAAUGUAGCAGUUAGAAUCCCAUGAGGGGCUGCCACUACUCGAAAAAGGGGGAUGGAGGGUAAAUGAGAACGUGGGACAGCGGUUAUAAAAGGGGAAGAAAUCGAUGAAGAAAGGGACAGAAAAAUUGAGAGAGGGGAAAACUCUGCCAAAUUGUAUCCAGACCCUUUUUAGUACCAAUAGUGAGUCAAUUCUAAGCAAUUAUUUGAACCUUAAUUGCACCGUUUUCCCACAAAUACCUUGUGCUAACUUAGGCAUCGGAGGGUUUACGCCGGCAAAACCACCGGCGUCUCUGACCCAUUUUUGUGAACGCAGGCUUAGUGAGAAAAAGAAGGAGAAGUCUAACUCCAGCAACUAGAGUGAUCGUUGAAGCAAGGAGAAAUUGACAUCCUCAUUGCUGAUAUUACAAACGUUGGUGUAAAGAUCUGGUCGGGCAUAGGACGAGUAGAUUUCGGCGUCAACAUUUUGGCGCCGUCUGUGGGGAUCUGAAUAAAAAGCUACCACCAAAUUAGUAGUUACCAGUGAAGCAGCGAACGGUUGGAUAUGGAUGUGUCAAGGAAGGAUGCUUUAAGGGAGGACAAUGAAACUGUGGAGACAAUCACUCUCCGGGAAAUUGCAAAUAAAGCCCGAGAGAGGAUGAUGCAAGAUCGACUGGAGCGGAUGGAGAAACAAAUGGAGACUCUCGCGGCCAUACUGUGUGAGCUGAGGGAUGAGCGGAGAAGGGAUUGUGAAACCCCCGUGGGAAGAGAUGAAGUUGGAGCAGAACCCAGCCUCCGGAGGCGUAGAGUCGAGGAAAUCCCUCCGCCCCCAGACCAACCUAAUGGGGUGCAUCCCCACAGAAGUACUGGUUGGGUUCCAGGAGAACACGUGGAUGAAGGGAGGGACCAACCUCGCCCAGGCCGGAUACUGGAAAUUAAUGGCCGAGGGGCCAGUGUUGAUGAAGGAGAGCUCAGAUAGCGGUUGCAGAACGCCGAGCAGGAACGAGAUCAGAUAGCAGCACGUGAUCCUGACUGUGCUAUAGAAUUGGAGGGGGAGGUGCGCAGAUUGGCGCAGGUGAUGGAGGAGAUACAGGGCAAGAGAAAUCCUCCGAGCUGGAGGAUAAUGCUAGAUGAAGAAUCUCCGUUAUCAACCGAGAUCAUGGGUACCGUAAUCCCAAGAGACUUCCGCUUCCCCGACCUCAAAUAUUCUGGGCGAAGUGACCCGUUGGUGCACAUUGAGCGUUUCAACGACAUGACGGGUGUGCAGGGGCUGACACCAGCUCAGAGGUGCAGGGUGUUCCCAUUGACACUAGAGGGACGAGCCCGAGAAUGGUACCACAAGCUGCCCCGAGGAGGUAUAAAGGGGUACGAGCAGAUGUGCCAGGAGUUGGCCGAACAGUUCCGAGGGGCAGUGGCCCCAGAGGAUGACAUGAUGGAACUGAUGGGGAUGAAACAGGAGGAGCAUGAAUCCCUUCGAGAUUUUGUAAAAUGAUAUCACCGAACCGUUCUGGAUCUAGGAGCUUUUAAUCACCCACAGGCGUUGAGGGGAUUAAAAGAAGGUGUAAGAAUCGGCCGAUUGUGGUAUAACUUAAGAAGCCCCCUAGUACAGAAUUACUCAGCGGGGUAUGAGCAGGCGAGGCGAGAUAUAGAAAUCGAAGAGGAGAAAUCGGCAAGAAUAAAAAGUGAACAGUUGGAAGAGCUGAGGCGAAAGGAACGGAGAGCCCCGAAAGGGAGCGGGUCGGGAAAUCGAGCGGGGGAAUCUUCAGUAAUGGGCGGAAUAUCAGCUCGGUCCCGCCCUUACCCCAUAGCUCCGAGAUCACAACAGUUCCAACACAGCCGGGCUCAACCUCCGCGCCCCCCGUUCCCAGAGCGGCAGCGAGAAUUCAGGCAGAUGGCUGCCCACCCUUAUCACAACAGUCCCAGAGCGUUCAAUGCAACUAAUUCUAGGUCUGGACGACAAGAGCAGCUAACGACUAUAUCAGCCCGAGGUGACAUCCAUGAUAGCCGAGCAGUUCAAUUGGUUGACCAGAGUGUGGCAUAUAGACAAUACACUCCAUUAAAAAUCUCCAUGGAGGAACUAUAUGAGAGGAUCGAGGGACGAGGCCUGCUGUACCCUCCAGCCCCUAUAACAAAACCUGCUCACCGACGGGAUAAGAGUAGAUUCUGUAAAUUCCACGACACUCACGGUCACACUAUCAGCCAAUGUCGUGACUUAAAGAUUCAGGUGGAGGAUUUAGUGAGAAACUGAUAUUUGGAUGAAUAUGUAUAUGGGGUGUUCCCCGUCGUUGAAUCACAGUAUACGCGGGAUGAAGGAGCCGAGAGGGGCCUGGAACGUGAACAGCCGACUAUCCGUGUGAUAGCAGGAGGGCCAACAUUGGCUGGGGAUUCGAACAGGGCACGGAAGAACUAUGGGAGAUACGCCAUGACCAGCAAAGAAGUGCUUUUUAACUUACCGGCAGCCAAGAAGGCAAAAGUGCGGCAAGUUCCCAUUAUGUGGACAGAUGACGAUGAAGAGGGUAUUUUAUAUCCUCAUGAGGAUGCACUGGUGAUUAAGGCAACGGUGGCUGGUACAGAAUUGCGACGAAUAUUGGUAGACACGGGCAGCUCGGUUGACAUCCUGUUUAAGUCGGCCCUGGAUGAUAUGGGAAUUGCAGACUUGAAAUUGAAACGGACAAAUACAUCCUUAAAAGGAUUUGGAGGGGGACGGUUAACUCCCAUGGGGAUCAUCGAACUCCCGAUUACUGUGGGGACAAAGCCGUUCGAAAGAACGAUGAUGCUGGACUUUGUCGUGGUAGAGGAAAGAAGCCCUUACCAGAUGAUACUGGGGAGACCGUUCAUGAGGAUAAGCCAAUACGUUAUAUCCACGCAUUACUUGGCACUAAAAUACAGAGUAAAUGGAGUGGUUGGCGUAGUAAAAUGCGACCAGAGGAUGGCAAGGAGUUGUUAUGCCACAGCAGCCAAGGAAACACUACAAGUUACUUCUCUAGAUAACCGAGGAGAUUCUAAAAAGGGUCGCCAAGAACCUGUUGAGAAGCUAGAAGAGAUUGUGGUAAGCAAAAGCAACCCGAGCAGAGUGGUUAAGAUCGGGUCAGGAUUGGUCGGGGCAGUAAAAGGCGAGCUGGUAAAAUGCCUACAGUCUCAUACAUAUAUAUUCGCCUGGUCUCACGAGGACAUGCUAGGAAUUGAUCACGGGGUAGCUUGCCACAAGUUGGCAAUCAAGAAGGGGGCGAGGCCGGUGAGGCAGAAGAGGAGAUGCUUUAACCAGGAAAGAUACGAGGCCAUAAACGCCGAGGUGGAGAAGCUGUUAAAAGCAGGAUUUAUAAGAGAGGCCAAGUACCCGGAGUGGAUUUCCAAUGUAGUACUGGUAAAGAAGGCCAACGGGAAAUGGAGAAUGUGUGUGGAUUUCACAGAUCUUAAUAAAGCAUGCCCGAAGGACAGUUUUCCCUUACCAAAGAUAGAUCAAUUGGUGGACUCAACAGCGGGUCACAGUCUGCUCAGCUUCAUGGAUGCCUUUUCGGGAUACAACCAGAUACCCAUGGAUGAGCAGGAUGAGGAAAACACCACCUUUAUAACUAACAUGGGUUUGUUUUGCUACAGGGUGAUGCCUUUUGGCCUGAAAAAUGCAAGAGCUACCUAUCAAAGGUUGGUGAACAAGGUCUUCAAGCCCUUGAUUGGUCAUACCAUGGAGGUAUAUGUGGACGAUAUGAUCACAAAGUCCAAAGAACCGAGGGAUCACGUGAAACACUUGGAAGAAACCUUUGAAUUGCUGAGGAAGUAUGAAAUGAAGCUAAACCCGGAGAAAUGUGCAUUUGGAGUCAGCUAGGGCAAAUUUUUGGGAUUCCUGGUGAGCCACCGAGGGAUCGAGGCUAACCCAAAAAAAAUACGGGCGGUAACAGAAAUGAGAUCCCCACGAACAGUUAAGGAGGUGCAGAGCCUUACAGGGAAAUUGGCAGCAUUGAACCGAUUCAUCUCGCGGGCCACGGAUAAAUGUCACCAUUUCUUCCAAACCAUAAAGAAAGGGAAGAAGAUGGAAUGGACAUCAGAAUGUGAGGAGGCGUUUGGGCAGCUGAAGGAGUAUCUGGCCCAUGCCCCGUUACUAUUAACUCCGAGAGAAGGUGACCAGCUGUUUUUGUACUUGGCAAUCUCAAAGUGGGCUACCAGCUCAGUGUUAGUCUGAGAAGAAGAAGGGAAGCAACACCCCGUGUAUUACACUAGUAAAGCCCUGGUAGACGCAGAAACUAGGUACCCAUUGAUGGAGAAAUGGGCACUGGCUCUAGUAACAGCAGCACGAAAACUGCGACCAUAUUUUCAGGCCCACCCGAUAUUUGUGAUCACUGACCAGCCUCUUUGGCAAAUGCUCCAAAAACCAGAUGCAUCAGGGCGGUUAGUGAAGUGGUCCGUGGAGCUGAGCGAAUUCGACCUAUCCUACAGGCCCCGAGGAGCAAUCAAGGCCCAAGCCCUGGCUGAUUUUAUGGUUGACCGUGUUGAACCAGGAGAAGAGGUCCAAGAGGAGCAACCAAUAGAGCAGGAGAAACCAGAGGGGGUGUGGCUGGUAAUGGUUGACGGAUCAUGUAGUGAGCAAGGAUCCGGAGCAGGAGUUGUAAUACGAAGCCCAGAAGGAACUGAAAUAACGUAUGCAAUGAAGUUUGAAUUUCAGCUCACAAACAACCAAGCUGAAUAUGAAGCCUUUAUCACCGGGCUCGGACUUGCACAAGCUUUAAGAGCAGAUAGGGUAGAAAUUCGAGCAGAUUCCCAAUUGGUAUGUAAUCAGCUCAAUGAUCAGUUCCAAGCAAUGGGAGAGAAGAUGGGUAUUUAUUUGAAGAAGGUGUAGCAGAUGGUUGAGCUUUUCCAAGAGGUGGAGGUAAAGCAGAUAUCCCGGAAUGAGAAUUACCGAGCGGAUAUGUUGGCUAGGAUGGCUGCAAUUGCAGAUCCGAAAUUACCUAAGUCGGUUCCACUUGAGGUAAGGACCUCGCCAAGUAUAGGGGAGGAGGUAGAGGUGAUGAGAGUAAGCAUUGGUGAAUCCUGGAUGGACCCGAUUCGCGCAUAUGUGCGCGAUGGAGUUUUACCAGAGGACAAAAGGCAAGCAAGAAAAUUAAAAUGCCGAGCAGCGAGGUACGCGCUACUAGAUGGAGUGCUGUACCGCCGAGGGUUCACCUUGCCCCUUUUGAGAUGUUUGGAUGACGAGGAGGCAGAUUAUGUACUAAGGGAGAUCCAUGAAGGAAUAUGCGGCAAUCACUCGGGAGCAAGAACUUUAGCCUUCAAGGCACUCCGGCAAGGAUACUUCUGGCCAACCAUGCACCAGGAUGCGAAAAGGAUGGCAAAGAACUGUAAAACCUGCCAAAGCUUCUCUGAGGUUCCUGCACAACCCCCAGAAAAGCUGACCACUAUGACAUCCCCAUGGCCUUUUGCUCAAUGGGGAAUCGACUUGAUUGGUCCGUUACCUAAGGGCCGAGGAGCGGCGACACAUGCAAUUGUGGCAAUAGACUACUUCACCAAGUGGGUAGAAGUGGGAGUCCUUAGCCAAAUCACGGAGAGAAAGACAACAGAUUUUACUUGGAAGAAUAUCAUCUGCAGAUACGGGAUCCCCUAUGCCAUCAUUACAGACAAUGGGAGGCAAUUUGACAACAGUAACUUCAGGGAAUUUUGCCGAAAUUUGGGGGUGGACCUGAAGUUCUGCACCCCCGCACACCCCCAGGCAAACGGACAAGUGGAAGCAGCCAACAAAGUGAUAAAGAAGCUCUUGAAAACUAGAUUGGGAGAGAAGAAGGGAGCUUGGGUUGACGAACUACCAGGAGUAUUAUGGGCCUACCGAACAACUCACAAAACCGCCACAAGGGAAACCCCGUUCGCUUUAGCUUUUGGUCAUGAGGCGGUAGUCCCAGCAGAAAUUGGAGUGGGAACACAUCGAACGGAAUAUUUCACUGAGGAGCAAAACGACGAGCAGAUCUGCUUAAGCCUGGACCUGCUUGAGGAGAAAAGGGAAGGGGCCUCGCAAAAAGUGGCCCAGUGUCAGCAAAGGGUCAUGCGUUAUUACAAUAAGAACGUACGCGUGAGGUAGUUCCGAGCAGGAGAUUGGGUACUUAGGAAGGUGAACCAAAACACCAGGGAUCCUAACCAUGGCGCUCUUGGCCCGAAGUGGGAAGGCCCGUACAGGGUGAUACGAGCCACUAGACCAGGAGCUUAUAAGUUAGCGUACCAAGAUGGACGAGACGUGAAGAGGUCGUGGAACGCCGAGCACUUGAAGAAGUAUUUCCAGUAAGCAAAGUGCUCUACUAAAUCCUCAUUUUGAUAAAUUAUUUUUGUUAACUGCAUGAUGGCUUGUUGCGCAUGUAUAUAUUCUGUAUUUUUGUAAUACAUUCGAAUUUCAAAUAAAGAUGAAUUCAGCAUGAAAUCCCCCUGCUAGCAAGCCCAAUAAAAAUUUCGCUAAGGCAAGUAAGUGCCUGUUUCUGCUCAGUCAACGAAAGACCAGCAGCUAAUUUUACCAGAAUUUUACUAAGGCAAGUAAGUGCCUGCUUCUGCUCGGUCAACGAAAGACCAGCAGCUAAUUUUACGAGAAUUCUAUUAAGGCAAGUAAGUGCCUGCUUCUGCUCGGUCAACGAAAGACCAGCAGCUAAUUUUAUGAGAAUUCUAUUAAGGCAAGUAAGUGCCUGCUUCUGCUCGGUCAACGAAAGACCAGCAGCUAAUUUUACGAAAAUUUUACUAAGGCAAGUAAAUGCCUGCUUCUGUUCGGUCGACGAAAGACCAGCAACUAAUUUUAUGAGAAUUCUAUUAAGGCAAGUAAGUGCCUGCUUCUGCUCGGUCAACGAAAGACCAUCAGCUAAUUUUACAAAAAUUUUACUAAGGCAAGUAAAUGCCUGCUUCUGCUCGGUCAACGAAAGACCAGCAGCUAAUUUUGCGAGAAUUCUAUUAAGGCAAGUAAGUGCCUGCGUCUGCUCGGUCAACAAAAGACCAACAACCAAUUUUACGAAAAUUGUACUAAGGCAAGUAAAUACCUACUCCUGGUCAGUCCACUAAAGAAUCAGUAGGCAAAAUCAAAUAAGUUGUCCAAUUACUUUGCAAAAACAAUCUAUGAGUAAAAACCAGACAAGAAAGCCAAUAGAGAGCGUUUAAAAAUUUAUAAAUGUUUAAAUGUUUACAAAACGAAUGAAAAUCUAGAGUCUAUACAAAAAUUGACCUAAGGAUUAGGAGGGUCAACGGCUUCAGCAAGUGAAGGAUCAACUAUCUCUGGAGGUGGAAGAUCAGCAAUUCCGGGAGGAGGAAGCACGGACCCUUGUCCUACCUCAAAAGCACGUCCCCCAGCUUCCCCCUCCUGCACCCCAUCUAAAGGAGCCUCCACCUGAUCCUGCUCACCCUGCUCCUUAUCUGCCUGGCCGAUCUCCGCCAUAUACCGCUGCACUCCAGUCCCACCUCAAAAGCACGUCCCCCAGCUUCCCCCUCCUGCACCCCAUCUAAAGGAGCCUCCACCUGAUCCUGCUCACCCUGCUCCUUAUCUGCCUGGCCGAUCUCCGCCAUAUACCGCUGCACUCCAGCCUCCAGUUUGCUCAUGUCCAGCUCGGGAUAUUCUUCCUUAAGCACAGACAUGAUGCAUUUAUAGGAGAAAGCAACCCCAGAGUCAUACUCGGCAUCCAGCCGAUCGUCCACAUCAGCGGAUUUGCCUUUCUCCUCAGCCAGCUGUUCACUCAGGGAUUUGAUCUCUCCCUCAAGGGCGGUCCUCAGAGUAUCUCUUUCACUUUGAGUAGCCUGAAGAUCGAACUUCAGGUCACCCAACUCACCCUCAAGUUUGGAGGAAGUGGACUCAGCAACCGCAACUUUCUUCUCUAGGUCCGUGAUCUGGUUGUUCAGCUCAGCCAGCUUCUCCUUCAAGCGAUCAGCAGAUUCAGCUUUCUUCUUCAACUCCUGAUUGUCAGCUUGAAGCUUCCUCUCAUGGCGCGCGAACCCAUUCUUGUAACACGAAACCAUGGUGGCCAGCCUGAAUGAGACUCUUUGAACAGAACCAGCUAGCUCGGAGAGGUUCAUACUCUCGAUGUCCUUCACCAUCUUAGGCCCCAUCGAUUUUCUGUAAUCCUUCUGAUACGGGCUCAGGUAGUCACCUUGAUCCCGAGAUGGAAGAGGAGAUGAUCGGUCCCCAGACUGGAUGCUGACCUCAGGAUUCUUGUCGGAAGUUUUCUCCCCACCACUCUUUCGAGGUGGAGGAGGGGGCAUGGUAGGAAUAGGAGCCUUAGAAGGACCAACGCUGGUCUUCUUUGGAGGAGGGGGAGGGUUGCUGGAGCUGCUUGGAGCCCGACCACGCUUUCUGCUCAUUACGCGGAGGAUCUUGCUAUCCAUUCCAGCAGCUAUGUCCACUAGACCCGAACCGACCAGGUUUGUUGGUGACAUGAGGUCUUGGCAGGUAGACGCGUUCACCAGAGCAAUUUCCACCUGAAGAAAAGGUCGGUCUUCAAGCCCCUCGAUCAAACCCCACGACUCUGAAAUAGCAAAAGAGGUUAAAGAAACCAAUAAGUGACAAGUUGGUUAAGAACAUAGGCAAAAAUGAACGACCUGGGGUGAUAAAUUGUGUUGGAAGGUAAAUAUCCCCACCAAGCGACCGAACUGCUGGACACCAGUUUCCUCCAGCAAAGAAGAAUUUGUUCUUCCAAUUUUUACAUGAAGAAGGAAACCCAGUGAUCGGUUUCCUCUUUGCAGAACUGGACAUAAAGUAGUACCAGCCCGCUUCCCUCGGGCUACUCCGCAGCUGGUACAGAUGCUUCACUUCAACAAGGGAAGGCUCCUCCAACCCGCACCUCUCCCACAACACAAACAUUGCCGAGAGAACCCUCCACCCAUUUGGGUGUAGCUGACCUGGGGCCAGGUGCAUACCGCCCAGUAUCUUGGCAAAAUAACGUUGAAGGGGCAGCCGAGCUCCUAGUCUGAAACUCUCCAAGUGAAUCGUCACAUACCCUUUCGAAGGCCGACUAGGAACAUCACCUUUUUCAGGAACUACAAGGAGAACCUCAUUGGGAAUGUUGUAGAGGUUCCUAAGCUUAAAUAGAUCAGUGGGGGUGGUGGCACAAGCUAUGAAAUCAAUAGGGUAAGAAUCCGCCUCCACCCUAUGGCCAAGAUUCAUUUUCUUAGCAGGUCCGCUCGGCUCGGAACUGCUACCCUCACCAUCACCUACUUCUCCAGGGACCCCAACCCCACCAGAACUGUGGUUCUCACCCAAGCCAGACGCUGGUCCCCCUCUAUUGCCUACAAGUUCUAAUUCAGAGGAAGGUGAAAUGGUCAGGGGACGUGGGUACUCAAGGGUAUCCCUACCAUGGGAAGGACCUAUACUACCGAAGGGACGUAAAAAAUCAGUGGGUAGGGAUAAGUUAAGGUCUGAAUCCCCUGUUUCUUCAUCACUCUCAUCGGUAAUUAACUUCCUUUUCCGAUUUGACAUGUUGAAAUCCCAAAAGAAAACAAAGCAAACUCGAGUAUACGGAUACAAAAGGGGCAAUACAGAACCCAAUCAACAACAACCAGAGAAGAAGUUAAAAGUUAUACCUGGAAUAAACUAGCACUGAGAGCGCUGCCGUGACAGAGAGAACACUCAGCAAGUGGAUACUCCGGACGCAGGAAGUGUGAGCAAAGUUCGAAGAGGGGGUUGAUUAACGGCGGAGAGACGAAUAGCAAAACGAUGAUGAUUUUAAUCUAGGGAUUUGAAACGAAAAGGGGGAAAUGGAAGCGUUUAAAUGAUGGGGAUGCCAGCUCACUCACCAUAUAUCGAGGAUGGAUAGCCCGUCCUUUCAAAUUUCAAAUUUCAAAUACGAAAAAUCAUGAAGCGCCACGUCAUUAACCGUUACAAAAGGCCUGACGAGGCAUAAGCCCAAAUAUAUACGAGAUAUACUCAUAAAGGCCCAUGCUCGGAUAAAAGAAAUUUCCUCAGAUGAGAAAGGGAGCCUCAGGUCCAUCCCAGUAAACAGAAGGCCAGAUGGGAAGUUCCCCGAGCCGGUGAGGUUCGAGUAUUAGUUUCUACUCUCAACUCGUUUCACUCGCAAGACCAGAAACUGGGGGACUGGUGUUAAGUAGAUAAGAGUACCAGCUCGACCAUGUCAUCAUCUCCACGCCGAGGUGGACCACCUCAGCCGAGUUGUACGAGCAGAACACUGGUAAUGAGCCUUCUACAAAUGGGCCGACCAAAGACGAGUACCAGCCAGAAGAGUAUACUGACCAGAGACGAAUACCAGCCAGAAGAGUAUACCGACCAGAAACAUAUACCGAGCUGGUGCCCAUCCCCCAAAGAGCGGGAACACGAUCUCACAGAAUCACGACAGUUGCGCUUUUUCCAGAACCGUUGAGGGAGACGCGAGAUCCCACGUUUGCCCACAAUGUAGCAGUUAGAAUCCCAUGAGGGGCUGCCACUACUCGAAAAAGGGGGAUGGAGGGUGAAUGAGAACGUCAGACAGCGGCUAUAAAAGGGGAAGAAAUCGAUGAAGAAAGGGACAGUAAAAUUGAGAGAGGGGAAAACUCUGCCAAAUUGUAUCCAGACCCUUUUUAGUACCAAUAGUGAGUCAAUUCUAAGCAAUUAUUUGAACCUUAAUUGCACCGUUUUCCCGUAAAUAUCUUGUGCUAACUUAGGCAUCGGAGGGUUUACGCCGGCAAAACCACCGGCGUCUCUGACCCAUUUUUGUGAACGCAGGCUUAGUGAGAAAAAGAAGGAGAAGUCUAACUCCAGCAACUAGAGCGAUCGUUGAAGCAAGGAGAAAUUGACAUCCUCAUUGCUGAUAUUACAAACGUUGGUGUAAAGAUCUGGUCGGGUAUAGGACGAGCAGAUUUCAGCUGUCUCCUCUUUUGCGGCACAAGAUUUCCUUAUUUUUCGACACGUAUCAAACCGAUCUUUUUGAGAUUCGGGGCCCACAUAUCCCUUCACAUAUUUACGAAGAUUUUUAUAUCCUUUCAUGGUGUACCCGAGGUACCCCCAAAGUCCUUAGGGUAGCCGGGGUACCUAGAGUACCCGAGGUACCCAAGGUACCCGAGACAAAUUAAUCUCUUAAAUAUCGACACGUGGCGCUUCAUCAUUAGUCUCAUAUUUCCUUCCCAAACAGGGGGUAAACUCAUGUCAUAUACUGUAGUCUUUAAUUUGGGCUUUGUUGUAUCAAUUUUUUUGGAGUUUAUCUUGUUUUACUUUUUCAUUUUUAUAGUGCAAGAUUUUCGGUGGAGAUAAAUCAGGAAUAAUAGUGAAAUCCCAAUCUUAAAAUUUGGGAGAAAUGAAAUGCGAUAUGUUUUUUCAUGAAUAAAACAAUUCAAUUUUUUGUUAGCACUUGCAUAUGUUGCAAGUUAAUUACACCGUCAACACCUGCGGGAAAUUUAUAUAUUUUCUGUCAGCACUUGCAUACGUUGCAAUUUUCAAUGACUUUCAAAUCUUCAUAUCGUGAAUUAGCAGGAUUCACGUCCGACCGACUCCCCGUGGCUAAAGCAAAGGAUUAAUUUUAGAGAAAUUAUAAAGAAAUUAAUACAAGUAAAGUGAGCCUAUUCAUUUCAUUUGAUAAUUGGCUGAGGGUGAUUUCGAUAACGUUUUCAAAGAAGAUAUAGAACAUAGAUAAAAAAGAAAAACCAAGUAAUUUCAGUCGAUGGAAGAAAUGAGCAAGAUUCGCACAUGCAUGCAUGCGUCUGACUAACAGGACAUGGCUUGGAGCAAGGAUCAAUGGAAAAGUUUGAGGUUUAUGAAAUAUUGGGAAUAGAGACAAAUAAUAAAGCAACUCCAAGUUAAGCAGAUCGAAUAAACAGAGGAAAUAACCGAUCAAUUCUUUGUGCAGUGGCCACAGCAACAGCGAAAAUAUGUCUGCAUGACUACAUUAAUUAAUCCUACUAUCACCAUGCAGCAUUACAUCAACAUUUGAUCAUCUAUCAAUUUUCAUGAUAUGAGAUUAGAAACAUUGAGUUCAUAAUUUCGUGUAAUUUCAUGUACUAGAUAUAUAUAAUGUUGUGCGCAGAAUGCGGAAUCAAGCGCACCAAAUAAUUAUAGAAAAAUAAAGGACACAAGAAUUACGUGGUUCGGUAAUUAAACCUACAUCCACGGAGGCAAGAAAGAAUAAUUGUUUAUUAAACAAUUAAUAGAGUACAAUAUUUGAGUAACGAAUCUCACUUCCCAGAAACCCAAAUAUACCCAGUACUCCCGCACUCUGCAGGAAAAAUAAAUUCCCCAGACACACUUCUCUCACUUCUCUCAAAAGCUUAGAAACUUAUAAGCUUAACAAUUUUGGGAUGAUUUCAAAUGAAUGAAAUCCUUAGCUAUUUAUAGGAGAAAUGAAUUACUAUGCAAAGAAUAAAAUAAUAAUUAUUAUUUUCCAAAUCCAUCCCCUUUGUCCAUUCUUUCUUUUCGGCUUGAAAAAUCUCUACAAUUGUUGGUGUACCAAAUCGUGCUACCAACCUUGAAAUUGGCAAGCUCUUCUUUGACUUUUCAACAAUUCUCCACCUCGGCGAAGAUUUAUUCAAAUCUGAGCCGACUACCAAUGAGCCAUCAUCCCCAAAGUGGCUGCAUCUCUAUGACUGCCUACGUACCCAAAAUUUGGGAUCAAGCCAAUCGUAGUUCAAAAUUCCCGAAGGACAUAUCUUAACACAAUCGAAGGAUUUGAAUUAAUUUCAAGCAAUGUUGAAACUUAACUCCAGAAACUACCUUCGUCAACAUAUCUGAUGGAUUAUCUUUGGUAUCGAUCUUUCUCAACAACACAACACCGCUCUCGAUAAUCUCUCUCACAUAAUGAUAUUUCACAUCUAUGUGCUUCGUCCGAGCUUGAUAUGUUUGAUUCUUCGCAAGGAAUAUCGCACUUUGAUUAUCACAGAAGACCGCAAUGUUCUCCUGGAUUACUCUCAAAUCACCUAACAAGCCUUUCAACCAGAUAGCUUCUUUUACAGCUUCAGUUGCUGCCAGAUACUCUGCUUCCGUAGUGGACAGAGCAAUUGUCAAUUGUAGAAUCGACCUCCAGCUAACCGGACCUCCACCCAAUGUGAAUACAUAGCCCGUUGUUGAUCUUCGCUUGUCAAGGUCUCCAGCGAAAUCAGAAUCACAAUACCCAACACAUUGUUGACCACAAUCCUUCUUGAACAAUAACCCAACAUCAAUUGUCCCAUACAGAUAUCGGAGAAUCCACUUUACCGCAAACCAGUGUUUUUACUCAGAUUGUGCAUGUAUCUACUAACCAUGCUCACUGCUUGAGAUAUAUCGGGCCUUGUGCAUACCAUAGCAUACAUAAGACUACCCACAUCACUAGCAUAUGGAACACGAGCUAUGUAAUCACGCUCCUCUUGAGAUUUAGGACAUGAAGAAGAGCUUAAUUUGAAAUGAGGAGCUAGAGGUGUACAUACCGGUUUAGUUUUGUCAUCCAUACCGAAUCUUUCUAGCACUUUCUUCAAAUAAGACUUUUGAGUCAACCAUACGCUCCCAUUCUUCUUGUCUCUACGAAUCUCCAUCCCAAGUAUUCUCUGUGCAUCACCCAAGUCUUUCAUCUCGAACUCAGAAGCCAACUGCUUCUUUAAUCUUUCGAUCUCAUCUCUAUUCUUCGAAGCUAUAAGCAUAUCGUUGACAUAGAGUAACAAAUAGAUGAAAGCUCCAUCUGGUAGUCUUCUAAAGUAAACACAAUGAUCGUGUUCACUUCUGGUGAAUUUCUGCCCUUGUAUAAAUUGAUCAAAUCUUUUGUACCACUGCCUUGGCGACUGCUUCAGUCCGUACAAAGAUUUAAUCAACCUACACACAUGAUUCUCCUUUCCAGCAACUUUGAAACCACAAGGCUGAAUCAUAUAGAUUUCCUCCUCCAAAUCUCCAUGUAAGAAUGCUGUCUUAACAUCCAACUGAGCCAACUCUAACUCAUAUUCUGCAACUAAGGCAAGUAGGAUACGAAUAGAAGUAUGUUUUACAACUGGAGAGAAAACUUCAUUGUAGUCAAUACCUUCCUUUUGAGAAAAACCUUUUGCCACGAGCCUUGCCUUGUAUCGAGGAGUUGAUUGAUUCGGAGAUCCUUGCUUUUUGGUGUAGACCCAUUUAUUGCCAAUAGCCCUUUUCCCCUUUGGUAACUUUACAAGUUCCCAAGUCUGGUUUUGAUGGAGAGAUUUCAUCUCUUCCUCCAUGACUAACUUCCACUGAUCACUUUCACUGCUGCGUAAUGCUUCACCGAAAGUGUUGGGGAUGUCAUCAUCAAUAACUGGAAGUGCAUAGGCUACCACCAUAUCUUUAGUAAGCCAUCCAAGUUUCUUUAUCUCUCUUCUUGGCCUCCUUGUUGCUAUAAAAUCAUCAUUAUCUACAUCAUCAAUUGUUUCUUCAUUUUGUGGGACAUCAGAAGAAACAACAUCUUCUUCAACUCUAGGUGUCACCUCCAUAGUUGAACCAUUCCUUGAUGUAGAACUAACUGGUCCAUAUGGAGUUGCAUCAAACUCCACCCGUUGCAAUACCUCUUUGGUCUUGUUCUCCACCUGCUGAGAACUUGAAAUUUUCAUCAUUGAAGCUUCAUUAAAUGUGACAUCUCUACUACACACGAACUUUUUAUCUUCGAGAUCCCAAAGCUUGAAGCCCUUUACUCCACCUUUGAAUCCCACAAAGAUAGCUUUUCUAGCACGAGGAUCCAGUUUACCAUCUUUGACAUGAUAAUAAGCUAGACACCCGAAUACACGAAGGGAAUCAUAGUCUUGUGCAUACUUUCCAGACCACAUUUCCAUAGGAGUUUUACCUCCAAUUGCAGCAGAAGGCAACCGGUUUACCAAGUGACUUGCGUAGCUCACAGCUUCAGCCCAAAACCUUUUAUCUAAACUAGCAUUAGAUAACAUACACCGUACAUUCUCCAGUAAAGUACGAUUCAUAUGCUUAGCCACACCGUUUUGUUGCGGAGUAUGUCUCACUGUGAAAUGUCUUUUAAUACCCUCGUUCUGGCAUACUUGCAAGAAUGGAUCAGAAGUAUAUUCACCCACAUUAUCAGAUCGCAAUACUUUGAUCUUUCUGCCAGUUUGAGUCUCCACCAAUUUCUUCCAUUUCACGAAAAUCUCUAGAACCUCAUCAUUUGCUCGCGUGGUGUACACCCACACACAUCUAGAGAAAUCAUAAACAAAUGUAACAAAAUAAUGGCUUCCACCAAUUGAUGCAGUCUUGGUUGGUCCCCAUACAUCACUAUGAACAUAUUCAAGGAUCUCACGAGUAUCGUGAUUAGCUGUACCAAACUUGACCCUUGUUUUCUUGCCUACUACACAAUGCUCACAGAAAUUUAAUUUACAGGUUUUGGUACCUUUUAAGAGUCCAUGCCUCAUCAGAGUUUGCAAAAACUUCUCUCCAGCAUGUCCCAGUCGUACAUGCCAUAACUUGGUGGUGUCACUGUGCGCCUUAACAAUAUUUGCUUCAUCAGUUGUACCUCCCUUCAAAUAGUACAGAUUGUGAUGCCGAACCCCUUGUAGAAUCACCAUAGCCCCAUGUGUAAACUUCAUUAUACCAUCUUCAAUGGUAACCUUGUAGCCUUUAGCUUCCAAAGCACCCACAGAAAUUAGAUUUUUCUUUAAAGCUGGAACAAAUCUAACCUCUUUGAGUUCUCUGACCAUUCCAUCAAACAUUUUGAGCCGAAUUAUUCCUAUCCCCAUUGUGCGACAAGGUUGAUCAUUCCCCAUCACAACUGCACUGGAUUCCAGAUUACGAAAAUCCAUAAACCAUUCCUUAAUAGGACAUAAAUGAUAGGUUGCUCCAGUAUCAAGUAUCCACUCGCUCGAACUAGCCACGUAUGCUGCAGGAGUAAUACUUAGUGAAUAAUCAGAGCCCUCAUCUUUCCGUGCCAUGUUUGCUGCUGCUGGUUUCUUUCCAUCUCUCUUUUGAGCCUUUGGACAAUCUUUCCUCCAAUGGCCCUUUUCAUGACAAAAGGCACACUCAUCUCGAGCUAUAUUUCUACUUCUCGAUUUGGAUCGAGAAUUCUUUCCACCAUGCUUCUUCUGUUUCUUCAUCGCCCAAUCUCUGCUCACCAAAGCUUCAGACGAUGCUCGUUCAUAAUUUUUAUCAUUAUUCUGAAUCUCUGAGCUAGUCAAUGCUGUGCAAACAUCUUUAAAGACGAUCACACUCUUCCCAUAUAUCAAAGUAGUCACAAAAUGGCUAUAUUCCUCUGGUAGUGAGUGUAACAGAAUCAUAGCCUUGACUUCAUCCUUAAUAUCUUCAUCAAGAUUCUUCAAAUCAGUAAGUAACUUUUCAAAUCUUGAAACAUAAUUGUGCAUUGACACCCCAGGCUUCAUUCGAAAACCAUAUACUUGGCUCAUUGCAUGAAGGCGAUUUUCAGGACUUUUCACCAGGUACUUCUCCUCCAAUGUACGCCACAAAGUCACUGCACACUCCUCAUCUUUCACCAAGUAUUUUACCUCAUUGGUCAAACAAGAUCUGAUCUGACCACAGGCUUUUUCAUUCAUACGAUCCCAAAUUUCUUCAUCAUACAAGUGUCUUUUAUUUUUCAGAAUAACAUCGAGAUCGAUUUGAAUAAGGGCAUCCAUAACUUCGCGCCUCCACAUGCCGAAGUUGAUUUUCCCAUCAAACUUUUCAACAUCGAUCUUCUGGCCUCCUAUAACAGGUGCUGAAUAGUGAUUUGACAAAUCUCGCCUCCCACCUGAAGUGUCUCCUGAAAUAGUCUCGGUAGAUCUCUCCCCAAUUCUGGAAGUUUCACCUUCUACCAUUUUCUCAAUGAACUAUUUCCACUUGAAAAACAGUCUCUAUGAUGUUAAUUUCGCGUGAAUAAAUGCACCAGGAAAGUUCCCAGGAAAUUGGACGGGAACUCGGUCCCAAUUAAAAACCAGAAUCCUUAGACUCUUAUCGCCUUUGUUGACAGAACUUUCCUAGACAUGCAAAAAUACACACUACUUACAAUAGACUAUCUCCCAAGUACAAAUGGCCGUCUCCACCGUAUUCGUGAACAGUACCAUAUGUGAACAGUACCGUAUACGGGAAUAGUGCCGUAUACGUGAACAGUACUGUAUACGGGAAUAGUGCCGUAUACGUGAACAGUACCGUAUCCCCCCAAGUACGAACCGUCGACUCUGAUACCACUUGUUGUGCGCGGAAUGCAGAAUCAAGCGCACCAAAUAAUUAUAGAAAAAUAAAGGACACAAGAAUUACGUGGUUCGGUAAUUAAACCUACAUCCACGGAGGCAAGAAAGAAUAAUUUUUUAUUAAACAAUUAAUAGAGUACAAUAUUUGAGUAACGAAUCUCACUUUCCAGAAACCCAAAUAUACCUAGUACUCCCGCACUCUGCAGGAAAAAUAAAUUCCCCAGACACACUUCUCUCACUUCUCUCAAAAGCUUAGAAACUUAUAAGCUUAACAAUUUUGGGAUGAUUUCAAAUGAAUGAAAUCCUUAGCUAUUUAUAGGAGAAAUGAAUUACUAUGCAAAGAAUAAAAUAAUUAAAAAUGUAAUUUUUAAUUAUUAUUAUUUUCCAAAUCCAUCCCCUUUGUCCAUUCUUUCUUUUCGGCUUGAAAAAUCUCUACAAUUGUUGGUGUACCAAAUCGUGCUACCAACCUUGAAAUUGGCAAGCUCUUCUUUGACUUUUCAACAUAUAAUUGAGUUAGUUUAACAUCUAAAGAAAGAGUAAUGGGGAAUGAUGUCGAUGUGGCAUUUGAUGAGUAAUGAUAGACAACAAAUACUGAUCAUGUAAGAAUGAAGUCUGUAUUUACUGAAAAAUAUUUGGCAAUAAAAUGAUGCUUUAAAAAUUUAAUAUUAGUUGCAAGAAAAUAAAUUGGCAAUUAAAAUUAAUAGAUAUAUAUCCAAUGCUUCGAAGUUUAUUUUAUCAGUUCGCUAACAGUUUUGUAAUUACAUUUUAAUUAUAAUGUCGAAAAGAGAUUUGAUUUUUGUACUAAAAAAAAUUAGCAAUGAAACAAGUCAAAAUCAAUCACAAGAACAACAAUAAGAGCAUAUUUUAUAAAAACCACAAAUACAUAAUAUAAAUUUAGUUUCGAAUUAGGUGAUUAUUAGUUUGCAGAGUAAGAGUGUCUUAUAGAAAAAUAGGAAUUUUUUUAAAAGAGAUUUACUUAAGGAACAACUUUAGUUUGGUUUAGUUUGUGAAGGCUCAAGUAAUUGAAAGCAAUGCAAUUGAAGGAAAUACAAGCAUGUGUCUAAUUAGCAAAUGAAUUUCACUUUAACAAAGAAUAAAAGCUAAUUUCAUUGAUGGCAUAUGUUGUGCUUUCUUUUCUUUUAUUUUAAUUUUUUUCCUUUUAGUUAUUGAGGUUACUUUGCAAACUGCUCCAAGCUAAAUACAUAAUUUACUCUUACACUAGGACCUUUGCAAUGGUCCUGCAAUUUGUAUUCUUUCGGUCAGAUUGGUUUUCUUAUUUAAAUAAAAUUUCAGGGAUGGGAAAUCUUAUCCAUUGAAUAUCAACUUUGAAUUUUAUUAAUAUUCAAACUUAGAAAGUACUGCAGGAACAAAGUGCAUUCAUAGCCGGUUACACUAUGUCUAGCUACAAUGCAAGUUUCACUUUUACUUAAUUAAAUAUACAAAAUUAAAUCACAUGAGCCUCUCGUUUCAUUAUACGUCAACUUAAAAUUAAAACGCAGAAUUGAUGGUAUUGGAGUUUCAUAUUUAUUUUUUCUGUACUCAUGGGGAAUCAGAUGGCCAUCCAUUUUUACGUCUAUUUUAUGGCCAUCCCCACUAAGUAGCUUGAUCAUAUACAAUAUGUGUGUGCGUGUGUGUAUGUGUGUACUGGGAUGUCACAGGCCCUAAAAGAUAAAGCUGAACAUCAAUCCCAAAUCUACAGUGAAAAACAGUAGCUAUAACAGAAUCUUUGUUUUGAUGUCUAGAAAAUGCAUGAUAGAACAGAGAACUCAUAUUUUAGCAAUAAUCCUAAGCUCUCUGGCCCUUAGUUCAGAGUGGCAGUUCUUAUUAGUCAAAGAAUCAAAUUUACUUUUAGUUGUAUAUAAGUAGAGCACUAGAUCAACAAAUAAUUGAAGACUUGCUUGGCUAUUGAACCAUACGAAGGCAAUUCGUGAACAGCCUUGAUAUUUCAUUUGGUUUUAUCUAAUUCUCUGUAAAGUUGUCUUGUGUGUAAAAUUUUAAAAGCAAACAUCAAAGUCACGAUCAAAGGGACGAAAUCAGUAUAAAUAUUGAUAGUCUCAAGUUAGAUUAUGCAAAGAUGAAUUAAUGCUAAUCUAAAAAAUUCGAUCAUUAUAAUUUGAUUUCCAUUAUAUUAAUUAUGUUCAAUCUUGCUAUUUUAAUGAAGAACACUCGAGGAUUUAUAUACACUCAGCUUAUGAAAUUAAUUACAAAACGAUCUUUGACCAAGUCUGAUGAAAAGAUCAUAUUAUAAGUGCAAAGUUACACUUCCCGAUCAUGCAACUAUCCAUCGAAUUGUGUAUUGUGUUAUCGUUGAGCUCUUAGGAAGGUUCAGCUUCUGAGGAGAAGAUGUAAUCGGUUUUUAUGUGACAAGCCAUGUCCUCUGCUUUUAUGGUGUUUAUCUUGGUAGUUUUUGGACAAACUGUAAUGUAAAUUUCUAUCUUAAGGGAUUCCUAAUCCUUUUAGUUAGUUUGGGAUUGUUGAUUUAUCUAUGAUGUUUGGUAUCCAAAAUUCAGGUGAUGAUAAUCUUGGCAGUACUUUUGUCAAAUUUUCUUUUAUGUGGGUGUUGUUUUAAUUGAAUAUCACAAAGGUGCAAAAUGCGGUAAAAUUAACAUUGAGCUCAUGAGAUUGCCAUUAGAUAUAUUGAAAAAGAAAUUGAUACAAGGAACUGAAAAUUAGUUGUUAAUUAUGAUGGGAAUUUAAUCUUGGUAUUUUGAUUAUAUAUAUCUAACGCAUGUGCACUAAUCUCAUUUGUGUCUAUCACUGAAAAGCAUUCUGCUAAUUUACAUCACAGAAAUCACAGAAACUCACUCAACAUUCUGCUAAUUUAUACUAAUUAAUUAAUACGACUAACAGGAAAAGUUGGAUCUCGUCUUUUCUUGGUUAUAUCCGGUGACUUUGAGUUCUCCAGCCUCCCAGGUUCCGAAUGGGGUCCUAAAAUAUCUUGCUGGAAAUGUUCUUCCUUCAGAUUCGGUGGUUAUAUGUGGCCUUGCUAAAAAUCAGGUGAUUGUUUUUCAUUAUUGCGGCUACUUGACUCAAUUAUGUUAUUGCAAGAGGAGAUUUCUAUUUUGUCUGGUUUAAGCCAUAAGAUGAGUUUCAAGAUUCAUUCUGAUUGGUUAUCUGUUAGCUUUUUGUCAUAUUCAGAAGUUGCUUUUGUCAUAUCAGAAGAAGAGGCUAAGACUGUUGAAGUACUAGAAGGGAUUACUGCGCUGAUUGGUCGAAACUACUAUGGUUGUCUUUCAUGAGCUUUUAGUAUCCAAUGUUGAUUAACUCUUCCAUUUGAACAUGAGAGUAAUCAGAUAGUUGAUAUUUAUGUUACAAAAGUUGGAAGCAACUUAAGCAAUUCAGUAUCAUGCGAGGACUUUAAUAAUAAUCCUUGUUUGAGGGAAAUACUCCGACGAGACCAGACGUGAUGAGCAGAUGUUUGGUGGUAGAAGUCUGCGAGCAGGUAUGUCCUGUAAGAGCCAGGUAGCAGGGGAACAGGGGCAGGAAUAUCCUGCUCAUCCACGAGCACGUCAUCUGCGAGGCCAAUUUCCUGUAAGAGGCAUAAAGCCAUUCCUGCUGUAUUCUCGCUGAGGGUUGAUUCGAGGAGACCCGGUCAACGACAGUUGGCGAGGCAUGCUCUCCAGCCCGAGAAUCUAGGCACGAAGGCCACGCAACCACCCACGACUACGGAAAUGGGGAAUCCACGUUCGAGAGGUGGGAGGAUAACGGGCGUAGACUGCGGAAAACUGGGAUUCAGAGGAAGCCUAUAAAAAGGUAGCCAACGAAGGUAAAAAGGUUAUCAAUUUUGAGAUUAGAAGAGAGAUAAAGAAAUUCUAAGGAAGAGAAAACUACCCAAAAGCCAUAAGAUCUGUGGCAAGCGUUCCCCGAACCUUCAUAUCUGACUUGAGCGUCGGAGGGUUUGCGCCGGGAAAACAACCGGCGUACUCUGACUUGUCUGUGUGCGCAGGAACCUCUGGAGAAGAAGCUUUACGAGGAGAGAUCCUGGUCGUGGUGAAGUUGAUCAAGCAGAGACCCUGGUCGUAGAACGAGGACAACCAGAAUCUCGCAUCAACAAUCCUCAUUCCUUUGCUUCUUGGACUUUUUUAUUAAUUCACUGGCUGUAUGCUUAUCCGACCUCUGAUUUUUCUUAAUAUUUUUCUGUAGUUCACUUCACAGCACUUUAGCCGCUACAUUGGCAUUUAAAUGCUAUUUGUUAUUGUUCAUUGAAGCAAGUUAACUUAUGGAAUUGCUUUUUGAUAAAUGUUCUUCACAGGACUGUGAAAGGCCAAAUCAACUGAGAUGACCGGGUUUUCUAGAUCAGCCAUCUCUGUCCUCAACAGUGCUGAACUGUCAAUUACUAAGACACCAAACUCUAACCUGAUUUAUAUGGAUGUAGACUAAAGCUUCUUGCCGAAACCAUCCCCAAUCAAAGCUGCUAUCUUUGAAAGUUCUGCAAGAGAAAACAUGUCUGAGUCAGACAUUGACGUCUCCCCAAGCAUCAAACAAUAUAUCAAGAGCAAUGUUGGUUUCCCAGUCGAUACAAAUGCAGAAUUCAUAUAUGCAGAUUGCUCUCAAUCUCUGUUUGAUAAGCCAGUCCUCUGCUGUAUCUUAGAAGGUGGAACAAUACAUUAUGCUUCCCAGCAGGCUCCAAUGGGAACUAUGUUUCUGCUGCCAAAUUCUUGAAAUCGAUAAUCGGGAAUAUCCCUACCCAGUUUGAAGUGGGCUUUGAUACUUGUGACUGUAAAGAAGUCGUAGGUGUACAUUUCUGGUCCAACAAUCAAUCUAAUUGGCUUACUUCACAGCAACAAAGAGAUAGAGGAUACAUUAACUGUUUGUGCAAAAUAUGGGGCAAGAGCUUAUUUAGUGUCGUGUCAAAAUAAAUAUAACAAAGUUUUAGCUGAAUAUAAAUUCGACUUAGUUGUUAAAUAUAUAUAUUUAAUAAAAUAAUAACAUGAUUAAUAUGUUACCAAACAAAUAAACACAAUUGAAAUAACCGUAACGUGAAAACAAAACAACUCAAUUGUUUUUGUGUUUUUUGUAAAUUCUUGUCAUGUAGAGUCUUUUGGGCUUUACUGCAUCAAUUAUUUGGUGUUUAUCUUGUUUUAUUCUUUUACGAUGCAAGAUUCUUGUAGUGAAACAUCUGGAAUAAGAGUGAAAUCGCAAUCUUACAAUUUCGAGCAAUGAAAAGCGAUAUGAUAUUUCAUGAAAAAAAGGAUUUAAUUUAUUAUUUCUACUAGCAAAAACUAUUAAUUCAUCAACCCAUCAAGAUUUUGGCUAAGGGUGAUUUCGACAACGUUUUCACUUAUCAAAGAUGAAAUAGAACAAAGAUAAAAAAUAAAAAUAAGUAAUUUCAGUCGAUGCCAAAAAUGAGCAAGCUUCGCAGAUGCAUGCAUGUGUCUGACUGGCAGAACAUGGCUUGGAUCAAGGGUCAAUGGAGGAAACAUAAACUUAUAAUUUUUUAUAAUGUAAGCAUCAAAAUUAUUCGAUAAGUUUGAGGUUCAUGAAGUAUUGGGAAAAAAUACAAAUAAACAGAACAGAGGAAAUAACUGAUCAAUUUAAUUCUUUGUGCAAUAGCCACAACAACAGAGAAAAUAUGCCUACAUGACUUCAUUAAUCCUACAGGCGUGGUAUUAUCACCAUGCAACAUUACAUUAACAUUUCAUCAUCAAUCAGUUUUGAUGGUAUGAUAUUAAAAACAUCGAUUGCAUAAUUUUAUGUAAUUUCACGUAAAAGAUAUGAUUGAUUUGAGUUAGUUUAACAUAUAAAGAAAGAGAAAUGGGGAAUGAUAUCACUGUGGCGUGUGAUGAGUAAUGAUAGACAACAAAUAUGGAUCAUGUAAUAAUGAAAUAUGUAUUUAGUAAAAAAUAUUUGGCAAUAAAAUGAUGCUUUAAAUUUUAAUAUUAUUUGCAAAAAAAUAAUUUGACAAUUAAAAUUAAAAGAUAUACAUGCAAUGCUUUGAGCUUAUUUUAUCACUUCACUAAGUAUUUUGUAACUACAUAUUAAAUAGAAGUUCAAUUAAUUCUGAACUCUAGAGAAUGUCGAAAAGAGAUUUAAUUUUUGUAUUCCAAAAAAUUAGAGAUGAGAUAAUUUGAAAUCAAUUACAAGAACAACAAUAAGAAUAUAUUUUGUAAAAGCCACAAAUACAUAUAAUAUAAAUUUAGUUUCGAAUAAAGUAAUUAUUAACUUAUAUUGUAAGAGAUUGUUAUAGGAAAGUAGGAAGUUUUUAAAAGGAUUUGCUUAAGGAACAACUUUAGUUUGGUUUAAUUUGGGAAGGCUCAAGUAAUUGAAAGCAAUGCAAUUGAAGGAAUUCAAACUUCGGAUUUUGACAAAGCAAUCGCUAAAAUAUUUGUCAAGUUUGAGAUUUUAAAAAGGUUGGGAAAAUAGACGAAUAAUAAAGACCCUGCAAGUUGGCAGAGCAAAUAAACAGAGGAAAACAAUUGAAAUUAAAACGCAAAAAUUGAUGGUAUUGGAGUUCCUUAUUUAGUUUUGCUGUAGGUCAUGGGAAUUAGAUGGCCAUCCACCAAGUGGCUUGGUCAUAUAUAUAUAUAUAUAUAUAUAGACACAAACACAUACGUAUCGGAAUGUCAUAGGCCUUAAAACAGUAGCUAGAACAGAAUCUUAUAUCUAUAGAAUCAAUAAAAAUAGUUGAUGGAAUCAAUACCGAAAGCUUCAUUUGAUUAAUAAUAAACUACGGACAUUUAUUUAUAACAUCUGUUAGAUUCUGGACAAUCACAGAGAUAUAGUAGCAGAAACUAUGUUAGAGACACUGUAGUUGCUUAAUUAGUGAAAUUGUGAUCUCAUUGCCCCCUUUUUUUGGUUGAUUCUAUAAUUUUAUUAGUUGUUCUUGUGGUUGUAAACAAUAUCAAUUUCUAAUAUUAAUAAAACUGAAUGAAUAUAAUACGAUGCAUUUGCAGGAAAGUUAAUAGUUUAAAUGUGGAAAAAUCUUGGAUGUUGAUGGAUAGAAGGUCUAUAGAAUAUGAGAACGCGGUAAAUGAGUUUCUCAAGUUUGCAGUACUUCAUGCUAGUCAUCCUGAGCUUUUGAGAUGUCCAUGCCAAGCAUGUCUUAGUUUAUAGGCUCAAACAAUUAAGAGUAUAGAAAAUGCAUGAUAGAACACAGAAGUCAUAUUUUAGCAACAAUCCUCAGCUCAUUGGCCCUUAGUUCAGAAUGACAAUUCUUAUUAGCCAAAGAUUCAAAAUGAUUUUUAGUUGUUUAUAAGUAGAACACUAGAUCAACAAAUAAUUGAAGACCUGCAGCUUGGCCAUUGAACUAUACGAUGAUGGCAAUUCGAAGACUACAACUUGGCUCUGCCAUUCGAAGUAAGCAACGCAGCUGCCCAAAGUCUGCCAAGCCAUCAAGACUCAAGUAUACUUCAAAGCCACAUCAAGACAAUACUAAGCUACAACAUCAAUAAUAAUAACACCAAGAAAUACACGGAGGCCAUUGCAUGCUACAGCCACCCCAAUAAGAAAUUAAUAAAGACAGUCCUAGAAAGUUACAAACCCAUGCAGUAGGAAUAACUAAUUAAUUUAUACAGUUCUGUACUCGUUCCUCUGUAUAUGCCGAUAUUAUCCUCCCUCCUUUAUGUACCUUUCAAUUUAGUGAGGUUUAGACAGGGGUUCCAGAUUUGGUAAAUCAACAAUCACCAGAUAUGAUAGAGCGGCCGGAAGAGGAAGCAUGAUUCCUAAUCCUAAUCUUGAUUUAGAGCGGAUUAGGUAACAUGUGGCAUUCUACAUUCCUGCAAUGCCAUUUCUUGUUAUGGCAGCGGCAUUCUUGGUCAUGGCAUCACAAGCAAAUGCUUUGAUUUGAAGACUUGCUUGGCUAUGAAAAAUAAGGAGAGCAAAGGUAAGUAAUCUUGGUGUGAUCAACAUUUUUAUGGGGUACUAAGAAAAAUAAAGAUAAUAUAAGGAAUGUUGUUGAGGAGUAUUUUCAUAUUUACACAAGUGUUCAAAGUAAACAUUGAUUUCUUAAAACCCAUUAGCUAGCGCACAUAAUAAUGGGGAGAAAAUUUUAGACUACGAAUGGUCCCACCCAUUUAAUAAUAUUCUUCAAUCAAUUAUGUUUGCUUCAAAAAAAAAACCCAUCGCUUUAUUACUUUCUAACUAUUCAUAUUAAUGUGUUAAUAAUUAUGAAGAACCGGUGUAAUUUAUAUGAUGUAGGAAGCACUUUAGGCAAAAUCAUUUGAAUCUAAAAAUUUCAUGAUAUUGUGCCAAAUAUCCAAAACAGAGCUUCCUACAUUUCAUUGCGCUAGCUAAUUUCUUGUACCAAAAUUAGGAAUCACUGAAGAGUAGAGUUACGUGACUGUAUAGUAUCAUAUCACAGAAACUCGAAACUCAAAACUCAAAAGUGCAAUAACAUUGAACAUUCAGCUGGCUAGCUUAUAUUAAUUAAUUAAUACUACUACUAGUUCUUUAUGAUUAAUUAAAAGAUAAAAUAUUUGACAAUCACAAAACAUUAUUCCAUCACUGAAGAGUAGAGCUUCCUACAUUGUUACCCAAGCUCUUUUAUAUCUCCCAAACAUUAUUAAAGUCCCACAUUUGUGGCACAUCAUUAAGUAAAAUGUGCCAAUUAGGAAGAGCUGGCUUCUUUGUUUUGUUUUCUUGGAUGUGCUGCAAUUUUCAAGUAUCAUUCAAAAUUUUACACCAUCAACACAGGAAAAUUAUAUAUAUUCUGUCAGCACUUGCAUAUGUUGCAAUUUUCCAUGGAUUCCAAAUCUUCAUAUCAUGAAUUAGCAGGAUUCACGUCCGACCAACUCCACGUGGCUAAAGCAAAGGAUUAACUUUUGAGAAAUUAUAAAGAAAUUAAUCCAAGUAAAGUGAGCCUCUUCAUUUGAUUUGAUAAUUGGCUAAGUGUGAUUUCGAUAACGUUUCCAAAGAUCAAAAAGAAAAAUAAGUAAUUUGAUCAGUCGAUGCAAAAAAUGAGCGAGCUUCGUAGUCUGACUAAGAGGACAUGGCUUGAGGUUUAUGAAAUAUUGGGAAAAGAGACAAAUAAUAAAGCCACUACAAGUUAAGCAGAUCAAAUAAACAGAACAGAGGAAAUAAGUGACCAAUUUAUUACUUUGUGCAAUGGCCACAGCAACAGCGAAAAUAUGUCUACAUGACUACAUUAUCCGACUGGCAUGGUACUAUCACCGUGCAGCAUUAGACUAACAUUUCCUUAUCAAUCAAUUUUGAUGGUACGACAUUAAAAACAUCGAUUUCAUAAUUUUAUGUAAUUCAUAGAAAAGAUAUAAUUGAUUUGAGUUAGUUUAACAUAUAAGGAAAGAGUAAUGGGGAACGAUGUCGAUGUGGCAUGUGAUGAGUAAAGAUAGACAACAAAUAUUGAUCAUAUAAUAAUGAAAUAUGUAUUUAUUGAAAAUAAAUUGACAAUUAAAAUUAAUAGAUAUAUAUCCAAUACAUCGAGUUUAUUUUAUCACUUCGCUAACUAUUUUGUAACUACAUGUUAAUUAGAAGUUCAAUUAAUUUUGACCAAAGACUCUAGAGAAUGUCGAAAAGAGAUUUGAUUUUUGUCUUAAAAAAAAUUAGAAAUGAAAUAAGUCAAAAUCAAUGACAAGAACAACAAUAAGAGCAUAUUUUAUAAAACCACAAAUACAUAAUAUAAAUUUAGUUUCGAAUUAGAUAAUUAUUAAUUUGUAUAGUAAGAGAGUCUUAUAGAAAAAUAGGAAUGUUUUAAAAGGAGAUUUGCUUAAGGAACAACUUUAGUUUGGUUUAAUUUGUGAAGGCUCAAGUAAUUGAAAGCAACGCAAUUGAAGAAAAUACAAGCAUUUGAUUUUGAAAAAGUAAUCACUAAAAUAUUUGACAAGUUUGAGAUGUUAAAAAACUGGAAAAAUAGACAAAUAAUGAAAACCCUACAAGUUGGCAAAGCAAAUAAACAGAGGAAAACAGAGCAAAUACUUACCGUUAAACAUAUAUUUUUUUUAUUUUUUCCGAAAAAGAAUGUUGCGAUAUUUUUUCCCAAAAAGAAGCACAGUUUGAUAUUACUACCAUAGAACUUUAACUACCAUAUAUAAGCACGUGUCUAAUUACCAAAUGAAUUCCGCUAUAACAAAUAAUAAAAGCUAAUUUCAUUGAUGGCAUAUGUUGUGCUUUCUUUUAUUUUCUUUUAUUGAAGUUACUUUGUAAACUGCUCGAAGCUAAAUACAAAAUUGACUCUUACACUAGGAUCUUUGCAAUGGUCCAGCAAUUUGUAUUUCCUUUCGGUGAGGUUGGUUUUUUUCUUUAAAUAAAAUUUCAGGGAUGAGAAAUCUUGUCCAUUGAACAUCAACUUUGAAUUUUAUUAAUAUUCAAACUUAGAAAGUACUGCAGGAACAAAGUGCAUUCAUAGCCGGUUACACUAUGUCUAGCUACAAUGCAAGUUUCACUUUUACUUAAUUAAAUAUACAAAAUUAAAUCACUUGAGCCUCUCGUUUCAUUAUACUUCAACUUAAAAUUAAAACGCAGAAUUGACGGUCAUGGGGAAUCAGAUGGCCAUCCAUUUUUUUGUCUAUUUUAUGGUCAUCCCCACUAAAAGAUAAAGCUGAACAUCAAUCCCAAAUCUAAAGUGAAAAACAGUAGCUAGAACAGAAUCUUUGUUUUGAUGUCUAGAAAAUGCAUGAUAGAACAGAGAACUCAUAUUUUAGAAAUAAUCCUAAGCUCACUGGCCCUUAGUUCAGGGUGGCAGUUCUUAUUAGCCAAAGAAUCAAAUUGACUUUUAGUUGUAUAUAAGUGGAACACUAGAUCAACAAAUAAUUGAAGACUUGCUUGGCUAUUGAACCAUACGAAGGCAAUUCGUGAACAGCCUUGAUAUUUCAUUUGGUUUUAUAUAAUUCUCUGUAAAGUUGUCUUGUGUGUAAAAUUUUUGUUACCUGAAAUCGGUAGGUGAAGAGAAUUUUUAAAAGCAAACAUCAAAGUCACGAUCAAAGGGAUGAAAUUGGUAUAAAUAUUGAUUGUCUCAAGUUAGAUUAUACAAAGAUGAAAAAAUGCUAAUCUAGAAAAUUCGAUCAUUAUAAUUUGAUUUCCAUUAUAUUAAUUAUGUUCAAUCUUGUUAUUUUAAUGAAGAACACUCGAGGAUUUAUAUACACUCCGCUUAAGAAAUUAAUUACAAAACGAUCUUUGACCAAGUCUGAUGAAAAGAUCAUAUUAUAAGUGCAAAGUUAGACUUCCCGAUCAUGCAACUAUCCAUCGAAUUGUGUAUUGUGUUAUCGUUGAGCUCUUAGGAAGAUUUAGCUGCUGGGUAGAAGAUAUAAUCUGUUUUUAUGUGACAAGCUAUGUACUCUGCUUUUAUGGUGUUUCUAGCUGUUGGACAAACUGUAAUGUGUGUUAAGGAAGCUCAUAUGCAUAGAAUGGUCAGUGAAGCAGAGGAUUGUAACACCAGCUGUUCACAGAUACAAGUGGAUGACAUGGCUUGCCAGCUGGAGCCUGGUGGCUUUGUAAUCUCUUGCACACGUGAAGAUUAUUAGAAUCUGUUAUAGUCUUUCUUGUGCUAAAUAGUUAGUUAGAUAAUUAGCUAAUUAGCUUUUAUGAUUAGUUAUAAAAUUUAGUUAGUUAAAAUCACUACUGAUGUAUAUAAAGAGAAUAAUGUACAGAUUCAUUGUAAUUGUGAUUUCGUGAUAAUAAACAAAUUCUAUUUUAUCUGUUUUCCAAUAUUAUUGAUUUUCUACUUGGUAUCAGAGCCAACAAUGGCGUCUGCAAAUCUUGCUUCUUCUUCCUCACACCAAACUCAAAAUCUGCCUACAAAUUCAACUACUGUUUCUUUUACUUUUAACACACCAGUCAAGCUCGAUCAAUCCAAUUAUCUCAUAUGGCGAUCACAAGUUCUAGCCUCAAUUCGUGGAAAUAGGCUUGAAAAGUUUAUCGAUGGUUCGAUCACUCCUCCUUUAUCUCAUAUAGCUCAAAGAGUUGAUGAUGAACUCAGAUCUGUGGAAAAUCCAGAAUUCAUAACAUGGAGAUCUCAAGACCAUGUGCUGUUUGGAUGGCUGCUCUCCUCCAUGAGUGAAGGAAUCAUAAGUCUAGUGUUCAACCUGGAAACAUCACUUGAAGUGUGGAAAGCAAUUAAGGUACAAUUUGGCUCGCAAUCUAAAUCUAGACUUUUACAUUUAAGGUAUAUGAUGAAUUCUACAAGGAAAGAUGAUAUGAAGAUUACAGACUAUUUCAUUAAGAUGAAAAACAUAGCUGACAAUAUGGCUGCACCAGGAAGUGCUUUGAGUAGUGAUGAUUUGAUUUUGCAUGUGUUAUCUGGACUAGGACCAGAUUAUAAUUCAGUAGCUACUUACAUUACUGGUCAAGUAGGAGUUCGAAAAAUGAAUGUGAAUGAGGCAUAUGCCAUGCUCUUAACUCAAGAGGCUAGGAUUGAACAACAGUCACAAAUGCUUGCUGGUGUGGAUAUGAAGAACAAUUUUGAGGCAAAUUAUGCUUAAAAUAAAGGAGCUAAGAAGAAUAACAUGUCAGGUGGAAGAGGUUUUAGUGGUUAUGGUUAUAAUUCUAGAAUUGGAAAUGGUGGUUAUUACAAAGGAAAUUUUGGUACUGACUCUGCUGGUGCUGGUACUGGUUUUAAUACUCAGUUUAGAGGCUAUCAAUCAGGCAAUCAAAGAGGAGGAGGAGGAGGUAACUGGAAUAAUAAUAAUGGAGUUGGCAACUUUAACAAUGGCAAACCACCUAUGAAUUCCAAACCUCAGUGGAAUACUUCAAAACCUACUUGCCAGAUUUGUCUCAGGCCUGGACAUACUGCAAACAUCUGCUGGAAGCUGGAAGAAUUCAUUACUUCAGGUGCUUACAGACCACCACCAAAUAGAGGACCAAAAGCUGCUUAUUUGGCUAACAUGGAUGCUCUAGCUGAUACAAAUUGGUAUCUCGACAGUGGGGCUACUCACCAUCUCACUAAUGAUCUGAACAAUAUGCAUAUGGCUGAAUCUUUUGCAGGUACUUCUAAACUUGUCAUUGGAAAUCGUGUUGGUUUAUGCAUAACACAUACAGGCUAUGCUGUUUUGAGAAUGCAAAGUUCUGUAAAUAAAUUUGAGCUUAAGCUGGACAACAUUCUUCUUGUGCCUAAAAUAACCAAAAACAUGAUUAGUAUAUCCAAACUAACUAGAGAUAAUGAUGUUGUGGUAGAAUUUACUAAUGAUUUCUGUUUUGUUAAGGACAAGGUGAGGAAUCUGAUCAUGCUGCAGGGUAAAGCUAAAAAAGGAUUGUAUAGAUUGCUAUUAGUCUCAGCAAAAAAAUCUUCUCCUUAUUUGUCAAACCAGUGCUUUCUUGCUCAUGUUCAGUCAGCUGUCUCAACUCAACCCAUUUCAAUGUUUUCUGCUGUUAAUUCUAAGUGUCAGAAUAAAACUGCUUCUCAGUCACAUACUGAAGCACAGUAUAGUCAAGACUCUGACUGUAUGUUGAGUACUAUGAUUUUACAUCAAAAAUUAGGUCAUCCUAAUGCUAAAGUAUUGAGUCAUGUAAUCAACUCUUGUCCAUCUUUCAAAACUAUCAAUGGAAAUAAAGUUUUUGAUUCUUGUGAUGCUUGUAAGUUGGGAAAAAUGCAUAAACUGCACUUUCCAGUAACUGAAACCAAAACCAGAACGGCACUUGAAAUUCUACAUACAGAUCUAUGGGGGCCUGCUCCUACACUCUCUUUACAAGGUUAUAGAUACUACAUCAGCUUUGUUGAUGAUUUCACAAGAUUCACCUGGAUUUUUCCUUUAAAAACCAAAUCUGAAGCCUUUCAAGUUUUUCAAGUUUUUAAAGCUCAAAUAGAGAAACAAUUAGAUAAAUCAAUAAAAUGCCUUCAGUCUGAUUGGGGUGGUGAGUAUAGAUCAUUUGUUCAAUUUCUUCAAAAGGAAGGAAUUCAGUUUAGACAUUUCUGUCCCUAUACACACAAUCAAAAUGGUCUUGUGGAAAGAAAACAUAGACAUAUCACUGAGUUGGGUUUAACCUUACUUGCACAAGCCAAGUUACCUAUAAAAUUUUGGUGGGAUUCAUUUCAUACAGCUACCUAUAUUAUCAAUAGACUUCCAACCCCUGUUCUUUCCUUGAAAACCCCUUAUGAACAUCUUUUUAAUCUAAAGCCAGAUUAUCCUUUUCUCAAAACUUUUGGUUGUGCUUGUUUUCUUUUUCUAAGAGAUUACAAUCAUCACAAGUUUCAUUUUCAUACUUCUAAGUGUGUUUUCUUAGGGUACAACCCUUUACACAAAGGCUACAAAUGUCUCCAUUCAUCAGGGAAAGUUUACAUAGCCAGUCAUGUUCUCUUUGAUGAAACUUCUUUUCCAUAUUCUACUGAUCCCACCUUCUUGCAUUCUAUGCCAUCAAAGUCCUCUGACUUUCUUUACAAUUCAUUCCAAUCCUUUCAUAUUUCAGUCCCUAAUAGCAAUCAACAUCCUUUUGAAGUUGCUUCUGCAGGUACAGAUUCUCAUACCUCAAGUUCUACUCACAACAUCAUCUCACUCCCUUUUACCACAUUACCAGCUGCAACCUCAAACACCACACCAGCUGGAACCUCAAACACCACACCAGCUGGAACCUCAAACACCACACCAGUUGCAACCUUAAACACCACACCAGCUGAAACCCCAAACAUCACACCAGCUAUAAUCUCAAACACUACACCUUUAUCUACAAUAAAUCAAACCUCUCCAGACAUGCCAUUAUCAACUUCCAGAUCACUUUCUUCACCUCCACAAUCCAUCAUAUCUACUCAUCCUAUGAUUACCAGAGCCAAAGCUGGCAUAUUCAAACCAAAGGCAUUUUUAACAGCUCAUAACAGUUUAGAACCAUCUAAUAUUAGUGAAGCUUUUUCUGAUUCUAAGUGGAAGGCAGCAAUGCAAGAUGAAUUUGAUGCUCUCAUUAGAAAUAAAACCUGGAGCCUAGUACCAAUGGAUCCAGAAUACAAGUUAGUAGGCUGCAAGUGGGUUUUUAGAACCAAAUAUAAUAUUGAUGGUUCAGUUUCUAAGUACAAAGCUCGUUUGGUUGCAAAGGGGUUUCAUCAGACAGCUGGAGUUGAUUAUUCAGAAACUUUCAGCCCUGUAGUAAAGUCUUCUACAGUCAGAGUUAUUCUUAGCUUGGCAGUCAUGCAAGGCUGGAAGGUUAGGCAAAUUGAUGUCAAUAACGCAUUCCUUAACGGGGAUCUCACUGAGGAUGUGUUCAUGCAACAACCAGAAGGCUUUGUUUCAGAGGGAGGAUAUGUCUGUAAACUAAACAAAGCCCUUUAUGGCUUAAAACAAGCUCCAAGAGCCUGGUAUGAUAAGCUUAAGGGAUGUCUUACAAGCUGGAAUUUCACUAAUUCUAAGGCUGAUACUUCUCUGUUUAUCAGGCAUGAUGUCAAGGAUAUAUUUCUUAUCUUAAUAUAUGUGGAUGACAUUUUGAUCACUGGACCAGAUUCAGAUCUGCUGGAAUCCUUCAUUGCUAAGCUCAGCAAGGUCUUUGCACUAAAAGACUUGGGUCUAGUGACAUAUUUCCUUAGUGUAGAAGUCUGCUAUACAGAUAAUGGGAUGCAUCUCUCUCAAACUAAGUACAUCAAGGAUCUGCUGUCUAAAGCCUCAAUGCAAAACUAUAAAGAAACUGACACUCCUUUCAGCACAGGCUACAAGUUGGAAAGAUCAGCUAAGGGUUCUUUGGGUGCAGAAUUUGAGAAUGCAACUCUAUAUAGAAGCAUUGUUGGAGGGUUGCAAUACUUAAUUCUAACCAGACCAGACAUUGCAUAUUCGAUCCAUAAGCUUAGUCAGUACCUAAGUGCUCCUACACUUCAACAUUGGUUAGCUUGCAAAAAGGUGCUCAGAUAUCUUCAAGCAACUGUCACUUAUGGUCUCUACAUUCAGAAGGAGGGAACCUUGGAGACUAUAGGAUUGACAGGAUAUUCAGAUGCUGAUUGGGCUUGUGACAUUGAUGACAGAAAAUCUAUUGGAGCUUAUUGCAUUUUUCUUGGCAAUAACUUGGUUUCCUGGUCUUCUAAAAAGCAAGCCAUUGUAGCUAAAUCUAGUACUGAGAGUGAAUACAGAGCUUUGUCAGCAGCUAGCUCAGAAAUCUCUUGGCUGCAAUCUUUAUUUUCUGAGCUUAACAUCACAAAAUUACCAACUCCUGUUCUAUGGUGUGAUAACCAAAGUGCUGGAGAUCUAGCUAGAAAUCCAGUUUUUCAUUCAAGAUCAAAACACAUAGAGCUAGAUGUUCACUAUAUUAGAGACAAAGUUCUUAACAAGGAAUUGGAAGUGAGGUAUAUUCCUACUGAAGAGCAAGUUGCAGAUGUCCUCACUAAGCCCAUGUCAUUCCCUAAGUUUAGUUACUUUAGAUCCAAGCUCAAUGUGUUUAGUAGACCCUUGAGCUUGAGAGGGGAUGUUAAGGAAGCUCAUAUGCAUAGAAUGGUCAGUGAAGCAGAGGAUUGUAACACCAGCUGUUCACAGAUACAAGUGGAUGACAUGGCUUGCCAGCUGGAGCCUGGUGGCUUUGUAAUCUCUUGCACACGUGAAGAUUAUUAGAAUCUGUUAUAGUCUUUCUUGUGCUAAAUAGUUAGUUAGAUAAUUAGCUAAUUAGCUUUUAUGAUUAGUUAUAAAAGUUAGUUAGUUAAAAUCACUACUGAUGUAUAUAAAGAGAAUAAUGUACAGAUUCAUUGUAAUUGUGAUUUCGUGAUAAUAAACAAAUUCUGUUUUCUCUGUUUUCCAAUAUUAUUGAUUUUCUACUAUGUGAAUUUCUAUCUAAUGGGUAUUUGUAGUUGGUUUCGGAUUGUUGAUUUAUAUAUGAUGUUUGGUAUCCAAGAUUCAGAUAAUCUUGGCAGUACUUUUGCCAAAUUUUCUUUUAUGUUGGUGUUGUUUUAAUUGAAUAUCACAAAGGUGCAAAAUACGGUUAAAUUAACAUUGAGCUCAUGAGAUUGCCAUUAGAUAUAUUGAAAAAGAAAUUGAUACAAGGAACUGAAAAUUAGUUGUUAAUUGUGAUGGGAAUAUAAUCUUGGUAUUUUAAUUAUAUAUAUCUAACGCAUGUGCACUAAUCUCAUUUUUGCCUAUCACUGAAAAGCAGAGUGGCUCGAUUGAAUAGUAUCAUAUUACAUCACAGCAAUCACAGAAACUCACUCAACAUUAUGCUAAUUUAUACUAAUUAAUUAAUACGACUAACAGGAAAAGUUGGAUCUCGUCUUUUCUUGGAUAUAUCCGGUGACUUUGAGCUCUCCAGCCUCCCAGGUUCCGAAUGGGGUCCGAAAAUAUCUUGCUGGAAAUAUUCUUCCUUCAGAUUCAGUGGUUAUAUGUGGCCUUGCUAAAAAUCAGGUGAUUGUUUUUCAUUAUUGCGGCUACUUGACUCAAUUAUGUUAUUGCAAGAGGAGAUCUCUAUUUUGUCUGGUUUAAGCCAUAAGAUGGGUUUCAAGAUUCAUUCUGAUUGGUUAUCUGUUAGCUUUUUGUUUUAAGAACUUCUUAUUUACGAAAGCCAAAUUCUUCUUUCUAGGUUUAUUCAUAUUCAGAAGUUGCUUUUGUCAUAUCAGAAGAAGAGGCUAAGACUGUUGAAGUACUAGAAGGGACUACUGCGCUGAUUGGUCAAAACUACUAUGGCUGCCUUUUUCAUGAGCUUCUAAUAUCCAAUGUUGAUUAACUCUUCCAUUUGAACAUGAGAGUAAUCAGAUAGUUGAUAUUUAUGGUACAAAAGUUGGAAGCGGCUUAAGCAAUUCAGUAUCAUGCGAGGACUAUAAUAAUAACCCCGAUUCUUUUGCCUCUUGGAUUUUUUUGUUAAUUCACUUGCUGUUUGCUUAUCCGACCUCUGAUUUUUUCUUAAUAUUUCUUUGUAGUUCACUUCACAGCACUUAUAGCCGCUGCAUUGGCAUUUUCUGCUAUUUGUUAUUAUUCAUUGAAGCAAGUUAGUUUACGAAAAUUUCUUUUUGAUAAAUGUUCUUCAGAGGGUUGUGAGAGGCCAAAUCAAUUGAGAUGACCGGGUUUUCUAGAUCAGCCAUCUUUGUCGUCAACAGUGCUAAACUGUCAAUUACUGAGACACCAAACUCUAACCUGAUUCAUAUGGAUGUAGACCAAAGCUUCUUGCCGAUACCAUCCCCAGUCAAAGCUGCUAUCUUUGAAAGUUUCGCAAGACAAAACAAUGUUGGUUUCCCAGUCGAUACAAAUACAGAUUUCAUAUAUGCAGAUUGCUCUCAAUCUCUGUUUAAUAAGCUAGUCAUCUGCUGUAUCCUAGAAGGUGGAACAAUACAUUAUGCUUCCCAGCAGGCUCCAAUGGGAUCUAUAUAUGUUUCUGCUGCCAAAUUUUUGAAAGCGAUCAUUGUGAAUAUCCAUGCCCAGUCUGAAGUGGGCUUUGAUACUUGUGACAAUACUCGAUCGAGGCUGUAAAGAAGCCGUGGGUGUACAUUUCUGGUCCAACAAUCAAUCUAACUGGCUUACUUUACAGCAACAAAGAGAUAGAGAAUAUAUUAACUGCUUGUGCAGAAUAUGGAGCAAGAGCUUAUUUUUAGGGUCGUGUCAAAAUAAAUAUAACAAAGUUUUAGCUGAAUAUAAAUUGUUAAUUACAGGCAGAGCAAGUUGAGUUUAAAAAAUGCGAAGCACCCAGUCCCAAAACAGAGAAGCUUGACGUUGGCCGGCAGGAUUAAUAUUAUUAUUUUUUUAACAACAAUCAAAGCCAGUUGGGAAUUUAUUAAGAGGUUAAUUAGUUGAAGUAUAAAAAAGGAAUUAGCAGGAUUCACGCCCGACCAAAUCCACAUGGCCAAAGCAAAGGAUUAAGUUUGAGAGAUUAUAAUGAAAUAUAAGUAAGCUUCGCACAUGCAUGCGUCUGACUGACAGAACAAAAGAAGGAAACAUAAACUUAUCGUUUUGAAGAUGUAAGCAUCAAAACAAUCGACAAGUUUGAGGUUCGUGAGAUAUUGGGAAAAUAUACAAAUAAUAAAGCCACUACAAGUUAAGCAGAGCAAAUAAACAGAGGAAAUAACUGAUCAAUUUAGUUCUUUGUGCAAUGGCCACAGCAACAGAGAAAAUAUGCCUACACGGCUACAUUAAUCCUACUGGCGUGGUACUAUCACCAUGCAAAUUAACAUUAACAUUUCAUCAUCAAUCAGUUCUGAUGACAGGAUAUCAAAAACAUUGAUUUCAUAAUUUUAUGUAAUUUCAUAUAAAAGAUAUAUAUAGUUUAUUUGAGUUAGUUUAACAUAUGAAGAAAGAGUAAUGGGGAAUGAUAUCGCUGUAGCGUGUGAUGAGUAAUGAUAGACACCAAAUAUGGAUCAUGUAAUUAUGAUAGAUGUAUUUACUGAAAAAUAUUUGGCAAUAAAAUGAUGCUUUAAAAUUUUAAUAUUGUUUGCUUGAAAAUAAUUUGACAAUUAAAAGUAAAAGAUGUAUAUGCAAAACUUUGACCUUAUUUUAUCACUUCACUAACCAUUUUGUAAGUACAUCUUAAAUCGAAGUUCAAUUAAUGCUGACGAAAGACUCCAGAGAAUGUCGAGAAGAGAUUUGAUUUUUGUGUACCAAAAAAUUACAGAUGAGAUAAGUUAAAAUCAAUUACAAGAACAACAAAAAGAAUAUAUUUUAUAAAAGCCACAAAUACAUAUAAUAUAUAAUCAGUUUCGAAUUAAGUAAUUAUUAACUUAUAUAGUGAGAAAGUGUUAUAGGAAAGUUGGAAUUUUUUAAAAGAGAUUUGCAAAGGAAAAAGUUUAGUUUAGUUUAGUUUGUGAAGGCUCAAGUAAUUCAAAGCAAUUAGCAAUGCAAUUGAAGGAAAUAUAAACUUCUAAUUUUUACAAAGUAAUCGCUAAAAUAUUUGACAAGUUUGAGAUUUUCAAAAAGCUGAAAAAAAUAGACAAAUAAUGGAGACCCUACAGAUUGGUAGCGCAAAUAAACGGAGGAAAAUAGGGCAAACAUUUAUUUUUUCCAAAAAGAAUAAAAGCACGUGUCUAAUUACCAAAUAACUUCCACUUUAAAAAAUAAUAAAUGCUAAUAUCAUUGUUAGCACAUGUUGUGCAUUUUUCAUUUAUUUAUUUAUUUAUUUGCUAUUACUUAUUGAAGUUACUUUGCAAACUGCUCCAAGCAAACUACAAAAUUUCUUAUCACUCUAGGAUCUUUGCAAUGGUCCUGCAAUUUGCCUUCCUUUCUAUUAGGUUAGCUGUUUAUUCAAAAGAAAAAAAAUUGGGGAAAUGGAAACCUCACCCUCUUAAUACAGAUUUUGAAUUUUAUUAUUAUUAUUCAAAAUUAGAUAACUAUGCAAAUAAUGGGCGGUUAUAACCAGUGAAACUGUGUCUAGCUACGACGCAGGUUUAAUUUUCACUUGAUUAAAUAUAUAAACAAAACUAAAUCACCUGAGCCUCUGGUUUCACUAUUUUUCAACUUGAAAUUAAAACGCAAAAAUUGAUGGUAUUGGAGUUCGUUGUUUAGUUUUGCUGUAGGUCAUGGGGAAUCAAAUAGCCAUCCAUUUUUAAGUCUAUUUUAUGUACUAUUGGUCACUAAGUAUUGGGAUGUCAUAGGCCCUAAAAGAAAAAGCUGAAAAUCAAUCCCCUAUCUAAAGUGGAAAACAGUAGCUAGAACAGAAUCUAUGGUUUGAUGUCUUAGUGUAUAGGCUUAAACAAUUAAUAGUAUAGAAAAUGCAUGAUAGAACUCAUAUUUUAGCAAUAAUCCUCACCUCACUGGCCGUUAGUUCAGAAUGACAAUUCUUAUUAGUCAAAGAAUCAAGAUGAUUUUUAGUUGUAUAUGAAUAGCGCAGUAGAUCAAGAAAUAAUUGAAGACUUGCUUUUGCUAUUGAACCACGCGAUGGCAAUUCGAAGACUACAGUUUAGCUCUGCCAUUCGAAGUAAGCAACUCAGCUGCCCAAAGACUGCCAAGCCAUCAAGACAAUACCAAGAUACAACAUCAAGAAUUACAUACGGGCCGUCACAUAUUACAUUUGUCCUCUGUUUUAAGAGAGAUUUACGAGCCCAUGCAGUAGAAGUAAUUAAUUAAUUUAUACAGUUCAGUACUCAUUCCUCCUCUGUUUCAAAUCCAAAUCCACUGCUCUGCCAUUUAUUAUGACGCAGGGUAUAUGGGUUAGCAAGUGUCGAUAUUGUCCUUCAUCCUUUGUGUACCUUUCUUCUAACAAGGGACAGCACGAGAUCUCUAAUAACAAAAGAGAGGCAGGCAGGCCGUUCGCUGGAAAGUACUUGAGCUUGGGACAAUUACAGAGUUUCAAUGAAAUGAGGUUUUGAUGAUCAACAAUUGAAGAAGACAGGCGUUCCAAAUUUGGUAAAUCAACAAUCACCAAAUAUGCUAGAGUGGCAGGAAGAGGAAGCGUGGCUCCUAAUCCUAAUCUUGAUUUAGUAUUGCGUAUGUAACAUGUGGCAUUCUACAUUCUUGCAAUGCCAUUUCUUGUUAUGGCAGCAGCGUUCUUUCACCAUGGCAUCGCAAGCAAAUAUUUGACUUGAAGACUUGCUUUGCCAAGAAAAAUAAGGAGAGCAAAGGUAAUUGAUUUUGGUGUGAUGAAUAUUUUUAUGGGUGUACUAAGAAAAAUAAAGCUAAUAGAAGUAAUGUUAUCGAGGAGUAUUUUGAUAUUUACAAAAGUGUUCAAAGAAAAAAGUGAUUUUUUGAAAUCUAUUUGCUGGUGAACAUAAUAAAAUGGCAUUCUGACUUCUGAGUAAAUUUAAAACUACAAAUAGUCUUACUCUUUUAAUAAUAUUCUUCAAUUAAUUCUGUUUCUUUCACAAUAAAAAAUCCAUCUCUUUAUUACUUUCUAACUAGUCAUACUAAUGUGUUAAUAAUGAAGAACCAGCGUAAUUUAUAUGAUAUAAGAAGCCCUUUAGCACAUUAACCCGAAUUUAGCUAAUGCAUGUGCCUAAUAUAGCGAAAUCAACAUUCGGCUCAUUAGAAUGCCAUUAUAUAUACUGAAAAAGAAAUUAAUACAAAAAAAAACUGAAUAUUAAUUGACACUGGAUCAUGUUGGAUUGUUAGUUGUUAAUUAUGAUGGGAAUACAAUUUUCAUCUUUUGAUUAUCCGCUAACUAAUGCAUGUGCACUUUCAUUUGUGUCUAUAUAUACAAAAACUUGUAUCCGAUGGUUUACAUAUGUAUGAAGAUGAUGUAAUAAAGUGCUUUUGAUAAAUUCCCCUGGUCUGUUUACUUCACUAAUUCAUUAAUGUGCAAGUCCUCUAUAGAGCUGUGUUGUGCGUACAAGUUUUGCUACAUGAAAUCGUUAGGUGAGGAGAAUUUUUAAAAGCAUACAUCAAAGUAAUGAUUAAAGGGACAAAAUCAACAUAAAUAUUGAUUAUCUUGAGUUAGAUUACACAAAGAUGAUAAUGUAGUAAAUUUAUCAUAAUACACUACUAAAAAAUGCAUUUUAAUGACACAAAUUUUAUGACAUACAUCUUUAUGUCAUGAAAAUACUUGCAUGAUGUAUAAUGCUUCUGUGAUUAUUUGAUGAUAAAUUCAUAAUUGAUGCAGAUACAAAAUGAAGUGAUGAUAGGUAAAUAUCAUGUGAUUUUUUUUAUGGGUAAGAAUAUUUGAACCCACCAAAUUACUCUUUAAACUUACUUUUUUAUUGAUAAUUUUAUUACAAAAUUACCGAUAAUUUGAAUUACUAUUACAGACAAACAAUAAUUAUAUAAAAUUAUUUUACUUUUACUCAUUGUUUAAACCUACCGCAAAACUCAAUCAAAGGACGCUUAUUUUCUUCUUCUGCACAAGUGUAGCAAAGUUUUUAAUAAGUUCCUCCUUCAUCCACAGUUGAGAACUUUCUAACUUUUGUUUCUUGUUCUAGUAAUUUGGAUAUGCUGUGUUAGAUACUGAAUUUAUUAAAUUUCUUCUUCUCUUUUGAAUAAAAUCUCUUUAAAAUUCAAUUCAUAAAAAAAAAAAUUAAUCUCCUUAUAAUUUAAUAUGUUUCGGCUGUCUUAGUGGAAUGAUGCAAUUUGUUUCAAUCAAAGUUUUGAAGCAUCCUAAAAUUUUUUUUUUUUUUUGUUUAAUUUGUUUAGAUCUAGGCUAAUUUUUAUUGAUAAUAUUUAUGAUUAAAUUAUAUGAGUAUGCUUAAAUUUUUUUUUCCUUCAAAUUUAUUUUCUGAUGUUGCAUUUGGUUAGCAAAAAGAUAAAAAUAGUAGAAAAUGUCCGAAUUAUUGUUAUGAAAAUGUUGUUUUAGUCUGAUAUUCGGAAAAUAUCCUUAUACAUAUCGGCAUGAUAUUCAUGGGAGACCAAAUUGAGAAUGAUGGCAGACUAUGCAUUGCUCACAACUAAUUUAAAACUCACUAUUUCUAUUGUUUGUGUUUUAGUAACUUUGGGGGAAUUCCAACUAUAGUUAAUAAGCUAUAAACUUGUUUAGGAUUACUAAUCAACUUGCUAGAAAGAGUUGCAAACUAAUUAGCUUUCUCUUAUAACUUUUACAGAUCAUCUGUGGAGGAGAACUGCAAGGAGUUGAAGACUCUAGACCCUAAACUUCAUAUCUUGAUUUAUAAGUGCAAUGGCCAUAAGUCCGAAUUAUGGGCUGGAGAUGGUAUAUGUAAUCUUUCUGCUCUUGGUGUUUUUUUUUUUUUUUUUUUUUCCCUCUAGUUAUUUUUUGCUCUCUACUCCAUUGUAUAUUUGUAUUCAAAAGUAUUUUUUCUUUGUUUUAAGCUUUCAAAUUUAUGGAGAUGAUCUUAUUAGGUGUUAAAAAAAUAGUUGUAGAGCUUUACUAAAACUAUGUAAACUCUUAUUGAGAUUUGGGUUUGAUUUUGUAAGAUUGCUAAAAAUUUCAUAUUUUAUACUUGUUUUAUACUUUUCUAGUCGAAUUUCUUGCUUGUGGAAGAUAAAAUAAAAGUCCAAUUCAUGUUGUAAAAUUUUUUUUUCCUCCCUUUUUUCUUCCCUUAUAAUCUGGCUCUGGUUUUGGUGCAGUUUAUGGUUUCAAUGCAGGGAACCAAUUUCAUCAGAAUCAUCUUAAAGGAUCAAAGUGGCUUCCUUUUGUAACUGGGUAAGUCAAUGCUACUUCCUGAAUUCGAUAUGGAGUUCUUUCGGAAUAGAUUUCCUUCCCUUACAUCACUUGGCUUCUAGUUGCAUCUUCUUGGCUUUCUCCAGCGGACUUUUUUAUUGGCAAAUUCGUUUGUUUCUAUUGUUUUCAAGUGCUAGUGCUGGAUUUGGAGGUAUGAAUGGUGCCUUCAUUUUUAUUUUUUUAAUUUUCUUUUGGGUGUAUAGUACUGUAAUAUACUUCUUUGUAUAGCUAGUACAAAAUAGUUCUUUAAUUUUAUUUGUCAUGAUUUAUUUCUAUUGCCUGGUGAUGACACCCAUCACGACUUAGUAGUCGUGAAUAAAUCGAAAAUCAAAUUGCACUGGUUUUUUCCGGUUGUCAACAAUUGUGAUGUUUUGAGAUUAUAACAUACUUGACAACGCCGACUAGCGUUCUCUCCUAUGUGAAUUGGGACAAAAAUUAUUUUCCCAAUCACGCUUUCGUUUGAACAAUUCCACUUCAGAUAUAUAAAAUAAUGAUGAAAUUGUGUUUUAAAAUUAGUUACGAGUAAUUGGUUCAAUAUUAAUACAAAACUAUUUUAAGUAACACGUGGCAUAUUCUAAUUCCAGUGAGCUUCUAACUCAGAUUCCCAAAUCAAAAGAAACGUUUCAAUUUUCUCCAGAACGUUCUGCAAAACGUUUCUUCGAGUCUCUACGUUGUGCUAGAAUUUUCUCUCAGUUUCUUUUGCAUAGACUUCUAAAAAAACUGUCCAGAUACCGAGAUAUAAUCCAAUCUAAGUGUACAUAUUGUAAGAAAAACGAUACACAGUGAGAUAACAAUUUAAAUAGUAGCUAAUUUAAACAACAAUGUAAACUAGCAAUGGGAAACAACAAAUGAAGAACUGAAGAGAAAGGAAACCAAAACAGAAAUAUAAACCCGAGGCCUGCGGACAGUUUCCUUAAACAGAUUUACCCCCUCUUGGAGUGCUUUAGGUCAGCUAGUAUCUGUUUCCCAGGAUACAACGGGCACGAAUUUUCGGCUAAGCACAAGCUAGAAAUUCCGGCGAACCACAACAACGAGCUCGAUCAGAGAAAACAGACGACGAAGAUGGAGGAAGGAAAAUAAGUGUGCUGGUUUUUUCAGUGUGCAAAAAACAGAAGAGGAGAUGCCUUUUUAUAGUCAUAUGAGGAUGUAACAGCUACUUUGUAUUGAAUUUCUGAAUUCAAUAUAUUUUAUUUAAUUGUUAUAACAGCCAAAUCAAUUCAAUGAAUUGAUUUCAAAAUUGAAUUAAAAAAAAGUGAAUUAUAUAACAGCUAAAAAUAAUUGUUGAAGCUGUUACAAAUCCUUUGAAUUCAAAACGUGAAACUGUUACAAUAAAAAAAAUUCAAAAGGAAAUUAAAAACGUGCCAAGCUUGCAUGGAUGAUUUUGGGCUGACAUCCGCGUACGCAGACGAGUUCAACCAAAUCGGUCAUGGAUUUGCACCCCCCUGCGCACGCGCACGUGGAGAGAGCCUCUAUCCUUAUAAUUCUUGAACAAGCAUGGUUAAGUGUUUAUAUAUAAACACUAAUCCCUAGGCUUCUUUUUCCCAUGUGGGAUAAGCCUCAUUUCUUUUCAAAUUUCCAACUUCAAAGGUGAACUUUGAGAGACAAUUUCUCAUUCACCCAAGCACCAUUUUGAGAAAAUAAGAUUAUACUUUUGAAGUAUCAACGGAGUAGAAUACGAACCUCACAAGAUUUUCCACUUUCGUUAAGUGGGACCCACUCAAAAUAUGCCCUGAAAAUAGCAUAUAUAUAUGCUAUUUUUUCAACAAUCCCCCACAUGAAUGAAAAUUGGCAGUAAAACAAAAAACCGCUAUAUUUUUUUUACAUCAAAACCAUUUUUGACCUUAAUGAUCGAGUUUAUUGGAUUGAUACCUAGCACAGGAUAGGUAGGUGUUAUCCUUUUAACCUUCCCUUGUAAUAGUAUAAUUACUUUACUGGCUGAUCAGUAGACGCGAUGUCUUUGAACCGUGCGGCCGUUAGUGUAAACGAUCAUAUACUACACAUAGGUAUUUCUCCUAACACUGUUGAGUUCUCAUGGUUAUGUUCGUUUUGGCCUUGAACAUCUACCUGGUUCUGCAAGAGUUUCUAAGAGCUAAACCCAUCAUAGCUCCCUUUGAAGCGGCCCCACUUCUCUCUCACAUAGGUGAUAUCUUAAUUAAGAGUAACCCGCAUUACUCCGCUCGAAUUUUCCGACGCAUAAGAAUCAUUAAGAGCCUAGCUCAAUCUUAUUCCCCACGAGCAUCACUGUUUCAUCAUAGGAAUGGUCAAUGAGGUAAUCUUCUCAAGAGAAUAAACCCCACAAUAAUCCAACUUUAGUCUUUAACAAAUAGGUUGUCCAAUUGAACCUAGAUCUUGGGAUCUCCAGUCUACUAGGUUGGGUUUUCCUUCGUUAUUGACUAAUCAAUCUAUGAGUUUUAAUCCCAUUCCCCUCGAUGAUUUUUCUACUAGCUCUCUAUUUAACCCUUUGGUUAGCGGAUCCGCAAUGUUAUCCUUUGACCUCACAUAGUCAAUAGAAAUAACUCCAGUAGAAAUAAGUUGUCUAAUGGUAUUAUGUCUACGACGUAUGUGUCUAGACUUACCAUUAUACAUAUUGCUUUGUGCCCUACCGAUAGCUGAUUGACUAUCACAAUGUAUACAAAUCGAAGGCACAAGCUUUGGCCACUUUGGAAUACCUUUUAAAAAAUUGCAUAGCCAUUCUGCUUCUUCACCACAUUUAUCUAAUGCAAUGAAUUCAGAUUCCAUUGUAGAUCUAGCAAUUACUGUCUGUUUAGAAGAUCUCCAUGAUACAGCUGCACCUGCUAGUGUAAAUACAUAGCCGCUAGUAGAUUUUGAAUCUUUUACAUUUGAUAUCCAGUUAGCAUCACUAAAUCCUUCUAAUACUUCUGGAUACCUAGUAUAGUGCAGUCCAUAAUUACGAGUGUAUCAAAGAUACCUAAGUACUCUUACGAUAGCUUUCCAGUGAUCAGUUCCUGGAUUACUCGUAUAUCUACUAAGUUUACUUACCGUAUAGGCUAGAUCUGGUCUGGUACAACUUGUUAAGUACAUCAGACUGUCUAUUAUUCUAGCAUAUUCUACUUGAGAAAAACCCUCUUCUCUAUUUUUCGAUAGAUGGAUACUAGUAUCUAAUGGAGUUUUAGACAUAAUAUUAUCAUUUUUAUUAAAUUUUCCAAGAAUUUUAUCUACCUAAUGAUUUUGACUUAGAAUAAGUCCAUUAGAAGCCCUUAAGAUUUUAAUUUCCAAAAUGACAUUUGCAAGACUCAUGUCUUUCAUGUCAAACUUAGACUUCAACAUAUUCUUGGUAGAUUUAAUCAUGUCAUCAUCACUUCCAACAAUGAGCAUGUCAUCAACAUAUAAACAUAAAAUGACAUAGCCAUUUUCCGUUUCUUUGACAUAAACACAUUUGUCACACUCGUUGAUUUUAAAACCACUUGUGAUCAUCGUAUGAUCAAAUUUCUCAUGCCACUGUUUCGGUGCUUGCUACAAGCCAUAUAAUGACUUUACCAAUUUACAAACUUUCUUUUCUUGUCCUGGAGCUAUAAAACCUUCAGGUUGCUCCAUAUAGAUUUCUUCAUCUAAAUCUCCAUUUAGAAAAGCCGUCUUUACAUCUAUUUGAUGUAUCUCGAGAUUGCGCAAAGCUGCAAUUGCUAUUAUCAUCCAUAUGGAAUUUAUUCUCAUAACAGGAGAAUAAGUAUCAAAGUAAUCAAGGCCUUCUCGUUGCCUAUUACCUUUAAUUACAAGCCUAUCCUUGUAUUUAUCGAUUGAUCCAUCAGCUUUCAUUUUCCUUUUGAAAAUUCACUUAUACCCCAAAGGUUUACAUUCUGGACGAAGAUCUGCUAGCUCCCAAGUAUGAUUUUGUAAAAUGGAUUCAACUUCACUGUUAAUGGCUUCUUUCCAUAAAGUGCCUUCAGCUGAAGUUACAACCUCUUUGAAGCUUUGAGGUUCACUUUCUAGCAAAUACGUCAGAAAGUCUAGACCAAAAGACUUUUCUAUCCUAGCUCUUUUGCUACGUCUAACCUCAAUUUCUUGUUCUUGAUCUUCUUCUUCUUCUUCUUCUUCUAGUGCUUCAUCAUUUUCUUCAUUUCCAAGUGUUGUUUCAUGAAAUUGUCGCAAUUCUCUCGAUAACACUCUAGAAUUGCAAGGAAACACAUGUUCGAAAAAUGAUGCAUUUCUUGAUUCUAUUAUCAUAUUUUUGUGGACAUCUGGAACUUUAGACUCAUGCAACAAAAAUCGAUAAGCACUACUGUUUUGUGCAUAACCAAUGAAAAUGCAGUCAACGGUUUUUGGUCCUAUUUUCACUUUUUUAUUUGAAGGAACCACUACUUUAGUAAGACACCCCCACACUCGUAAGAAUUUAUAUGAAGGUGAUCUAUCUUUCUAUAGCUCAUACGGGGUUUUAUCCUCUUGCUUUCGGGGUAUCUUAUUUAAUAAAUAAUUAGCUGACAAAACAGCUUCUCCCCACAUAUUCUGGGUAACCCAGAACUUAUCAACAUUGCAUUCAUCAUUUCCUUUAAAGUUCGAUUCUUUCGUUCUGCAAUCCCAUUAGAUUGAGGUGAAUAUGGAGCCGUGACUUGAUGUAUGAUUCCAUUUUGUUCACAUAGUGAAAUAAACAUAACAACAUACUCACCACCACGGUCACUCCUUAAUUCUUUGAUUUUUCUAUUAAGUUGAUUCUCAACUUCAUUUUUGUCGAGAAUAAACUUUUUCAAAGCUUUAUCUUUACUUUUCAAUAAAUAUACAUAGCAAUAUUUUGUGCAAUCAUCUAUAAAGGUAAUAAAAUAUUUAUUAUCACCUCUUGUUUGAAUGGAUUUAAAGUGACAAAUAUCACUAUGUAUUAAAUCAAGUGGUUCGGUGUUUCUGUUAAUUAUUUGGAAAGAUGACCUAGUUAGUUUUGCCUCAACACAAGUUUCACACUUAUGUUUCAAAUCAAUUUGGAAAUUGGGAAUAUGCUUCAUGUUAAUUAAUUUACGCAAAGAAUUAAAAUUAACAUGUCCUAAUCUACCAUGCCAAAGAUUAGAAGACUCAAGCAAAUAAGCAGAAGAAGUAGCUUUAUUAUUAAUUAUUGGUUUCAGAGUCAUUACAUUGAGCUUAAAUAGCCCAUCAUUAACAUAACUCUUUCCCACAUACAUUCCAUUUUUAGACAAAACUACCCUAUCUGACUCAAACACCAUUCGGAAACCAUGUUUGUUCAGCAGCGAUCCAGACACCAAGUUCUUCUGAAUUUCUGGCACAUAAAGCACAUUGUUCAGAGUCAGUUCUUUCCCAGACGUCAUCUUCAAAAUCACCUUCCCUUGACCCUCAAUCUCAGACGUAGCCGAAUUCCCCAUGAAUAGCUUCUCUCCAUUGCUAACUGCUUCAAGUGAAGUGAACAAUCCUUUGUCCGAGCAAACAUGUCUGGUUGCUCCCGUAUCAAUCCAUCAUUCUCUCGGAUUAUAGCCAACCAGAUUCACUUCUGAAACCACUGCAGAGAGGUUUAUGUCUUAAGCAUGUUGAGUGAUGUUUUCCACCACAUUCUCCUCUCGCUUCUUUUUAGGCAACCUGCAAUCUGAAGCAUUGUGACCCAUCUUAUCACAAUUAAAACAUUUUCCUUGAAACUUUGUUUACUUCUUGGAAAUUCCUCCUUUCGGACCCAAUUUUUUAUUUUUAUUUUUAGGUCCAUGUUCGACAAAAUUUGCCUUUGCCAUAGAAAUAGCUCCUUUUCUUUCUGCAUUUCUGUUAUCUUCCUCAAUUCUGAGCUUAACAACCAGCCCUUCAAUAUUCAUCUCCUUUCAUUUGUGCUUCAAAUAGCUCUUGAAAUCUUUCUAAGCAGGAGGCAAUUUUUCAAUAAUUGCGGCAACUUGAAAAGUUUCACUUAGAUGCAUCCCUUCUGCAAGGAUUUCAGAUAAUAUAAUUUGAAGCUCUUGUACUUGACUUAUUAUAGUUUUAGAAUCCACCAUUUUAUAAUCUAGGAAGCGACCAACAACAAACUUUUUGGUUCCCGCAUCCUCGGUUUUAUAUUUCCGGUCUAAGGAUACCCAUAGCUCCUUGGCUGUUUUCUUUCCUAUGUAUACAUUAUACAAGGAAUCACUAAGGCCAUUCAUUACAUAAUUUUUACAUAAAAAAUCUUAAUGAUGCCAUGCAUCAAUUGCACUUGCAACUUGAAUAUCCGUUUCACCCUCUUUAGGUUUAGGAGCAUUCUCGGUCAAGAAACUUGCAAGGUUCAACGUGGUCAAGUAAAAGAAUAUCUUUUGCUGCCAACGUUUGAAAUUCUGGCCAUUGAAUUUUUCAGGCCCUUCCGCAUGAUUGACGAGAAUUGCCACAGAGACUGGUUCCUUCACAACAAUUGGUGCAGCAACAGAAGAUGAAACUGGGACAUACGGAAUAUCAUCAACGGUUUCAGUUGCCAUCUCAAUGAUAAUUGAUUCUGUUUUAAGAUUGUAAGAAAAAUGAUACACAGUGAGAUAAUAAUUUAAAUAGUAGCUAAUUUAAACAACAAUGUAAACUAGCAAUGGGAAACAACAAAUGAAGAACAAAAGAGAAAGGAAACCGAAACAGAAACAUAAACCCGAGCCCUGCAGACAGUUUCCUUAAAACAAAUUUACCACUCUUGGAGUGCUUUAGGUCAGCUGGUAUCUGUUUCCCAGAAUACAACGGGCACGAAUUUCCGGCUAAGCACAGGCUGAAAAUUCCGGCGAACCACAACAGCGAGCUCGAUCAGAGAAAACAGACGACGAAGAUAGAGGAAGGAAAACAAGUGUGCUGGUUUUUUCAGUGUACAAAAAACAGAAGAGGAGGUGCCUUUUUAUAGUCAUAUGAGGAUGUAACAGCUGCUUUGUAUUAGAUUUCCGAAUUCAAUAUGUUUUACUUAAUUGUUAUAACAACCAAAUCAAUUCAUUGAAUUGAUUUUAAAAUUGAAUUAAAAAAACAUGAAUUAUAUAACAGCUAAAAAUAAUUGUUGAAGCUGUUACAAAUCCUUUGAAUUCAAAAUGUGAAUAUAUUACAAUAAAAAAAAUUCAAAAGGAAAUUAAAAACGUGCCAAGCUUGCGUGGAUGAUUUUGGGCUGACAUUCGCGUACGCAGACGAGUUCAACCAAAUCGGUCUUGGACUUGCACCCUCCUGCGCACGCGCACGUAGAGACAGCCUCUAUCCUUAUAAUUCUUGAACAAGCAUGGUUAAGUGUUUAUAUAUAAACACUAAUCCCUAGGCUUCUUUUUCCCAUGUGGGAUAAGCCUCAUUUCUUUUCAAAUUUCCAACUUCAAAGGUGAACUUUGAGAGACAAUUUCUCAUUCACCCAAGCACCAUUUUGAGAAAAUAAGAUUAUACUUUUGAAGUAUCAACGGAGUAGAAUCCGAACCUCACAAGAUUUUUCACUUUCAUUAAGUGGGACCCACUCAAAAUAUGCCCUCAAAAUAGCAUAUAUACAUGCUAUUUUCCACUUUUGUUAAGUGGGACCCACUCAAAAUGUGCCCUCAAAAUAGCAUAUAUACAUGCUAUUUUUUCAACACAUAUCUCUCUAUGUCACCUCCCUCCAUUUCACCAGAAAAUCAACAAACACUUAGCUUCAAAACAAACACUCUAAAAAAGCUAGCUAGUUGAUGGCAAAAUCAAGAAUUCUUGCAAUGGCAAUGUUGUUUCUUGUUAUGGCAGCAACAUUGAUGAACAUGGCAUCACAAGUAAAUGCUCUGAUGCUGUACACACGAUCACCUUUCUUUGACGUAAUGUUCCCAAUGACGGAAGAUCCUUUCAGGGUUCUUGGAAAAACCCUGUUAACAAUCCCAAAAGGAGCUGAACAUCAUCAAACUCUAGCACUGGCGAGAGCAAACUGAAAGGAGACACCAACAUCACACGUGAUCACACUCGACAUUCCAAGGAUGAAGAAAGACGAUGUGAAGAUUGAAGUUGAAGAGAACAGGGUACUGAGAGUGAGUGGGAAGAGAAGAGCGAUGAUUAUUAUAAGGAGGAAGUUGAAGGAGAAAAAUGGCACAGAGCUGAGAGACCAUUUGACAAGGUUUGGAGGCAGUUCAGGAUGCCUAUGAGUGCUGACUUGGAUCAUGUUAAGGCUCAUUUGGAAAAUGGUGUUCUAAGGAUCACAGUGCCAAAACUUGCUGAGGAGAAGAAGAGGCAGCCUAAGGUUAUUAACAUUGAUGAAGAGCCUGGUAAUUCUUCCGAUGAAGAUGUUAAGGCCGCCAAGGCUCAAAUGUAAUUGAUUAAAGAAAGAAGUGUUUGAUUUGCUUGAUGUGCUAUUUGUUUUGUGAUCUUUUCUUGGUUUUGUUGUGGGAUGUUUUUCUUUGGAUGUUCUGUUUAUUGUAUUUUGAUGGAUUUUUAAAGAUGGCUUUUAUGUAUUAACAACAAUAAAGUGUUUUUUAUAAAUCCGGGUCCUAAAUUUGUAAAAGAAAUUAAUAAUACUCUUGGUUUAUUGUUAAUAAAAAUAAAAAAGAAGAAUCUUUUUCUUUAGCAUAUAUUAUGUAUUUUAAGGAAAAAAAAAUUAUCACAUUCUAAUACAUAAAGAUAUUCCUCUUCUGUCAUAUUAAUGUGUUAAUACGAAGGUCUAUUGGAAUUAUAAUAGUUUAGAUGAAUCCAAAAUAUUCAAUAAUUGAUAAAUAGUAUAUUGACACACACAGAAAAUGUGCGUGUGUAUGUAUAUAAAUGAGGUUUCAACAGCUGAGAAAGAGAUAGCCAUUAUACAUUACACAUUUGCACUCAAUAAGAAAUCAAUUCAUUAAUAUAGCCAUUAAUACGCCUGGUUUAUUGUUAAUGAAAAUUAAAAAAGAAAAAAAGUCUUUUCUUUGGCCUUUAUUAUGCAUUUUAAGAGGAAAAAAAAUUUAUCCCACUCCAAUUCAUGAAGAUAUUCUCUUUUCUGUCAUAUUGAUGUGUUAAUAUGAAGAUCCAUUGCAGUUGGUGAAUUCAAAUAUUCAGUAACUGAUGAAAUUGUAUUUAUAAAUUCAUACUGAUAGCAAUUGAAGAUUAUAAUUAAUUUUGUAAUAUGGUCUAGCCCUCAUGUGUUUAAUUAGCACUCAAAAACCACUUUACAAUAGGGCAUUAAAAGAACAUUAUAACGUCAUUGCUGAUGAGUUCUGGCGAAGACAUUAAGUUAAGGCCACAAAAAUCGAAAUGCACGUAGCUUCGUUUGUUUUUUAUUUUUGAUUCUCUUUGGGGGCAAAUGCUUGGCUUCGUUUGCUUUUUCGUUUUUGAUAUUUUAUUGGGCUUUAUUGUGUGGCAUCUUCUUGUUUUCUUUUGAUUUUCUGUUUUGGUUGUUAUGGGAUUUGAUGACGACGUACAUGUACGAAGAUUAUAUAAUAAAAUGUUUUUGAUAAAUUAUGGUCGGUUUAGUAUUAAUUAACUAAAUUUAAUUUACUUGAUCAAUUGAUAUUUGAUAUAUAUAUAUAUUAUAUAUGAUUGAAUUUAAUCCAUGAUAAUUAGACAAAAUGACACUAAUCUAGCUAACUAAUCCAACCAUCAUAAUAAUUUGAACAAUUCCACUGUAGAUUUAUAAAAUAAUGAUCAAAUUGUGUUUUAUAUUAAGUUACGAGUAAUUGGUUAAAUAUUAAUACAAAACUAUUUUAAGUAACAUGUGGCAUAUUCUAAUUCUAGCCAAGCUUCCAACUAAGAUUCCCAAAUCAAAAGAAUUUCAAUCUUCAGAACAUUCUGCAAAACGUUUAGUCUCUACGCAGUGCUAGAAUUUUCCCUAAGUUUCUAUCGCAAAGACUUCUAAAGAACUAUUCAGAUAUCGAGCUAUAAUUCAGUCUAAAGUGUAUAUAUCUCUCUAAUUCACCUCCCUCCAUUUCACCAGAAAAUCAACAAACACUUAGCUUCAAACAAACACUCUCAAAAAGCUAGCUAGCUACCCAGAUGGCAAAACCAAGAAUUCUUGCAAUGACAAUGUUGUUUCUUGUUAUGGCAGCAACAUUGACGAACAUGGCAUCACAAGCAAACGCUCUGACGCCGUACACACAAUCACCUUUCUUUGACAUGAUGUUCCCAAUGACGGAAGAGUCUUUCAGGGUUCUUGAACAAACCCCUUUAACAAUCGCAAAAGGAGCUGAUCAUCAUCAAACUCUAGCCCUGGAGAGAGCAGACUGGAUGGAGACACCUACAAUACACGUGAUCACGCUCGACAUUCCUGUGAUGAAGAAAGAUAAUGUGAAGAUUGAAGUUGAAGAGAAUCGAGUAUUGAGAGUGAGUGGAGAGAGGAAGAGUAAUGAUUAUUAUAAGGAGGGAGUUGAAGGAGAGAAAUGACACAGAGCUGAGUGGACAUUUGGCAAGUUUUGGAGGCAGUUUAGGAUGCAUAUGAGUACUGACUUGGAUCAUAUUAAGGCUCACACGGAAAAUGGGAUUUUGAGGGUCACCGUGCCAAAGCUUGCUGAGGAGAAAAAGAGGCAGCCUGAGGUUAUUAACAUUGAUGAAGAGUCUUGUAAUUCUUCCAAUGAAGAUAUUAAGGCUACCAAGUCUCAAAUGUAAUUAAUUAAAGAAAGAAGUGAUUGCUUUGCUUGAUGUGCUAUUUGUUUAUGAUCUUUUUUUGGUUUUGUUGUGAGAUGUUUCUCUUUGAAUGCUCUAUUUAAUGUAUUUUGAUGGGUUUUUGAGGAAGGCUUGUAUGUAUUGACAACAAUAAAGUGCUUUUUAUAAAUCCUAGUCCUACAACACUAAAAGAAAUUAAUACGCUGGGUUUAUAGUUAAUAAAAAUAUUUUUUUUUUAAAAGUCUUUUUCUUUAGCAUAAUCAAAGAAUUUAUCCCACUCCUAAUUCGUCCUCUUCUGUAAUACUAAUGUGUUAACACGAAGAUUCAUUGUAAUUGCAACAAUUUUGACGAAUCCAAACGUUCAAUAACUGUUAAAUUGUAUUUAUAAAUACUAAUAGCGAAGGUACAGAAACGAUUAAUUCAAGAAGUUGCUUAAAGUGCAUUAAAUUAGGGAGUAUAAAUAAUUGUGUGAUACAGUCCAGCCUUCAUCUGCUUAUAAUUAGCAACCAAAAACCACUUUGCUAACACCAUAAAAAAAACAUUUUAACAUUAUUGCUGAGGUAACAGGCAGCUUAAGCUUAUUAACUCGUAUUAUUAAUGCUGAUGACGCAGCUGGUAAUCCUUUUGGUGAAUAUAUUAAGGCAGCUGAAGCUUAAAAUUAAUUAAGCCCACUAAAGCUUAAAAGUAAUUCUUCUAGUGACGAUGCUUUGCUUAGUUCGCUUUUUGUUUUUAAUUGUUUUGGGGCUAACGUUUUGCUUAUUUUGCUUUUUAAAUUCUAUUCACUUUCUCCUUUGAUUUUCUGUUUUUGUUGUUAUCGAAUUUGAUGAUGGUUUAUAUGUACGAAGAUUAUGUAAUAAAGUGCUUUUGUAACUAUAUAUAUAUAUAUAUAUAGAUAUUUCAACAGCUGAGAAAGAGAUAGCCAUUAUACAUUACACAUUUGCACUCAAUACGAAAUCAAUUCAUUAAUAUAGCCAUUAUUAAUACGCCUGGUUUAUUGUUAAUGAAAAUUAAAAAAGAAAAAAAAAAGUCUUUUUCUUUGGCCUUUAUUAUGCAUUUUAAGAGGAAAAAAAUUUAUCCCACUCCAAUUCAUGAAGAUAUUCUCUUUUCUGUCAUAUUGAUGUGUUAAUAUGAAGAUCCAUUGCAGUUGGUGAAUUCAAAUAUUCAUUAACUGAUGAAAUUGUAUUUAUAAAUUCAUACUAAUAGCAAUUGAAGAUUAUAAUUAAUUUUGUAAUAUGGCCUAGCUCUAGUGUGUUUAAUUAGCACUCAAAAACCACUUUACAAUAAUAGGCAUUAAAAGAACAUUAUAACGUCGUUGCUGAUGAGUUCUGGUGAAGAUAUUAAGUUAAGGCCACAAAAAUCGAAAUGUACGUAGCUUCGUUUGUUUUUUGUUUUUGAUUUUUUUUGGGGCAAAUGCUUGGCUUCGUUUACUUUUUCGUUUUUGAUAUUUUAUUGGCUUUAUUGUGUGGCAUGUUCUUGUUUUCUUUUGAUUUUCUGUUUUUGUUUGUUAUGGGAUUUGAUGACGAUGUACAUGUACGAAGAUUAUGUAAUAAAAUGCUUUUGAGUUUUAUACAAACACAACAAAAGAAGAACACUAACGUACUAAUUAAUUACUAAUAAGAACAUUAGCAAUUUUUGCUGAAGUCUGAUGAAGAGAAAUAUUACACAUACGUAACGGUACCGCGGAAGGAAAAAAUAAAAGAAACUAAAGUUUAUUUCAACAGCUAAGAAUGAAAUAGGCAUAAGAAAUUAAUCCAUUAAUUAAUUAAUUAAUACAGUCCCCCGCUACUAAAUAAUGCGAGCCCCUUACUGUACUUAACAUUUUUCUUUUUAUUAAUUUAAAACAGUUUUCAACUGAGAUUUGAAUUUUAAAACUACAUACACAAACACACCUGAUUUUAUUGAAAAAAAAAUUCUAAUAAUAAAAUAUUUUACAUAUGUAACCAUACGGCGAAAAAACAAAUAUAAGAAACUGAAGUUUCAACAGCUGAGAAUGAGAUAAGCAUAAGAAAUUAAUUAAUUAAUUAAUUAAUAGAGUCCUCCUUUGCUAAUAAAAAUUUUAUUUCGAAAACCCAUUAAUCACCAACACAUAAUACACGCCCAAUUUUUUUUUAAAAAAUUACUAAUAAAAUAUUUCAGUCGUCCUCUGUUGAGUCGUCCUCUGUUGAGUCGUCCUCUGUUGGGUCGUCAUAAAAAACCCAUUUACCAGCUAUAACAGCAAGAGGUAUAUGGGUUAACAAGUCCCAAUAUUGUCCUCCAUCCUUUCUGCACUUCUUUUCUAUCAAUGGACAAUCCACGAUUCUUAAUUGCAAAAGUGAGGAAGGCAGGCCCUUCUCCGGAAAGUAUUUGAGCUUGGGACAAUGAUAGAGACCCAAGUGAGUGAGGUUUUGAAGAUCAACAAUUGAAGAAGAUAGGCGUUCCAGAUUUGGAAAAUUGUAAAUCCACAGAGAUGUUAGAGAGGCAGGAAGAGGAAGCGCGGUCCCUAAUCUUUUGUCCUCUAGUGGAAAUGACACCAUAUCGUCAUCACAAUUAAUGAUUAUAAGAGUUUGUAGAGAGGAGAAUCUGUGAAAUCCCCGGCCCCGCUCAAUCAUUGACUUCCAAAUCUCCAUAUUACCCAAAAUAUAAACUGACUGAAGGUUGGUGGGAAGGCCAUCUUCUUCAAGGCUUGGAAGCUCACCUCCUAUUCUUAAUUCUUGAAGAGAGGUCAGAUUGUGCAAUCCCUUGGGUAAGGCCUCUAGUCUCUUACAAUCAAGUAUCGUCAGCCUCGUGAGUUUCGCACAAGGCAAUCCCCCUUGGGGAAAGGACACUAGAUUUCCACAAUACGCUAUGCUAAUCUGUUGAAGCUGGCGGAGAUUUUGUAAACCACUCGGUAAAAUUUUCAGAUUUCCACAAUUAGAAAUGUCGAUUGUUUCAAGAGAUGUGUUGUUGUCCAACCUUUCUGCUAUUGACUCCAGCUUUGAACAACUCUCAACAUGAAGGGACUGAAGAGACAGAGGCAGAUUGCCAACUUCAAGGGACUCAAGCGUGGCAGGUAACUCAUUUUUUGAAAAUAUACAUGUCAGCGAUGGACAGCUGUUAAUACGCAACUGCUCAAGAAGAGAUGAGGUGUACCUUCUAUUGCUGCUGCUGCUGAUACUCUGGACGCCCUCUUCCACUGUCAAAGUCCUUAUAUUAUCGCAAUCGCUGAUUCUCAGCUGCUUGAGGCUCGGUGGUAGCUGGACUCCAGCAAUAUAUGUCAACGAAUGGCAAACCCAAAUCUCCAAGAUCUCGAGAGAUGAAUUGGUGUCGCACAUCCAUGCCUCUGGUAAUGAUUUCAGUGCAUCACAUUCCCUAAUCUCAACUGUCUUCAACUUGGAAGGCAGAGCAACCUCAGGAAAGGAAACAAGGGAACUGCACUUGUAGAUUUCUAUCUCUCUCAAGGAACUGAGGCUGAGAGAUGAUUGUGGCAGCUUCACAAGGCCUUCGCAAUAUCUCAAUCUUAGAUAUUCGAGUCUGCAUGACAACUCGCAGGGCUGCUGUUGUUGGCCUUUCUCUUCCUCCGCCACCAAGGAUUGAAGUUUGGGACACCGUCUAAUCGUCAGUCUUCUGAGAGAGCAAAUGUCUUGCAGUAAUUCGUUAUGACUCUUCCAUAUAUAUGUCUGCUCUUUCAUUUCAUUUAUCUUCAAUUCUUCCAAUUUUGGCAGUCGUGGCUUUAAUGGCCCUGCGAGAAACACUUGAUUUGAUCUAUCUCUACAAACCACUGAAUUCUGUGAGCCGAGAUGAUCAGUUGCACUUCUCCACACAACCUCUUUACAUCCACCAAUCUGUAAUUUGCAAAGAGCUGGAAGACUCGAAACUGAAACUGACAAUUCUUCACAUCCUUUAAUAACAAGCUUCUCCAAUGCAGGAAGGUGCUCUGGAAAUGUUCCUUGCAGCUUAGAACAUCUUAAAAUGUGAAGCUCUCUCAAUUUAGGAAAUCGUUCAACUCCCUGACUGGAUCCAUGAGGAAUCCAGUCUUCCCAUCUUUGCAUGUCUUCAAAAUGAAGAGUCUCCAAGCAUGGAAAAGGAAUUGGAGUAUCAUUCCCAUAGAACUCUGAACCCAACCUCUUUACACUAGUCAUUCCACAUACUGCAAGAUGCUUUAGAGAGGGAAGUUGCCCGACUGACGGCAGGGUAGGACACAUGCCACAAUAUUCAAAUUUUAAGGUCACCAACUUUGAGAAUGAGGAAUCUCCGAACCAAGUUGGAAAUGUUGCACCUCUAUAGCCGCUGAUACAAAAUUGUUCCAAAUUUUUAUUGGGUUCUAGCAUGUCAAGCACGUCCUUUUCAAUUUCUGCCUCCCUUGAAGACGAGCCAUCGGUACUGAGUGUCCAUCGAAGCAAUAAUUCUCUAAGAUUCUUCUUUCCAUCCAAUUGAGCCUCCUUUGCAUCACCAACGUCUUUUACAUUCUCCAAUUUUGAAAUGUUAAGUGUCCCAUGAAGGUGCGUCAACAACUUUAGCUCUCGUAAACCGGAACCGCUGCCUUUUCCCACAACAAAAUUACACAACGUCUGAAGACUAGUCAACCUACCAAUUCCUACUGGCAUUUCCUCCAACGACUUCGUAUUUGAAUUCUUAAGAUGAUGCAAUUUGGCGAGGUUUCCCAUGUCUGCACACAACUUCUUCAGCCGAUCACAAUCUUCCAACAAAAGACUAUGCAAAUUGUAAAGCUUGUUGACUGAUUCAGGCAGAGUUCUAAUCUCAGUUCUAGACAGGUUAAGGUACCUUAAAUACCUCAAAUCACCAAUUGAAUCCGGCAGCUCAGGGAUGUGGUAUCCACGCAAAGAGAAGACCCUCAAGCGUCGGAGUUUGAGCAACUUAGGAAGAAUGCUAGGAGCCAAGAAGCCAGGCGAACUUUUUGUCAACAUUACUGGUAAAAAAGUUCUCAAAUGCUGGAUAUCAUACAAGUCCCCAAACCUUUUACCGCCAUCAAAAUAUUCAGGAAUGUAUGAUAGAUGACGAAGAUUUUCGGAAAAACUUUGCUGCUUGUAAAUUUCUGAGGUAUACUCCAUUGUGAAGUAUAUCUCCCCCGCAGCCCAACGGGCAAGGUCAUUGAUAAGAUCGUGCAUCACAAAUCGUGAUGUAUUGUUGCUUAAUUGCUGGAAAAAAGAUCUUGAACGUAGCUCUUGAAAGAACUUUCGACCUAGAACUUCGUUAGGAUUCCCACUCUCUUUAUGAACCAAGAAACCCGAAGCACUCCAUAAUAAAAUUAUCUCCUCCUCUUCAAAUUCAUAAUCCUUCGGAAACAACGAGCAGUAUGCAAAGCAUUGUUUCAAAAUUGGAGGAAGAUAAUAAUAGCUCACUGCAAGAGCUGGUAUAAUAGGACAUCUAUCUUCUGGUAAUUCCCAUAUCUUGCUACUGAGCACAUCUUCCCAUACACCUCUGUCAUGUUCUCCACAUAAAAGUCCUCCCAGUGUUUUUGCUGCCAAGGGCAAGCCAUUGCAUUUGAUCACUAUCUUCUUGCCAAUGUCCUCCAAUGAUUUGUGUGAACUGAAAUCUCUUGUCCCCAAAGAGUGCUGAGCAAACACAGACAGACAAUCCUCAGUGGACAAGUUUUUCAAUUCAUAAGCUUGAUCCGGCCUCAUGAUUUUUGCAACCUGUUGAUUGCGAGUAGUGACAACAAUCUUACUUCCCUGUGCGCCAGCUUCAAACGGACGGCUCAUGUCAACCCAGUCAUUGUAAUUCUCAUUCCAAACGUCGUCUAAAACAAGCAAAAAUUUCUUUUGAGAUAACUUCUUCUUCAGCUCCUCUUGAAGCAAAUUUAAAUCAUUGUCAUCAAUAGUCUGCUUGGUAAUGGAUCUUAGAAUUGUUUUUGUUAGCCCCUUAACGUCGAAAUCCUCAGAGACACAAGUCCAUGCCUUGAGAUCAAAAUGAUCCUGCACUCGCUUAUCAUUGUAGACAAGCUGAGCAAGAGUGGUUUUGCCCAGGCCGCCCAUACCUAUAAUAGGAAUAACAGAGAAUCCACCAUCGUUGCUUAAAUCAUCCGUCAACAGCAGUUCAACAACAUCCUUCUUUUCUGUUUCCCUGCCAUAUACUUUGGCUUCAGUCACUAAAGAGGUUGUCUCUAGCCUUUGACUGGCUUUUUUGGACCCUCCAGCUGAACUUUCUUUCAAAUCUAGUAAGUUUUUCUGUGUCACAAUUUCUUGAAAUCUGCUGUUGAUCUCUUUGAUUUUGGACAUCAAGCCAUAAUCGAACUGAAUCGAUUGUGGAGUAAAAGUGGUGCAGCAGGUAGGAAUGAGCUUCCGAAUCUUACUUGUUCUGGUACGACUGCUACUGGGUUGAUCAUGAGCAGCAGCUGGUUCUCCAUUUCCAAGCAGCAACAUCCUCCGGAAAGCCUCAGUUUGAAACUGAUCCAACAAGUCUUCAACAUCAUAAGCCAAGUUCUGAAGCUUGCCAAGCCACUUAUUCACAGACCGAUUAGUUGUCUUCUUCUCCUCAGCAUCAUCAAGCACCGCCUUGAUCAUCUCCAACAUAUUCUCCCACUUCAUUAGAUAGUCUUGGAUCUUCUCUUGGCGUGCAAAAAACAGAACCCCCUCUGAAGCUAACUUAUUGACCAGCAAAUCAACAGACGCCGUAAGGAUUGCCUCUCCGAUGAUUGACAUUUUUUUUCUUAUUUUUGGGCAAAGGAAGAAAAGGAGCAGAAUUAUGGGUUAUGGAAAGCAGAAUCAGAAAAUUGAACAGUAAGCAUGGAGGGUCGAGCAAAGUGCAUGUAACAAGUCUUCCACUUGCUGUUUAUUCCAGGAAAGUGAAAAUAAAAGGAGAGCCCACCACCCAUUAAUAAUUUAGCAAGUCACCAAUCACCAAUGACCACCACUAGUUACUAGAAUCAAUAAAUAUAAAAUCGUAUAUAAAAAAAUAAAUAAAUAUAAAAUCGGACUUUGAUAUUUGUAGGGUCAACAACAUUAAUCCAGCGUCCGGGUAAAUGCUGAAUAAAGAAGAAAAUGGAAUGCAUCUGCUACGAACCUUCGCUUUACAAAUCUUUAAACUUAUAAACCAAGUUAAAUAAAAAUGUUUCUCUCUCUCUCUCUACUUUUGCCAUAUAAUUACUUCAUUUAUUGAAUUAAUUUCAAUGCUAAGAGGAAGACUCAAAAGUACACCAUAAUUUUUUAUAAUCACAAUGGUAAUUCCUACCAUCAUGUUGCAUUACUGUCGUGUCAAAUAUAACAAACUUUUAGCUGAACAUAAAUUCGAUUAAUUUAUUUUAUAUAUAUAUAUAUAUAUAUAUGUACACACUAAAUAAAAUAACAAGUCGAUUAAUAAGUUAUAAAUGAUAUACACGAAAUAACUCGUAUGUGAGAAAAAAAAAAAAAAAAAAAGUGGAAGCAAAAGCCAGAGGCAGCCCCCACCGACAUCAAUAAUUUAGCAAGCUUCACGCGCUUGUGCUUGUCUGCUUGACGAACUGGACAUGGGUGGACGGUGGACCAAGCAUCAUUAAACAAUUGGAAAAAAUGUAGGGAUAUUAUUAUUUGUAUACCGUAUAAAUAUUUUGUUAUAAAAAAUAUUAUAAUAUUUUAAAAAUAUAUUAAUUAUUAAUUUUAAAUUGAUAAAAAUUAUUUAUUGAUCAUUAAAUUGUUAAUUAUUGUUUGAAAAUUAAUAGAAUAAUAAUGAAUUAAUGAUUUUAUCCUUAAAAAUUAUUACUUGUAUAUCUUUAAAUUCUUUUAUUAUCAAUUGUAUAUCUUUAAAUUAUUAUUUGUAUUAUAUAAAAAGACUAAAUUACUCCUAUAAAAUUAUCCUAUUUAAACGGUAAAUAACAAUUUAAUGGACGGUAUAUAUAUUUUGUUAACUUAAAGUGGACGAUUGAUACACUUUUAAAAUAUUAUAAUAUUUUUUAUAAUAAAAUAUUUAUAAGAUAUAUGAGUGAUAAUUUUUUAAAAAAUAAAAUAUUCUUUGUGGGACCGAUUAUAAAUAGUAAAAUAAAGAAUAAAAAAUAAAAAAAAAGAUAGUCGAAACUGAAAACGAACGAAAGCCGACGAAGGGACGACAGAAAACGCGUUCACUCAUCCAAUUUUUCUUUGGUGGGACCGAUAACAAAUAAUAAAAUAUUCUUUUAUGGGACCGAUUAAAAAUAAUAAAAUAAAGAAUAAAAAAUAAAAAAAAAGAUAGUGUGCAAUUUUUCUUUUAAUAAUUUGGCAAUUCACCAAUCACCAGUCACCAGUCACCACCACUUGUUACCAGAUUCAAUGAAUGUAAAAUCGCACCCCGACAUUUGUAGGUUCAAGCAACAUUAAUCCAGUUGUCCGGGUAAAUGCUGAAUAAAGUGGAAAAUGGGAAGUAUCUACUGCGAACCUUCUCUUUACAAAUCUUCAAACUCAUACGCCAGAAGCAGCCCCCACCACCAUCAAUAAUUCAGCAAGUUUCACAUGCUUGUGCUUGUCUGCUUGACGAACCGGACAUGGGUGGACCAGGCACCAUUGAAUAAUUGGAAAAAAAUGAAAAAUAAAAAUCCGUGUCCAGCAAAAAGAAUGGAUCUUCAUGUGUUGCUUCCUAUUCAGUACAUGCAUGGAUAAUUGGAAGUAGAAAUUGAAAUUACCUUUUUAGAUAUGGCUCAUAUAUAUUACAAGUAAUCAGGAUUUAAUUAGAGUUUACAUAUUUACAUGUGUCUAGUUUUAAUUCAGAGAUAAACUAAUUAAUGCUCAGGUUUUUCUAAAUGAUUGAAAAAUAAUGAUAUUAAUUAUUGAUAUUUAUAAAAUUUCUAAGAAGCGACAACUAGUACGUUAGGGAUACGUAUUAACUUUAGAGACUAAUUUUCAGAUAUUUUCAAAUUCACUUAUUUACAAAAGCAAUACAAAAUGAUUUCCUUUUAUUUUGAAGCAUUAUAUGAACUCGAAUAACAAUGGUACAAAAAGAAAAGUGGUAAUUCUCUUAUCGUUUUUUUUUCUCUUUUUUUUCCUCUUUUUUUUUAAAAGGAGAUGGCGGGAUUUGGUUGUUUGCAAAAUUAUUGGUGUGGGGGUCUAUUUGUUUUUGUAUUUACUUUAUUAAUUAAUUAGAGAAGCAAACAUGUAAUCAUUUGUAAAGGGGUCACUAGCAUGGAUUAUGUGAGAUGAAUUCGUAGGACUUAUUAAAGUUAUUAAUUCAUUAACUUGAGAUACUAAUAUUUACUAAUUAUGGUGAUUAGUUUAUUUAACUUGUCAUAGUUUUCAAUUGAGAAUGAAGUUCAAUCAAUAUAUGAACAUUAAAAAGAUAACUUUUUUUUUUCAAUUUUUAAUUGUUAUGAUUUGAUUUCACUCUUUUCUGAUUAUUGACAUUGUAAAAGCUUACUGAAUGUCAUCAAAUGCUUGUAUCUCAUUUCACAAAUUGUCAAAUAUCGUUUGGUUUCUCUAUAAGUGGCCACCAAAGUAACAACAUCCACCAUAUAUCAAAAAUUAAUUUUAAGAAUCAUUUUUACUUGAAAUCUUUGAAAAGAAAAAUCAAAGAUUAUACAAAGUUACAUGCAGGCACAUCAUAUGUUAAUCUUAAUUUUUUUUGCUGCUGAAAAUUAAUUAAUUAGUUAAUUCCACUACUUCCAUUUUUAAUUGUAUGGUGUGUAACAAAUUGGCCGCUUCUGAAUUAUGUUGCAUAUUUGUUAACUUAAAGAAAUAGUCCACUUUUCUAUCAGUCAAACUCACUUUCCUUAGUAAUAUUCUUCAUCAUUAUGGUUAAUGGCUUAGUAAAUGUAGAAGGAGGAGUCAGCUAAAAUGAAGUACUUUCUCUUGUAUUAACCUUUAUUAAUUGUUGAAGUUAAAAAAUUUUUAUAACAGCUCCAACUCAAAAUCAGUAAGGUGUACGUAGGUUUUUAUAAAUAUUUCUAGUCUAAUUUAAUUGUGUGAUAUACAAACUAACUUCCUCACUUCUUUCACAUAAAUGAAGGCAGCUGAGUACACUUUUUUCUGAUGCAGUCUGUCCCUCUUUGGUGUGAUUAUUCGAAAUUUUGCAAGAAUAUGAUCCAUCUAUGCGCGAAUGUUUAGCCGAUGGCAUUUCAAAGGCAAGGAAUCUAUUUUAGCGGCUAUUACUGCUGCUGGUCUGCAUGUUUCAGAAGGCAGUAAAAUAUGGGAAUUGUACAGAGAAUUUGAGCUAGCUAUAUUUAGUAGGAUUGAUAAGACUAACUUGAAGGUGAGAUAUUUUAAUUUAUUUUGGGCUAAAUAACGAGUUUAUUCCCAUCUAUAGAAAGAAAAAGAGAAGUUUUUUUUUUUUGUGGUUGUGGGGGGGGGGGGGGGGGGGGGGGGGGGAGGGUUCCAACCCUACCACAUGACAAGCAUUCCAAGACCCUUGCUGGAUUCGAAGUAUAUUUCAUCGCCAGUUGUCUGUUCCCCUUGCUAACUCAAGUGCAACUCUUCUUACCUACAAGUCUUGGGAGGUCGAACAGGGGGCUGUUCUUGAUGUUGAAUCUAGUAAUCUAGACGGAGAUUCUUCUAAUGUUGCCUUAGCAUACCAAAAGGCAUUGGAGAUGUGUAAUGCACGAGCUCAUCUUGAAGAGCAGAUUUCCAGGCAGGAUUUAUCUGACUCAGAGAAAUUUCAGCAAUUCAUGGUAGAUGAAUUUACUAUCAUCAUUUGAUAGCUUUUUAUAAUAAGUAAAAUCCAGCUGUAAAAAUUUUAUUAAUUUCAACCUUUUUUUUUUUGGUGGAUUUCUUCUUAUGGCAUUAGUAUUUUGGUUUUAUGUAGCUUACAAAUAAUAUCUGCACUUUAAAUAUCAUCUGUUGUUUCUUAGCAAAUAAUAGUAAUAAAUAAUUAAUAUCUGCUCUUUUAACUCUUGGCCCCGGGGGGGGGGGGGGGGGGGGGGGGAUGCAGUGUCAUUAUUUUCCUUCUUCUCCUUUUCCUAUUUUGUGCUAACAUUUUACAGAAUCAAGUAACAGUUAUAUAACGAGAAAAGUGCAAAGUUGUGUAAUUCUAAUGUUUUUUUUAUCACAGACACUCAGAUCAUUUUUUAUUUGGGUCGCCAACUCGCCAAUAAACCCAUGAUUGAAUGAGUGUUUAGAAAGAAAAUCAAUAAAAAACAGUUAAUUUUUGGUCGUCGAAACAUAGUAAGUGAGAAAGAUUUUUUUUUUUUUUUUUGUUAAUUAGGUUAGUAUUUAUGAUUGAGUGACUCAGAACUAUAUUUUAGAUUGAGAAUCAAUGGUUCUUCCACACUGAGAGGCUGUAAGUUUAAGAUUUUCGUUUGCUAUUUUAUCGACAAGAGAGCACUCGAUUUUAUUAAAAGGAGAAAGUCAUAAGAUUUCCUUUAUGAGAAAAUGUAUCUGAUCGUUCCUUUUUACUUGAAAAAUUAAUAUACAAAAACUUACUAAUAAAUGACAUAAUAUACAUAAAUUAUUAAUUCGUUUGAUAGUUGAUUAUCGAAUGACAUUUGACCCAUGGGAGCAUGCAGUCUAUAAAAUAAUUCUUCUUUUUUUUUUAAACAAAAAAUCGGUGAUGUUGAAAAGCAUUUCUGUAUAUUAUUAUUACUCUAAUUGGAGUGAAUAUUUCAUAAAAAGAAUGCCGUAUGAAACUAAAUUAUUAAUUCAUUUGAUAGUUGGUUAUCGAAUGACAUGUGACCCACAAUAAAUAGUUAAAUUUGGCGGCAACAAUAAUUACAAGACGAACUUAAAGCAGCACAUAGGUUUUUCUUAAAAAUACAUAAACAAUUCGAUAUUUGAAAUUCUAAUAUCUCAAUAAUAUUGAUCAUGAUUCAGUUACCAAUUAGAUCCACUUACAAUUUCUUUUUUUCUUUUUUCUGAUUUCCAAUCUUUACCAAAAGAAAAUAUUCAGUGAUCCCUUUUUGAACUAUAAAUCUUGGAUGUUGGUGGAUAAAAUGUCUAUAGAAUAUGAGAACUUCAUGCUAGUCGUGCUAGUCAUCCUGAGCUUUUGAGAUGUCCAUGGCAAGCACGUCUUAGUUUAUAGGCUCAAACAAUUAAGAGUAUAGAAAAUGCAUGAUAGAACACAGAACUCAUAUUUUAGCAACAAUCCUCAGCUCAUUGGCCCUUAGUUCAGAAUGACAAUUCUUAUUAGCCAAAGAUUCAAAAUGAUUUUUAGUUGUUUAUAAGUAGAGCACUAGAUCAACAAAUAAUUGAAGACCUGCAGCUUGGCUAUUGAACUAUACGAUGAUGCCAAUUCGAAGACUGCAACUUGGCUCUGCCAUUCGAAGUAAGCAACGCAGCUGCCCAAAGUCUGCCAAGCCAUCAAGACUCCAAGUAUACUUCAAAGCUACAUCAAGACAACACUAAGAUACAACAUCAAUAAUAAUAACAUCAAGAAAUGCAUGGAGGCCAUUGCAUGUUACACCCACCCCAAUAAGAAAAAUACAGUCCUAGAAAUUUACAAACCCGUGCAGUAGGAAUACUAAUUAAUUUAUAACAGUUCAUAUGCCGAUAUUGUCUUCCGAGGUUUAGACGGGUUCCAGAUUUGGUAAAUCAACAAUCACCAGAUAUGAUAGAGCGGCCGGAAGAGGAAGCAUGGUUCCUAAUCCUAAUCUUGAUUUAGAGCAGAUUAGGUAACAUGUGGCAUUCUACAUUCCUGCAAUGCUAUUUCUUGUUAUGGCAGCGGCAUUCUUGGUCAUGGCAUCACAAGCAAAUGCUUUGAUUUGAAGACUUGCUCGGCUAUGAAAAAUAAGGAGAGCAAAGGUAAUUAAUCUUGGUGUGAUCAACAGUUUAAUGGGGGUACUAAGAAAAAUAAAGAUAAUAUAAGGAAUGUUGUUGAGGAGUAUUUUGAUAUUUACAAAAGUGUUCUAAGUAAAAAUUGAUUUCUUAAAACUCAUUAGCUAGCGCACAUAAUAAUGGGGAGAAAAUUUUAGAGUACGAAUAGUCCCACCCAUUUAAUAAUAUUCUUCAAUCAAUUAUGUUUAGUUCAAAAAAAAAAAAACCCAUCUCUUUAUUACUUUCUAACUAUUCAUAUUAAUGUGUUAAUAAUUAUGAAGAACCGGUGUAAUUUAUGUGAUGUAGGAAGCACUUUAGGCAAAAUCAUCUGAAUCUGAAAAUUUCGUGAUAUUGUGCCAAAUAUCCAAAACAGAGCUUCCUACAUUGCUAUAGCAGUUUUUAAAAGUUGAGGACUCCAAAUAUCCAAUAACUGAUAAAUUGUGUUAAGAAAUAUAAAUAUUAAUGAUGACGACACAUAUGCAUGGAAUUCCUCUGUUUUGAGUUUGACUAAAACAACCUGAAUAAUUUCAAACAAUCCAUCAACCCAAAGUCCUUGAGAGAUCGAACUGGAUUUCAGUGCAUCACAUUCUGAAAUUGAAACUAACAUUAAUUAGAAAGGCAGAACAUCCUCUGUUUUUUACUAUAAUACAAAAUGGGAAGUCAAACCAAUUCGAGGAACAAUUGACACUGGAUCAUGUAAGAUUGUUAGUUGUUAAUUAUGAUGGAAAUAUACACUUGGUCUGUUAAUUACCAUCUAGCUAAUGCAUGUGCACUUGGUCUAUUAAUUACCAUCUAGCUAAUGCAUGUGCACUUGGUCUAUUAAUUACCAUCUAGCUAAUGCAUGUGUACUUUCAUUUGUGUCUAUCAUUGAAGAGUAGAGUUACGUGAUUGAAUAGUAUCAUAUCACAUAAACUCAAAACUCAAUUUCAUUGCACGAGCAUACCACGCCAUAUGCAGCUCAAAAGUGCAAUAACAUUGCUCAUCUCCUAUAAUUAAUUGUCGAAGAGAGUUCAGAUUGUGCAAUCCCUUAGGUAAGGCCUCUAGUCUCCCACACUCAUACAUCAUGAGCUCAGUCAGUUUUGCACAAGGCAAUCCCCCUUCGGGAAACGACACCAGAUUUCCACACCCCUAAAAUCUAAUCUCUCGAAGCUGGUGGAGAUUAUGUAAACCAGUCGGUAAAUUUUUCAGAUUUUUACAACUAAUGAUAGUGAUUGUUUCAAGAGAUGUGUUGUUGUCCAACCUUUCUGCUAUUGACUCCAGCUUUGAACAACUAAGAACUUCAAGGGACUUAAGAGACGGAGGUAGAUUGCCAACUUCAAGGGACUCAAGCGUGGCAAGUAACUCGUUUUUUGAAAAUAUACAUGUCAGAGACGGACAACUCUCAAUGUGUAAGUGCUCAAGAAGAGAUGAGGUGUACCUUCUACUGCUGCUACUUUGGAUGCCCUCUUCCACUGUCAAAGUCCUUACGUUAUCACAAUUCCGGAUGACCACGUUCUUAAGGCUCGGUGGUAGCUGGACUUCAGCAAUAUAUGUCAACGAAUGACAACGCGAAAUCGUCAAGAUCUCGAGAGAUAAAUUGGCGUCGCACAUCCAUGCCUCCGGUAACGAUUUCAGUGCAUCACAACGGUGAAUUGAAAUGCUCCUCACCUUGGAAGGCAGAGCAACCUCAGGGAAGGAAACAAAGGAACUGCAGUUGUAGAUUUCUAUCUCUCUCAAGGAGCUGAGGCUGAGCAAUGAUUGCGGCAGCUUCACAAGGCCUUUGCAAUCAUUUAAUAGCAGAUAUUCAAGUCUGCAUGACAACUCGCAGAGCUGUUGCUGGUCUUUUUCUUCCUCCGCCACCAAGGAUUGAAGUGUGGGACACCAUCCAAUCGUCAGUCUUUUCAGAGAGCUAAUGUCUUGCAGAAAUCCGUUAUGACGCUUCCAUAUAUAUGUUUCAUUUUUAAUAUUGCUUAUCUCCAAUUCUUCCAAUUUUGGUAGUCGCGGCUUCAAUGGCCCUGCAAGCAACACUUGAUUUAAUGUAUCUCUACAAACCACUGAAUUCUGUGACCCGAGAUGAUCAGUUUCACUUCUCCACACAACCUUUUUACAUCCACCAAUCUCUAAUUUGGAAAGAGCUGGAAGACUCGUAAUUGAAACUAACAAUUCUUCACAUCCUCCAAUAACAAGCAUCUCCAAUGCAGGAAGGUGUUCUGGAAAUGUUCCUUUCAGUUUAGAACAUCCUAUAACUUCAAGCUCUCUCAAUUUAGGAAAUCCUUCAACUCCCUGAGUAGAUCCAUGAGGAAUCCAGUCUUCCCAUUCUAGCAGGUUUUCAAAACGAAGAGUCUCCAAGCAUGGAAAAGGAAUUGGAGUAUCAUUCCCAUAGAACUCCGAACCCAAUCUCCUUACUCUGCUCAUUCUACGUACUGCAAGAUGCUUUAGAGAGGGUAGUUGCCCGACCGACGGCAGUGUGGUACACAUGCCACAAUCUUCAAAUUUAAGUGUUACUAAAUUUGAGAAUGAGGAAUCUCCUAACCAUAUUGGAAAUUUUGUACCUCCAUAGCCACUGAUAAAAAAUUGCUCCAGAUUUUUAUGGGGUUUCAGCAUGUCAAGCACGCCCUUUUGAGUUUCUGCCUCCCUUAAAGAUGAACCAUCGGUACUGUUUGUCCACCGAAGCAUUAACACUUUAAGGUUCUUCUUUCCAUCCAAUUGAGCCUCCUUGGCAUCACCAACGUAUUUUACAUUCUCCAAUUUUGAAAUGGUAAGUGUCCCACGAAGAUGCGUCAACAACUUUAGCUCUCGCAACCGGGAACCACUGUCUUUUCCUACAACAAAAUUACACAAUGUCUGAAGACAAGUCAACUUGCCAAUUCCUAGUGGCAUUUCCUCCAACGAAUCUGUAUUUGAAUUAUUGAGAUGAUGCAAUUUGAUGAGAUUUCCCAUGCCUGCACACAACUUCCUCAGUCCCCGACAACCCUCCAACGAAAGGGUGUGCAAAUUGUAAAGCUUGUUGACUGAUUCAGGCAGAGUUCUAAUCUGAGUUCCAGAUAGGUUGAGGUACCUUAAAUACCUCAAAUCACCAAUUGAAUCUGGCAGCUCGGAGAUCCAAUAUCCACACAAAGAGAAGACCCUCAGGCGUUGAAGUUUGAACAACUUAGGAAGAAUGCUAUGAGCCAAGAAUCCUUGCGAACUAUUUGACAGACAUACUGGUAGAAAAGUUCGCAAAUGCUGGAUAUUGUACAAGUCUUCAAACCUUUUAACGCCAUCAUAUUUUCCACAGAUGCAUGAUAGAUGACGAAGAUUUUUGGAAAAACUUUGUUGUUUGUUAACCUCUGAAGUAUAAUCCAUUGUGAAGUAAAUUUCCCCCGCCGCCCAAUGGGCAAGGUCAUUGAUAAGAUCGUGCAUCACAAAUAGUGAUUUAUUGUUGCUUGAUUGCUGGAAAAAGGAUCUUGCACGUAGCUCUUGAAAGAACUUUCGACCUAGAUCUUCACAUGGAUUCUCGCUCUUCCGAUGAUCCAAGAAACCCACAGCACUCCACAAUAAAAUUAUCUCCUCCUCUUCAAAUUCAUAAUCCUUUGGAAACAAUGAGCAGUAUGCAAAGCACUGUUUCAAAGGUGCCGAGAGAUAAUAGUAGCUCACUCUAAGCGCCGGUAUAAUGUCACAUCUCUCUUCUGGUAAAUCCCAUAUGUUGCAACUGAGCACACCUUCCCAAUCACUUCGGUCACAUUUACCACGUAAGAGUCCACCAAGGGUUUUCGCAGCUAAGGGCAGGCCGUCGCAUUUGAUCACUAUCUUCGUGCCAAUUUCCUCCAAUGACUUAUUUGAACUGAAAUCUCUUGUCCCCAAAGAGUGGUGAGCGAACACGGACAAACAAUCAUCAAUUGACAACUUUUUUAAUUGAUAAGCUGAAGCAGUCCCCAUUAUGGCUGCAACCUCUUGAUUGCGAGUUGUGACAAUAAUCUUACUUCCCGGUGCGCCAGCUUCAAACGGACGGCUCAUGUCAACCCAAUCAUUGUAACUCUCAUUCCAAACGUCAUCUAAAACAAGCAAAAAUUUCUUUCGAGACAACUGCAUCUUUAGCUCCUCUUGAAGCAAAUUUAAAUCACUAUUAUCAACAGUCUGCUUAGUAAUGGAGCUUAGAAUUGUUCUUGUUAGCCUGAUAACAUCAAAAUCAUCAGAGACACAAGUCCAUGCCUUGAGAUCAAAAUGACCCUGCACUCGAUCUUCAUUAUAGACAAGCUGAGCAAGAGUGGUUUUGCCCAGCCCGCCCAUACCUAUAAUAGGAAUAACUGAGAAUUCGCCAUCAUUUUUUAAAUCAUCCCUCAACAACAAUUCAACGAUUUCCUUUUUUUCUGUUUCCCUACCAUAUACCUUUGCUCCGUUCACCAAAGAGGUUGUGGGUAGUCUUUGCCUGACUUUUUUGGAUCUCCCCGCUGAACUUUCUUUCAAACCCAACGAGUCUUUCUGUGUUGCAACAUCUUGAAAUCUGUCGUUGAUCUCUUUGAUUUUGGACAUCAUGGUGUAAUCGAACUGAAUCGAUUGUGGAGUAAAAGUGGUGCAGCAAGUAGGAAUGAGCUUCCGAAUUCUGGUAUGACUGCUACUAGGUUGAUCAUGAGCCGCAACUGGUUCUCCAUUUCCAAGCAGCAACCUCCUCCGGAAUGCCUCAGUUUGAAACUCAUCCAACAAGUCUUCAACAUCAUAAGCCAAGUUCUGAAGCUCGCCAAGCCACAACUUCACAGACUGAUCAGUCUUCUUCUCCUCAGCAUCAUCAAGCACCGCCUUGAUCAUCACCAACAUAUUCUUCCACUUCUUUAGGUCGGCCUGGAUUUGCUCUUGGCGUCCAAACAACCGAAUCCCCUCUGAAGCUAACUUAUUGACCAGCAAAUCAACGGACGCCGUAAGGAUUGCCUCUCCGAUGAUUGACAUUUUUUUCUUUUUUAACGCACAGAAAGAAACAGAAUUUUGAGUUUCAAAGAGCAAAAUGAGAAAAUUGAGCAGUAAUUGUGAAGGGUCAAGCAAAUUGCACGCAACAAGUCUUCCACUUGUUGUUUACUCUAGUAAAGUGCAAAUAGAAACAGAGCCCACCACCCAUUAAAAAUUUACCGAUUCACCAAUCACCAGUCACCAGUCACCACCACUUGUUACCAGAUUCAAUGAAUGUAAAAUCGCACCUCGACAUUUGUAGGGUCAAGCAACAUUAAUCCAAUUGUCCGGGUAAAUGCUGAAUAAAGUGGACAAUUGGAUGUAUCUACAACGAUCCUUCCCUUUACAAAUCUUCAAACUCAUAAACCAUGUUAAAAUGAAAAACGUUUCUCUCUUUCUCUCUCCCUUUCUGCCGUAAAAUUACUUUAUGGAUUGAAUUAAUUUCCAUGCUAAAACGAAGACUUAAAAGUACGAUACAAUUUUUUAUAAUAAUCCCAAUGGAAUUUCUACCGUCACUUAAAGAUAAUUUUCAAAAUUGUUCAUGGAGAAGUCUAUGUUGCAGAUUCUGUAACAUACGCACCCAAUGUAUGCACCACACUUGUCCUGUGCAUGGAGAAAAAGCAUGCAAAUGCUUUUGUUUGGUAGCUGGCUUAAAGCAGAAUCAGUAAGUUACAGAGUCUGUAACUUAGCCUGCUCCAUGUGAAAACAAAAAAAGUCCUGCCACCAAUAAUUCAGAAAGCUUCACUUUAUUACACGAAGGUGAAAGCAAAAAGCCAAAAACAGCCCCCACCACCAUCAAUAAUUUAGCAAGCUUCACAUGCUAGUGCCUGUCUACCUGACGAGCUGCACACAGCACAUGGGUGGACCAAGCAUCAUUGAAUAGUUGUAAAAAAUAAAAAAUAAAAAAUAAAAAUCAGUGUCCCGCAAAAAGAAUCCAUCUUUAUGUGUUGAUAUGCACAUCUACCGAACAUCUAAAAAAUGGAAGUAGAAAUUGAAACUUACUUUUUUAGUUAUGGCUCAUAUAUAAUACAAGUAUCAAGAUUUAAGUAGAGUUCACAUAUACACAUGCGUCUACAAAAUUUUUAGGAAAUGAUAACUAAUAUGUUGGGAUAUAUAUUUGUGGGAAAUGACAAAUAUAGGGAAUAGCAGUAAAAAUGUUGGAAGUUUAAUAUAAUGAAAAAAGGUAAAUUGCAAAAAAUUAAUAUGUACUUCAAAGCACAUUACAAAUUGAGUAAUGUACAUGGGUUAAGCAAAUAUACCUCAAUGAUACAAUAAGGCACUUAUUUAUUUGUUUGCUUUGUGUAUCGACAAAAAUAAAUUAGAAUAUUCUUUAAUGUUGCAAAAACAAUAUAUUGGAUAUUUGAUGCAUAAAAAAGAAAGUUAUUUGAUGAAAUUCAUUCUAGGAAAUAGAGCUAAGAAAAGAGCGGUGGAUUAUCUUAUUCAUAUUUAAAAUUCUAAAUAUAUUGAUUUACUUAUCAUAGUGAUAUAAUAGUAAUUGUAAAUUAAAAAUAAAUUUAAUAUUAAAACAAAUAGAAUUUACUAAUAAAAAUAAGGUUAUAUAUCUUUUUUCGAAAUAUUCAAGAAUUUUAUGUACUUUUUUUUUUUCAAAACGUUUGGAGUGAAUUUCCAUUUCCCAUUAAGCAAAACCCACCGCAAAAGUGAAAAGAAAAAACAGAGCCCACUACAAAUAUAAAUCAGAGGAGCUCAUGAUCGUGCCUUUGCUUCACACACUAAAUUAAAUAAAAGCCGAACCAAGAAUCUUGCCUUUGCUUAACAUGAUUAAUUAGGCACUACAUCAGAGAGAACACGAAACCAAUGGACCCUUUUGUUAAUCUUAAAUGUCAGGAAUAUGAUUAGCUUGGAAUAAAGUUAUAUACUUUCUCCUCCUCUUACUGUCUCUUUAUGUUCAUUUCAAAAGUUUGAAGAGAGUAUCAAUUCUUCUACACUUUAGAAUGUCAAUGUUCUUGCUUUCUUCAAAUGUUGAAUAAAGAGAAAAAAAAAUGUUGAAUGUAGAAGGAAAAUGGAAUGCAUCCACCUUCGCUUUGGAAGUCUUCUACUUAUAAAAGCAAGCUAAAUUAAAAGAUUUAAAUCUCUCUUUUUAUUACUAUAAGUGCACUGCAUUUUUUUUUAAAUAAUCGCCUAUACAAAUUUGUAAUGUAAUGAAAUAUUCAUAUUCCUGUCGUGUCGAAAUGAGAUAAAAUGAAAUUUCAAAUAACACAAAUUCGACUCAUUUGUUAAAGGUAUAUACUUAAUAAGCUAAUAACAUAAUUAACAUAACGCUAUUAUUACACUAAAUGAAAUAAAAGACGGUAGCCACUAAAUGAAAUUUUGUUGUUAUUGUACCCAGCCGUUAGAUUUUAAUUACGUUGAUUUAAUGGUUUGGAUUUAUAAAUGAAUAACGACGUGGUGUUUGGCUACCAUCUGAACCCACUGCAUCUAAUUGGUUUUGUGAUUUUUUGCUUUCUUCUUUGUAACGGUUGACUAUUUCUGGAAAUAUCGACCGCCAUCGACAGCAAAUCUGAACCAUGCAUUUUUUCUUAGUACUAAGAAAUAAAGUUUCCACCACCGUACCAGUAUGUCGAUUUGCGAAUACAUUCAUUCAAAUAUUAAACGUUCAGAGAAGAAAGCAAACCGUGGCAGGAUAGCAAAAACUGCGAAUGGUCAUUCCCAACACAAACCCCUAUGGCUGUUUUCCUUUUAAUUUUCUUCUUUGAAUUCUCCUUUUAUUAAUCAUUAGAAAACUCCCUUUUUUUUUUAAAUCAUGUGUUAUUAACAUUUACAUGGUUAAUGUCAUCGAAAUCAAAUGGUUGUUAUCUACGAAAAGAGAAUUGCUAGAAAUUUUGUUAGUCCCAUUGCAACAAUAUAUUGUUAUAAAUUGCAUUGUGUCCCAUAUAACAAAUAUAAUAAAAUCUCAAUAAAUUAAUAGUUUUGGGAACCAUAAAAAAAUUUAUUAAAAUUUAACAAAUUUAUUAAAAGGAGAAGGCCAUAAAGGUUUUCCUUUAUGAGAAAUGUAUCUGAUCAUUCAUUUUUACUUGAAAAUUUCAUAUAUAAAAACUCAUUAAUAAAUGACAGAAUAUGUUGAAAAGUCAUGCAUGUGGCAUCCAAAUUCAAGAAAGCAUGUAAAUUUCAAAGAGCUACCAAACAAUUGAAGAAAAAAAAAUGAAAAGUUGGCGAAUUUGUCAAAUUUGCCAAAUGGACACCAUUGACAAUUUGCUUAAGUUAGGUGGAAUAGUAGAGGGGUUGGUGCAAUAGUGUCAUUGUUUUCCCUAUAAAUAGAUGGUACUUCUUCCAUUUUAAUCAUCCCAAAAUUAUUAAGCUUAUAAGUUUCUAAGCUUUUGAGAGAAGUGAGAGAAGUGUGUAUGAGGAAUUUAUCUUUCCUGCAGAGUGUGAGAGUACUGUGUAUAUUUGGGUUUCUGGGAAGUGAGAUUCGUUACUCAAAUAUUGUACUCUAUUAAUUGUUAAAUAAACAAUUAUUCUUUCUUACCUCCGUGGAUGUAGGUUUAAUUACCGAACCACGUAAUUCUUGUGUCAUUUAUUUUUCUAUAAUUAUUUAGUGCGCUUGAUUUCGCAUUCCGCGCACAACAAAAUAUAUAUAAAUUAUUAAUUCAUUUGAUAGUUGAUUAUCGAAGGACAUGUGACCCAUGGGAGCAUGCAAUCUAUAAAAUAAUUCUUUUUUUAUUAAACAAAAAGUUGGUGAUGUUGAAAAGCAAUAUUAUUAUUUCUCUAAUUGGGGUGAACAUUCAUAAAAAGAAUGCCGUAUGAAACUAAAUUAUUAAUUCGUUUGAUAGUUGGUUAUCGAAUGACCUGUGACCCACAAUAAAUAGUUAAAUUUGGCGGCAACAAUAAUUACAAGACGAACUUAAAGCAGCGCAUAGGCUUUUCUUAAAAAUACAUAAACAAUUCGAUAUUUGAAAUUCUAAUAUCUCAAUAAUAUUGAUCAUGAUUCAGUUACCAAUUAGAUCCACUUACAAUUUCUUUUUUUCUUUUUUCUGGUUUCCAAUCUUUACCAAAAGAAAAUAUUUAGUGAUCCCUUUUAUCAACUUGGUUUUAUUGACUUUCUUCCAAUCAUAGAAGUGAAACGAGAAACAGAGGCCAGCACCAAUUAGUGUUACCAGAUUCUGUAAAGACAAAAUCAGUGCCCAGCAAAAAGAAGCUAUGUUUUCGUUUAUAUGCUGCUUCCUAUUUAGUACAUGCAUAUAAAGAUAUACACGUGCACAUGCAGCACAUCUAUCUAAAAUUUAAAAAACGGAAUUAAAAAUACAGGAUUUAUGGUAGAAAUACAACAGGAAUAAGAGUGAAAUUCCAAUUUUAAAAAUUGGGAGAAAUGAAAUGCGAUAUUUUUUUUAUUAAUAAAAUAAUUUAAUUUUUUUUAAUUCUACCAGCAAAAACCAUUAACUUAUCAAGUUAUUGGUUUCAUUCACAGUUGACAGUCGGUUUCUUAGUUUCAUUCCUUAAUUCUACAAGAAAAAAACAGAAUACUUGACAUUUUUUAUUUGACAGUUUUUAAGAAAUGUCAAACAUAUAUGACAUUCUGUGAAAAACUGAGUAAUUGUGAAAUAUAAAUGACAAUUUAUUUAAACGUCAAAUAAUUGUGACGUUUUAUCAAAUAAAUGAUAAAUAUAUUACAUAUUUAUUGAAUAAUUAUCAUUUACCUUUUCGUUUUAUUGACUUGAGAAAAAAAACAAAAACAUUGACUAUACUGCUUUUGUUUUCGUUCUUAGAACAGAUUUUAGUUUCUUUUGAGAAAAUUCAAACUCAUUCCCAUUACUUUCUUUUCAAUAAUCACCCUCUCAGUUUUUCAUCAAUCACUCAAUUCCGAAUUUCAUCUCCAUUCUCUUUCGAAGAAGAACGCACGAAGAAUUUUAGCUUGUUUUCGCUGCUUCUCGAAUAUUGGGUAUUGUUUCCUUUAAUUUAGAUUUUUUUUUUUUAUCCCCCUUUCUAGUUUGAUAAUUUAGGGUUAUACUUGAAUUAAUUGUAUUUUUAAUCAACCAAGGUUGAUUUAAUUGAUUCCAAGUCUCAAUUUCCUGUUCACCAAACAAGGAACGCACAAAUAAUUUUCAUUUUCAUACUCAAUUUUGAAAGAAUCAAUUUAUUUUAUCUUUGGUUAGUACACUUCUGUUCAAUUUUUGUUUAUUUAACUUAAGAUAUCUUUUUCUUUCUUUUCUUCAAGCAGAUUAUAGAUUAUAUUGAGAACAGAGCUUUCUCCUUAAUUCCGCCAAGAGCAACGUUGAUUUCAGGUGAUAAUUGAAUGUGUAAUAUUUUCAAUUGAAAUUAAUUGAGAUUUACAUCCUGUUGAAAUGAUUUUAGAGUGUUCUGCUAUUUGAAUGCGCAUUAAUUGUUCCUCUGUUUCAAAUCCAAAUCCACUGGUCUACUAUUCAUUAUGACAAUGCAUAUGCCGAUAUUGUCUUCCAUCCUUUUUGUACCUUUCAAUUUAGUGAGGUUUAGACAGGGGUUCCAGAUUUGGUAAAUCAACAAUCACCAGAUAUGUAGAGCGGCCGGAAGAGGAAGCAUGGUUCCUAAUCCUAAUCUUGAUUUAGAGCAGAUUAGGUAACAUGUGGCAUUCUACAUUCUUGCAAUGCCAUUUCUUGUUAUGGCAGCAGCAUUCUUGGUCAUGGCAUCACAAGCAAAUGCUUUGAUUUGAAGACUUGCUUGGCUACUAAAAAUAAGGAGAGCAAAGGUAAUUAAUCUUGGUGUGAUCAACAUUUUUAUGGGGGUACUAAGAAAAAUAAAGAUAAUAUAAAGAAUGUUGUUGAGGAGUAUUUUCAUAUUUACACAAGUGUUCAAAGUAAAAAUUGAUUUCUUAAAACCCAUUAGCUAGCGCACAUAAUAAUGGGGAGAAAAUUUUAGACUACGAAUGGUCCCACCCAUUUAAUAAUAUUCUUCAAUCAAUUAUGUUUACUUCAAAAAAAACAAACCCAUCUCUUUAUUACUUUCUAACUAUUCAUAUUAAUGUGUUAAUAAUUAUGAAGAACCGGUGUAAUUUAUAUGAUGUAGAAAGCACUUUAGGCAAAAUCAUUUGAAUCUAAAAAUUUCGUGAUAUUGUGCCAAAUAUCCAAAACAGAGCUUCCUACAUUUCAUUGCGCUAGCCAAUUUCUUGUACCAAAAUUAGGAAUCACUGAAGAGUAGAGUUACGUGACUGAAUAGUAUCAUAUCACAGAAACUCAAAACUCAAAAGUGCAAUAACAUUGAACAUUCAGCUGGCUAGCUUAUAUUAAUUAAUUAAUACUACUACUAGUUCUUUAUGAUUAAUUAGAAGAUAAAAUAUUUGACAAUCACAAAACAUUAUUCCAUCACUGAAGAGGAGAGCUUCCUACAUUGUUACCCAAGCUCUUUUAUAUCUCCCAAACAUUAUUAGAGUCCCACAUUUGUGGCACAUCAUUAAGUAAAAUGUGCCAAUUAGGAAGAGCUGGCUUCUUUGUUUUGUUUUCUUGGAUGUGUUGCAAUUUUCAAGUAUCAUUCAAAAUUUUACGCCAUCAACACAGGAAAAUUAUAUAUAUUCUGCAGCACUUGCAAAUGUUGCAAGUGCUGACAGAACUUUUCAUUUGAUUUGAUAAUUGGCUAAGUGUGAUUUCGAUAACGUUUCCAAAGAUCAAAAAGAAAAAUAAGUAAUUUGAUCAGUCGAUGCAAAAAAUGAGCGAGCUUCGUAGUCUGACUAACAGGACAUGGCUUGGAGCAAGGAUCAAUGGACAAGUUGGAGGUUUAUGAAAUAUUGGGAAAAUAGACAAAUAAUAAAGCCACUACAAGUUAAGCAGAUCAAAUAAACAGAACAGAGGAAAUAAGUGAUCAAUUUAUUACUUUGUGCAAUGGCCACAGCAACAGCGAAAAUAUGUCUACAUGACUACAUUAUCCGACUGGCAAGGUACUAUCACCAUGCGGCAUUACACUUAACAUUUCCUUAUCAAUCAAUUUUGAUGGUAUUAUAUUAAAAACAUCGAUUUCAUAAUUUUAUGUAAUUCAUAGAAAAGAUAUAAUUGAUUUGAGUUAGUUUAACAUAUAAGGAAAGAGUAAUGGGGGAUGAUGUCGAUGUGGAAUAUGAUCAGUAAAGAUAGACAACAAAUAUCAUGUAAUAAUGAAAUAUGUAUUUAUUGAAAAUAAAUUGACUGUUAAAAUUAAUAGAUAUAUAUCCAAUGCAUCGAGUUUAUUUGAUCACUUCGCUAACUAUUUUGUAACUACAUGUUAAUUAGAAGUUCAAUUAAUUUUGACCAAAGACUCUAGAGAAUGUCGAAAAGAGAUUUGAUUUUUGUCUUAAAAAAAUAAGAAAUGAAAUAAGUCAAAAUCAAUCACAAGAACAACAAUAAGAGCAUAUUUUAUAAAACCACAAAUACAUAAUAUAAAUUUAGUUUCGAAUUAGAUAAUUAUUAAUUUGUAUAGUACGAGAGUCUUAUAGAAAAAUAGGAAUUUUUUAAAAGGAGAUUUGCUUAAGGAACAACUUUAGUUUGGUUUAAUUUUUGAAGGCUCAAGUAAUUGAAAGCAACGCAAUGGAAGGAAAUACAAGCUUUUGAUUUUGACAAAGUAAUCACUAAAAUAUUUGACAAGUUUGAGACGUUAAAAAAACUGGAAAAAUAGACAAAUAAUGAAGACCCUACAAGUUGGUAGAGCAAAUAAACAGAGGAAAACAGAGCAAAAAUUUACCGUUAUACAUAUAUAUAUAUAUAUAUAUUUUUUUUUUUUUUUUUUUUUUCCGAAAAAGAAUGCUGCGAUAUUUUUUUUCCCAAAAAGAAGCACAGUUUGAUAUUACUACCAUAGAACUUUAGCUACCAUAUAUAAGCACGUGUCUAAUUACCAAAUGAAUUCCGCUAUAACAAACAAUAAAAGCUAAUUUCAUUGAUGGCAUAUGUUGUGCUUUCUUUUAUUUUCUUUUAUUGAAGUUACUUUGUAAACUGCUCGAAGCUAAAUACAAAAUUUACUCUCACACUAGGAUCUUUGCAAUGGUCCAGCAAUUUGUAUUUCCUUUCGGUGAGGUUGGUUUUUUUCUUUAAGUAAAAUUUCAGGGAUGAGAAAUCUUAUCCAUUGAACAUCAACUUUGAAUUUUAUUAAUAUUCAAACUUAGAAAGUACUGCAGGAACAAAGUGCAUUCAUAGCCGGUUAAACUAUGUCCAGCUACAAUGCAAGUUUCACUUUUACUUAAUUAAAUAUACAAAAUUAAAUCACAUGAGCCUCUCGUUUCAUUAUACUUCAACUCAAAAUUAAAACACAGAAUUGACGGUAUUGGAGUUUCAUAUUUAAUUUUGCUGUAGUCAUGGGGAAUCAGAUGGCCAUCCAUUUUUACAUCUAUUUUUUGUGUGUGCGUGUGUGCAUGUGUGUAUUGGGAUGUCACAGGCCCUAAAAGAUAAAGCUGAACAUCAAUCCCAAAUCUAAUGUGAAAAACAGUAGCUAGAACAGAAUCUUUGUUUUGAUGUCUUUGUUUAUAAGCUCAAACAAUUGAUAGUACAGAAAAUGCAUGAUAGAAUAGAGAACUUAUAUUUUAGCAAUAAUCCUAAGUUCACUGGCCCUUAGUUCAGAGUGGCAGUUCUUAUUAGUCAAAGAAUCAAAUUGACUUUUAGUUGUAUAUAAGUAGAGCACUAGAUCAACAAAUAAUUGAAGACUUGCUUGGCCGUGGAACCAUAGGAAGGCAAUUCGUGAACAGCCUUGAUAUUUCAUUUGGUUUUAUCUAAUUCUUUGUAAAGUUGUCUUGUGUGUAAAAUUUUUGUUACAUGAAAUCGGUAGGUGAAGAGAAUUUUUAAAAGCAAACGUCAAAGUCACGAUCAAAGGGACGAAAUCAGUAUAAAUAUUGAUUGUCUCAAGUUAGAUUAUACAAAGAUGAAAUAAUGCUAAUCUAAAAAAUUCGAUGAUUAUAAUUUGAUUUCCAUUAUAUUAAUUAUAUUCAAUCAUGCUCUUUAAAUGAAGAACAGUACUCUAGCAUUUAUAUACACUCAGCUUAUGAAAUUAAUUACAAAACGAUCUUUGACAAAGUCUGAUGAAAAAAGUACAAAGUUAGACUUCCCGAUCAUGCAACCACCCAUCGAAUUGUGUAUUGUGUCAUCGUUGAGCUCUUACAAGGAUUCAGCUGCUGAGAAGCUAUGUACUAUGCUUUUAUGGUGUUUCUCUUGGUACGUAGUUGUCGGACAAACUGUAAUGUGAAUUUCUAUCUAAUGGGUAUUGUUUUAGUUAGUUUGGGAUUGUUGAUUUAUAUAUGAUGUUUGGUAUCUAAAAUUCAGAUGAUGAUAAUCUUGGCAGUACUUUUGUCAAAUUUUCUUGUGUUGUUGUUGGUUUAAUAAAAUAUCACAGAGGUGCAAAAUACAGUAAAUUUAACAUUGAGCUCAUGAGGUUGCCAUUAGAUAUAUUGAAAAAGAAAUUGACACAAGAAACUGAAAAUUAGUUGUUAAUUAUGAUGGGAAUAUAAUCUUGGUAUUUUAAUUAUAUCAUUUGCACUAAUCUCAUUUGUGUCUAUCACUGAAAAGCAGAGUGGCUUGAUUGAAUAGUGUCAUAUUAUGUCACAGCAAGAGAAGUUGUGAUCUCGUCUUCUCUUGGAUAUAUCCGAUGACUUUGAGCUCUCCAGCCUCCCAGCCGGAAAUGUUCUUCCUUCACAUUCGGUGAUUGUUUUUCAUUAUUGCGGCUACUUGACUCAAAUAUGCUAUUGCAAGAGGAGAUUUCUAUUUUGUCUGAUUUAAGCCAUAAGACGGGUUUCAAGGUUCAUUCUGAUUGGUUAUCUGUUAGCUUUUUUUGUUUUAAGAACUUCUUAUUUGCGGAAGCAAAAUUCUCCUUUGCAGGAUGAUCUAGAUUUAGAAGUUGCUUUUGUCAUAUCAGACGAAGAGGCCAUCUUUAAGGCCUUGUGUAAGAUUGUUGAAUUUACUAGAAGGGACUACUGCUCUGAUUGGUCAAAACUACUAUGGCUGUCUUUUUCAUGAGCUUCUAAUAUCGAAUCAGUUUUAAUGGUAUGAUAUUAAAAACAUCGAUUUCAUAAUUUUAUGUAAUUUCAUAGAAAAGAUAUAAUUGAUUUGAGUUAGUUUAACGUAUAAAGAAAGAGAGAUGGGGAAUGAUGUCGAUUUGGCAUGUGAUGCGUAAUAAUAGACACCAAAUAUUAAUCAUGUAAUAGUGAAAUAUAUAUUUGCUGAAAAAUAUUUGGCAAUAAAAUAAUGCUUUAAAAAUUUAAUAUUAUUUGCAAGAAAGUAAUUCGACAAUUAAAAGUAAAAGAUGUAUAUGCGACGCUUCGAGCUUAUUUUAUCACUUCACUAGUCAUUUUGUAACAACAACUUUAAUAGAAGUUCAAUUAAUUCUGACCAAAAAAGACUCUAGAGAAUGUCUAGAAGAGAUUUGAUAUUUGCAUUCCAAAAAAUUAGAGAUGAGAUAAGUUAAAAUCAAUUACAAGAACAACAAUAGGAAUUUAUUUUGUAAAACCCACAAAUGUAAAUAAUAUAAAUUUAAUUUCGAAUUAAGUAAUUACGAAUUUAUAUAGUAACAGAGUCUUAUAGGAAAGUAGGAAUUUUUUAAAAGAGAUUUGCUUAUGGAAAAAGUUUAGUUUGGUUUAGUUUGUGAAGGCUCAAUUAACUGAAAGCAAUGCAAUUGAAGGAAAUAUAAGAUUCUAAUUUUUUUAAAGUAAUCGAUAAAAUAUUUGACGAAUAGUGAAGACCGUACAAGCUGGCAAUGCAAAUAAACGGAGGAAAACAGGGCAAAUAUUUACUUUCUUCCAAAAAUAAUAAAUGCACAAUCUGCUAUUACUACUGUAGAAUGUUAGCUACUAUAUAGCUACUAUAUAUAAGCACGUGUCCAGUUACCAAAUAAUUUCCACUUUAAAAAGGAAUAAAAGCUAAUAUCAUUGUUAGCAAAUUUUAUUUAUUUAUUAUUAUUUUUUAUUAUCCUUUUUUUUUUUUUUUGCGCUUUUAGUUAUAGGCCUAAAAAGAUUGUGUCUAGAACAGAAUCUAUGUUUUGAUGUCUUUGUUUACAAGCUUACACAAUUCAUAGUAUACAAAAUGCAUGAUAGAGAACAGAACUCAUAUUUUAGCAAUAAUCCUCAGCUCACUGGCCGUUAAUUCAGAAUGACAAUUCUUAUUAGUCAAAGAGUCAAAAUGAUUUUGAGUUGUAUAUAAAUAGGGCACUAGAAUGAUCAACAAAGAAUUGAAGACUUGCUUUUGCUAUUGAACCACGCGAUGGCAAUUCGAAGACUACAGCUUAGCUCUGCCAUUCGAAGUAAGCAAUUCAGCUGCCCAGAUACUGCCAAGCCAUCAAGACAAUAACAAGAUACAACAUCAAGAAUCACGUACAGGCCGUCACAUAUUACAUUUGUCCUCUGUUUUAAGAGAGAUUUACGAGCCCAUGCAGAAGGAGCAAUUAAUUAAUUUAUACAGUUCAGUACUCAUUCCUCUUUCUUCUGUUUCAAAUCCAAAUCUAGUGCUCCAUCAUUUAUUAUGACGCAAGGUAUAUGGGUUAGCAUGUGUCGAUAUUGUCCUCCAUUCUUUGUGUACCUUUCUUCGAACAAGGGACAACCCGAGAUCUCUAAUCGCAAAAGAGAGGCAGGCAGGCCCUUCUCUGGAAAGUAUUUAAGCUUGGGAAAUGAGGUUUAAUGAAAUGAGGUUUUGAUGAUCAACAAUUGAAGAAGACAGGCGUUCCAAAUUUAGUAAAUCAACAAUCACCAAAUAUAGUAGGGUAGCAGGCAGAGGAAGCGUGGUUCCUAAUCCUAAUCUUGAUUGAUAACUGGCUAUGUAACAUGUGGCAUUCUACAUUCUUGCAAUGCCAUUAAUUUCUUGUUAUGGCAGCAGCGUUCUUUCAUCAUGGCAUCACAAGCAAAUGUUUGAUUUGAAGACUUAGCUGAGAAAAAUAAGGAGAGCAAAGGUAAUUAAUUUUGGGGUGAUGAAUAUUUUUAUGGGUGUACUAAGAAAAAUAAAGAUAAUAGAAGUAAUGUUAUCGAGGAGCAUUUUGAUAUUUACAAAAGUGUUCAAAGAAAAAAGUGAAUUUUUGAAAUCUAUUUGCUGGCGCACAUAAUAAAAGGGCAUUCUAGGUAAAUUUAAAACUACAAAUAGUCUUACUCUUUUAAUAAUAUUCUUCAAUUAAUUCUGUUUCUUUCAAAUUAAAAAACCCAUCUCUUUAUUACUUUCUAACUAGUCAUAUUAAUGUGUUAAUAAUUAUUAAGAACCAGCGUAAUUUAUGUGAUAUAAGAAGCCCUUUGUAAUAUUAACCCGAAUUUAGCUAAUGCAUGUGCCUAGUAUAGCGAAAUCAACAUUCAGCUCAUUAGAGUGCGAUUAUAGAUAUUGAAAAGAAAUUAGUACAAAAAACUGAAAAUUAAUUGACUCUGAAUCAUGUUGGAUUGUUAGUUGUUAAUUAUGAUGGAAAUACAAUCUUCGUCUUUUGAUUAUCAGCUAGUUAAUGCAUGUGCACUUUCAUUUGUGUAUAACCCUGAAGAGUAAAGUCGCUUGAUUGAGUAGUAUCAUAUCACAGGAACUCCAAACUCAAUUUCAUUGCCGGAGCAUACCAUGCCAUAUGUAGCUUAAAAGUGCAGCUAUCUUAUACUAAUUAAUUAAUACGACUAUUAGCUCUUUAUGAUUAAUUAAAAGAGAAAAUAUUUGACAAUCACGAAAAUAAUAACAAUUCACUCAUAUAAACAACAUAACAAAUACAUGGUCCAUAUUGCAAGUCUUUUUAUGAUUAUAAUUAAAAGAGAAAAUACGAAGACAUAUUACAUAUAAUAAUUGAAUGUUCUCCUUGAUAAUUAGACAAAAUAACACCAAUCUAGCUAAUUAACCUAAUCAUCAUACUAAUCCAAUUUUCAUUAUUUAAUUUUGUCCAAUCAUGCUAAUUUAAUAAAGAGCACUGAACACUCGAGUACUUAUAUGUUCAACAACUUUGGCCGAGUUUGAAAAAGAUUAGAGCUGCAUUUAUUCUUUGUGUUAUUACUUACGACAUGAUCAUACUAUGUCGCAUUUGUCAGAGAACCGAAAACUGUGGGGAAAAAAAUCCUAAAAGAGAUGUAACGAAAGCAAAAUGAGAAAAUAAUGAACACACAUCAUAGCAACGCUUCAUUCAUUUUGAAUCUAUACAUACAAAAACUUGUAUCCGAUGGUUUACAUUUGUUUAAUCUAACGGCUAUAACAUGUAUACAGUCAAACGCUACCGCUGCCAUCUUUCUUUGUCCUCGUUGUAUCCUUGAUCUUAUAUUAUCCUGGUGAUUCUUGAAAGAUCUUCCCAUUGUCACAUGCUGAGUCGCUUGCUGGGAUGAUUAAUACUCGAAGGUCCUUCAUUGAGACAUUUCAGCAAACACCUGAUUCAUUCUAUCAAACAUCUGCAUCACUAAUCGCUAAAUGAUAUAACAUAGUUCUGUUUUGAAAAAUUGAUAUAAAUCAGUCACCUUAGAUUUUCUUAGUCUCAGAGUACAACGGGUGAUGAUUCGAUGAGAAAUAUUAAUAUGCAUGCAUCCGCUGCAUUAGUUAGAGCUGCUUGUCAUUUUCUUCUUUCUUUUGGAUACUAUUUUAAUUUUUUAAUCAGUCUAAUUCAGCUGCAUGUUUGCUUUCAGUCCAAAUCGAAGUCAGAUAUUAAGUACUUCUACUGGAAUGGACGCACCCAAAAAUCUAUGGGAUCCGUAGUUCUUGCAGAAGCGGCAGAAUGCUGCCAGCAAUUCAGGCAGAUAGAGGCUUGGUUGAGUGGUUGUUCUUCAAUGUGAAAUUCUACAUAAUGGCGAUCCUUUUAAUUAAAUUCUUUUUUUUUUUUGAGCUGUUGAUUUAGAGCUGAUUAAGUAACAUGUGGCAUUCUAUAUUCUUGCAAUGCCAUUUCUUGUUAUGGCAUCAACAUUCUUGACCAUGGUUUGAUUUGCUUAAUUUUGCUUUCUGUUUUUGAUAUUUUCUUCGCAUUGUUGUUGUGGAUUUGUUAUUUGUAGAUAGCGUGUAUGUAUGAAGAUAACGUAAUAAAGUGCUUUUGAUAAAUUCCCCUGGUCUGUUUACUUCACUAAUUCAUUAAUGAGCAAGUCCUCUAUAGAGCUGUGUUGUGCGUACAAGUUUUGCUACAUGAAAUCGUUAGGUGAGGAGAAUUUUUAAAAGCAUAUAUCAAAGUAAUGAUUAAAGGGACAAAAUCAACAUAAAUAUUGAUUAUCUUGAGUUAGAUUAUACAAAGAUGAAAUAAUGAUAAUCUAGUAAAUUUAUCAUAAUAUACUACUAAAAAAUGCAUUUUAAUGACACAAAUUUUAUGACAUACAUCUUUAUGUCAUGAAAAUAUCAUGAAAAUACUUGCAUGAUGUAUAAUGCUUCUGUGAUUAUUUGAUGAUAAAUUCAUAAUUGAUGCUGAUAUGAAAUGAAGUGAUGAUAGGUAAAUAUCAUGCGAUUUUUUUUUUAUGGGUAAGAAUAUUUGAACCCACCAAAUUACUCUUUAAACUUACUUUUUUAUUGAUAAUUUUAUUACAAAAUUACCGAUAAUUUGAAUUACUAUUACAGACAAACAAUAAUUAUAUAAAAUUAUUUUACUUUUACUCAUUGUUUAAACCUACCGCAAAACUCAAUCAAAGUAUGCUUAUUUUCUUCUUCUGCACAAGUGUAGCAAAGUUUUUAAUAAGUUCCUCCUUCAUCCACAGUUGAGAACUUUCUAACUUUUGUUUCUUGUUCUAGUAAUUUGGAUAUGCUGUGUUAGAUACUGAAUUUAUUAAAUUUCUUCUUCUCUUUUGAAUAAAAUCUCUUUAAAAUUCAAUUCAUAAAAAAAUAAAAAAUUAAUCUCCUUAUAAUUUAAUAUGUUUCAGCUGUCUUAGUGGAAUGAUGCAAUUUGUUUCCAUCAAAGUUUUGAAGCAUCCUGAAAUUUUGAGAUCGACAUGAUAACAAAUUAAUUUAAUUCAUGGUGUACUCUAAAUUUUCAGCCACAAAAAAAUAGCCAAAUUGAAGUGUACCUGGGCAGGAAGAAACUGCGAUUAUACAAUUUCAGUGUUUGACUCUAUCAACAAAAAAGAAAAUAAAAAAGAACUCUCAUUGUUCCAUUGUUUUUCCCAUAAAUAAUGAUAUACAGAGAAUUUAGUUUGAUAAAGGUUAUAAUAAAUAUUUAGGUGAGUUUAUAAAGUAAAUUUUAAAAUUUUAAAAUUUAGUAAUGGGUUUAUAAAUAAUUGAGUUCAUAUAAUAUUUUAAUGAAUUCAAAUAACCCCACUCCCUUUUUAUUUUUUAAAAAGAUCUAAUUACAAAAAUAUCAUUCCAAUCGGCAGCAUUUUAUAUUUUAUUUUAUUAAAUAUUAUUUUAUUUUUAAAUUACUAGUGACGCACGAAACGGCAUCAUUUAUUGAUAUUUUUAAAUUGUUUAAGAUUUGUUUAAUUAGAAAAUUGCCAUUGUUGAUAUUUAAUUAAUUUUAAAAAAUAAAAAUAAUAAAAUUGGUAAGCUCUACUCCAUAAGUGAUGAACGAAUUGACAAAUUUGCAGUAAGUGAUCAACGAAUUGAUAAGGUCUACAGCCAUCGCUCAACCGCUGCCAUUACCUGUUAAUUAUUCGCUUGAAUUAGGGUUCUGAUAUUUGGGGAUUUUUUGUUAGUUGUGGAAUUAUGAAGCAAUGAUGACGAUGACGAAGAUGUGGUGGUUGACGACGGCAAUGGCAACGUUGAAUAUUGAGGCACCGGAGGAAAAAGCAUUGGCUAUGUAUCUUGGUCGAUUUGCCUCGAAUUGAUCACUAAACAUGGGAUAUCGUGGGCCGACCUUCAACGCAGUCGCAAAUUUCAUUUGGGUAACUGAAAUUUUUGUUUUGUUUAAUUUGUUUAGAGUUCAAUUGUUUAGAUCUAGGCUAAUUUGUAUGAUUAAGCUAUAUGAGUAUGCUUAAAUUUUUUUCCUUCAAAUUUAUUUUAUGAUGUUGCAUUUGGUUAGCAAAAAGAUAAAAAUAGUAGAAAAUGUCAAAAUUAUUGUUAUGAAAAUGUUGUUUUAGUCUGAUAUUGGGAAAAUAUCAUUAUACAUAAUGGCAUGAUAUUCAUGGGAGACCAAAUUGAGAAUGAUGGCAGACUAUGCAUUGCUCACAACUAAUUUAAAACUCACUAUUUCUAUUGUUUGUGUUUCAGUAACUUUGGGGGAAUUCCAACUAUAGUUAAUAAGCUAUAAACUUGUUUAGGAUUACUAAUCAACUUGCUAGAAUCUAGACCCUAAACUUCAUAUCUUGAUUUAUAAGUGCAAUAGGCAUAAGUCCGAAUUAUGGGCUGGAGAUGGUAUAUGUAAUAUUUCUGCUCUUGGUGUUUUUUUUUUUCCUCUAGUUAUUUUUUGUUCUCUACUCCAUUGUAUAUUUGUAUUCAAAAGUAUUUUUUCUUUGUUUUAAGCUUUUAAAUUUAUGGAGAUGAUCUUAUUAGGUGUUAAAAAAAUAGUUGUAGAGCUUUACUAAAACUAUGUAAACUCUUAUUGAGAUUUGGGUUUGAUUUUGUAAGAUUGCUAAAAUUUUCAUAUUUUUUACUUUUCUAGUCGAAUUUCUUGCUUGUGGAAGAUAAAAUAAAAGUCCAAUUCAUGUUGUAAAAUUUUUUUUCCUCCCUUUUUUCUUCCCUUAUAAUUUGGCUCUGGCUUCGGUGCAGUUUAUGGUUUCAAUGCAGGGAACCAAUUUCAUCAGAAUCAUCUUAAAGGAUCAAAGUGGCUUCCUUUUGUAACUGGGUAAGUCAAUGCUACUUCCUAAAAAAUGGUAUUGUCAUUUGUCAUGAUUUAUUUUUAUUGCCUGAUGAUGACACCCAUCACGACUUAGUUGUUGUGAAUAAAUCGAAAAUCAAAUUGCACUGGUUUUUACCGGUUAUCAACAAUUGUGAUGUUUUGAGAUUAUAAUAUACUUGACAACACUGACUAGCGUUCUCUCCUAUGUGAAUUGGGACAAAAAUUAUUUUCCCAACCACGCUUUCGUUUGAACAAUUCCACUUCAGAUAUAUAAAAUAAUGAUGAAAUUGUGUUUUAUAAUUAGUUACGAGUAAUUGGUUCAAUAUUAAUAAUGAUGAACUAUUUUAAGUAACACGUGGCAAAUUCUAAUUCCACUGAGCUUCUAACUCAGAUUCCCAAAUCGAAAGAAACGUUUCAGUUUUCUCCAGAACAUUCUGCAAAACGUUUCUUCGAGUCUCUAUGCUGUGCUAGAAUUUUCUCUCAGUUUCUUUUGCAAAGACUUCUAAAGAACUGUCCAGAUACCGAGAUAUAAUCCAAUCUAAGUGUACAUAUCUCUCUAUGUCACCUCCCUCCAUUUCACCAGAAAAUCAACAAACACUUAGCUUCAAAACAAACACUCUCAAAAAGCUAGCUAGUUGAUGGCAAAAUCAAGAAUUCUUGCAAUGACAAUGUUGUUUCUUGUUAUGGCAGCAACAUUGAUGAACAUGGCAUCACAAGCAAAUGCUCUGAUGCCGUACACACGAUCACUUUUCUUUGACGUGAUGUUCCCAAUGACGGAAGAUCCUUUCAGGGUUCUUGAACAAACCCCGUUAACAAUCCCAAAAGGAGCUGAACAUCAUCAAACUCUAGCACUGGUGAGAGCAGACUGAAAGGAGACACCGACAUCACACGUGAUCACGCUCGACAUUUCAGGGAUGAAGAAAGACGAUGUGAAGAUUGAAGUUGAAGAGAACAGGGUACUGCGAGUGAGUGGAGAGAGGAAGAGCGAUGAUUAUUAUAAGGAGGAAGUUGAAGGAGAAAAAUGGCACAGAGCUAAGAGAACAUUUGGCAAGUUUUGGAGGCAGUUCAGAAUGCCUAUGAGUGCUGACUUGGAUCAUGUUAAGGCUCAUUUGGAAAAUGGUGUUCUAAGGAUCACAGUGCCAAAACUUGCUGAGGAGAAGAAGAGGCAGCCUAAGGUUAUUAACAUUGAUGAAGAGCCUGGUAAUUCUUUCGGUGAAGAUGUUAAGGCCGCCAAGGCUCAAAUUAUCACAUUCUAAUUCAUAAAGAUAUUCCUCUUCUGUCAUAUUAAUGUGUUAAUACGAAGGUCUAUUGGAAUUAUAAUAGUUUAGAUGAAUCCAAAAUAUUCAAUAAUUGAUAAAUAGUAUAUAUAUAUAUUGUUUGAGGGAAAUACUCCGACGAGACCAGACGUGAUGAGCAGAUGCUUGGUGGCAGAGUUCUGCGAGCAGGUGUGUCCUGUAAGAGCCAGGUAGCAGGGGAACAGGAGCAGGAGUAUUCUGCUCGUCCACGAAUAUGCCAUUCGCGGGGCCGAACUCCUGUAAGAGGCAUAAGGUCAUUCCUACUAGGGGUCUAGGCGAGGAGACCCGAUCAACGACAGUUGGCAAGACGUGCAUUCCUAUCCGAGAAUCAAGGCACGAGGCCCAUCGCCAUUCGCCCACAAUGACGAUAAUGGGGCAUCCACAUCCGAGGGUGGGGAGAAUAACUGGCGUGGACUGCGGAAGACCGAGAUUGAGAGGAAGCCUAUAAAAAGGUAGCCAACGAAGGUAAAAGGGUUAGAUUUUUUGCUAUUAGAACUAAGAAAAGAGAGCUCUAAGAACUGAGAUUAAAGAGAAGCCAUAAGAUUCGUGGCAAAUAUUCCCAGAACCUUCAUUUCUGACUUGAGCGUCGGAGGGUUUGCACCGGGGAAACAACCGGCGUACUCUGACCUGUCUGUGUACGCAGGAACCUCUGAAGAAGAAGCUUACGAGGAGAGAUCCUGAUCGUGGUGAAGUUGAUCGAGCAGAGACCCUGGUCGUAGAAAGAGGACAACCAGAAUCUCGCAUCAACAAAUAUUAAUAGCAAUGACACAUAAUCAAUUAAUUCAAGAACUUGCCCAUAGUGCAUUAAGUUAAAAGAGUAAAAAUAACAUUGCAAAACAUGCCAGACCUUACGUGUUUAAUUAGCAAUUGAAAACUACUUUACCGUACAACACCAUUAAGAGAUAUUUAUAACACUGUUGCUGAUGAGGCAACUGUUAAUUCUUUUGGUGAAGAUGUUAAGACCACUAAAGUUGGAACGUAAUCAGGGAAAUAUAAUGUAUUCACUUAGUUUGCUAUUUUUGUUUUUAUAUUUGUUUGGCUAAUUCUUUGCUCAGAUUGCUUUUUGUUUUUGAGAUUUUAUUGGCUUCGUCGUGGGAUAUUGUUUAAUCUUUUAAUUUUGUGUUUUUAUUGUUAUGGGAUUUGAUGAUGGCAUACAUAUAGGAAAAUUAUGCAAAAAAGUACUUUUAAUAAAUUAUGGUUGGUUUACUAUUAAUUAACUAAAUUUAAUUUACUCAAAUUACUCCUAUACACGAUCAAAAUAAUUUCAAUUCCAUUAUAUAAAUACGCGCGUGCGGACACACAAAAUGUAAAUAACUUUUAAAUACAAAAUAUUUAAAAUAAUCAUCAUACUAACAAUUCACAAGUUAGAUUAUAUUAAGGCCACCAAGGCUUAAAUGUAAUUGAUUAAAGAAAGAAGUGGCCAUUUGUCUAUGAUGUUUUCUUGGUUUUGUUGUGUGAUGCUUCUGUUUAGAUGUGCUGUUUAUUGUAUUUUGAUGGGUUUUUGAGGAUGGUUGUAUGUAAUAGCAACAACAAGGUGCUUUUUAUAAAUCCGGGUUCUAAUUUUGUAAAAGAAAUUAAUACUCUCGGUUUAUUGUUAAUAAAAAAGAAAAAAGAAAAAGCCUUUUUUCUGUGGCAUAUAUUAUGCAUUUUAAGAAAAAAAAAAUCACAUUCCAAUUCAUGAAAGACAUUCCUUCUGUCAUAUUGAUGUGUUAAUAGAAAGAUCUAUGUGAAUUAUAACAAUUUUGAUGAAUCUAAAUAUUUAAUAACUAAUAAAUUGUAUUUAUAAAUAUUAAUACCGGUGGCGCAUCAGCACUUAAUUCAAGAACUCGCCUAUAGUGCAUUAAUUUAAAGAGUAGAAAUAUUUAAUAAAUCAUGCUCGGUUUACUAUUAAUUAAUCAAAUUUAAUUUACUCAAAUUACUCCUCUACAUGAUCAAAGUAAUUUCAAAUAUACAACACACAAAAUGUAAAUGACUUUAAAAUAUAAAAUAUUUAAAAUAAUCACCCCAUAACAAUUCACCAGCAAGAUUAUAAAUAGUCGAAAUAAUGAUAAUCUCAGGGGUCCAACUGUACAGGCGCGCGGCAGAAGGAUAAGUCAAAGAAAAACAAAGUUUCAACAAGAAAUUAAUUACACAUUUACACUCCAUCAGAAAUCAAUUCAUUACUUUCUAGCGCUUUCAUUUAAAAAGCGCAGUCUAUUUUUUUAAUAAAAAAAAUUCGAAAACCGAUUACAUGAUAAAAACUCACCGACACCGAACCUUAUUAAUUUAAAAUAGUUUUCAACUAAGAUUUGAAAUUACAUUCAUAAACACACCCAACUAAAAAAGAAAAAUUCUAACAAUAAAACAUUUCAGUCAUCAAAAACCCAUUUAUCAGCUAUUCGAACAGAAGGUAUAUGGGUUAACAAGUCCCAAUAUUGUCCUCCAUCCUUUCUGCACUUCUCUUCUAUCAACGGACAUCCCCCGAUCCAUAGUUCCAAAAGUGAGGAAGGCAGGCCCUUCUCCGGAAAGUAUUUGAGCUUGGGACAAUCAAUGAGUCGCAAUUCAGUGAGGUUUUGAAGAUCAACAAUUGAAGAAGAUAGGCGUUCCAGAUUUGGAAAUUCAUCAAUUACCAGAGAUGUUAGAGAGGCAGGAAGAGGAAGUGUGGUCCCCAAUCUUAUGUCCUCCGGUGGGAACGACACCAUGUCGUCAUCACAUCCUCUGAUUCUAAGUUUUCGCAGAGAGGAGAAUCUGUGAAAUCCCCGGCCCCACUCAAUGAUUGACUUCCAAAUCUUCAUAUUAUCCCAAAUCGCAAGAGAAUGAAGGUUGGUGGGAAGGCCAUCUUCUUCAAGGUUUGGAAGCUCACCUCCUCUUCCUAUUGUUAAGUCUUGAAGAGACUUCAGAUUGUGCAAUCCCUUGGGUAAGGCCUCUAGUCUCUCACAAUCAUCUAUAUGCAGCGUCCUGAGUUUCGCACAAGGCAAUCCCCCUUCGGGAAAGGACACUAGAUUCCCACAACUCCCUAUCAUAAUAAGUUGAAGCUGGCGGAGAUUAUGUAAACCACUCGGUAAAGUUUUCAGAUUUUUACAAUCACCAAUACUGAUUGUUUCAAGAGAUGUGUUGUUGUCCAACCUUUCUGCUAUUGACUCCAGCUUUGAACAAUCAGAAACACCAAGGGACUUAAGAGACGGAGGUAGAUUGCCAACUUCAAGGGACUCAAGCGUGGCAGGUAACUCGUUUUUUGAAAAUAUACAUGUCAGUGAUGGACAAUCCAUAAUAUACAAGUGCUCGAGAAGAUAUGAGGUGUAGAUUCUGCUGCUGCUGCUCUGGAUGCCCUCUUCCACUGUCAAAGUCCUUAUAUUAUCGCAUCGGACAAUCUCCAACCUCUUAAGGCUCCGUGGUAGUUGAAUUGUCAACGAAUGGCAAUGCCAAAUAGUCAACAUCUCGAGAGAUGAAUUGGUGCCGCACAUCCAUGCCUCUGGUAACGAUUUCAGUGCAUAACAACUGUGAAUUGAUAUUCUCCUCAACUUGGAAGGCAGAGCAACCUCAGGAAAGGAAACAAGGGAACUGCACUCGUAGAUUUCUAUCUCUGCCAAGGAACUGAGGCUGAGCAAUGAUUGUGGCAGCUUCACAAGGCCUCCGCAUCCACUCAAUUCUAGAUAUUCGAGUCUGCAUGACAACUCGCAGAGCUGCUGUUGUUGGUCUUUCUCUUCCUCCGCCACCAAGGAUUGAAGUUUGGGACAGCUGUCAAUCGUCAAUCUUUUGAGAGAGCAAAUGUCUUGCAGUAAUUCGUUAUGACUCUUCCAUAUAUAUGUUUCAUUUUUAAUAUUAUUUAUCUCCAAUUCUUCCAAUUUUGGUAGUCGCGGCUUCAUUGGCCCUGCCAGAAACACUUGAUUUGAUGCAUCUCUACAAACCACUGAAUUCUGUGACCCGGGAUGACCAGCUGCACUUUUCCACACAACCUUUUUACAUCCACCACUUAUGAAUUUGCAAAGAGCUGGAAGACUUGCAACUGAAACUAACAAUUCUUCACAUCCUUCAAUAACAAGCAUCUCCAAUGCAGGAAGGUGCUCUGGAAAUGUUCCUUUCAGUUUAGAACAUCUUAAAAUGUGAAGCUCUCUCAAUUUAGGAAACCCUUCAACUCCUUGACCAGAUCUAAGAGGAUUCCAGUCUUCCCAUUCUUGCAUGUCUUCAAAAUGAAGAGUCUCCAAGCAUAGAAAAGGAAUUGGAGAAUCAUUCCCAUAGAACUCUGAACCCAAUCUCUUUACUCUGCUCAUUCCACAUACUGCAAGAUGCUUUAGAGAGGGUAGUUGCCCAACUGACGGCAGGGCAGUACACAUGUCACAAUUUUCAAAUUCUAAGGUCACCAAAUUUGAGAAUGAGGAAUCUCCGAACCAAGUUGGAAAUUUUGUACCUCCAUAGCCACUGAUACAAAAUUGUUCCAAAUUUUCAUGAGGUUUUAGCAUAUUGAGCACAUCCUUUUCAAUUUCCGCCUCCCUUGAAGACGAGCCAUCGGUACUGAGUGUCCAUCGAAGCAAUAAUUCUCUAAGAUUCUUCUUUCCAUCCAAUUGAGCCUCCUUUGCAUCACCAACGUCUUUUACAUUCUCCAAUUUUGAAAUGUUAAGUGUCCCAUGAAGGUGCGUCAACAACUUUAGCUCUCGUAACCCGGAACCAUUGCCUUUUCCCACAACAAAAUUACACAACGUCUGAAGACUAGUCAACUUACCAAUUCCUACUGGCAUUUCCUCCAACGACUUCGUAUUUGAAUUCUUAAGAUGAUGCAAUUUGGCGAGGUUUCCCAUGUCUGCACACAACUUCUUCAGCCGAUCACAAUCUUCCAACAAAAGACUGUGCAAAUUGUAAAGCUUGUUGACUGAUUCAGGCAGAGUUCUAAUCUUAGUUCCAGACAGGUUAAGGUACCUUAAAUACCUCAAAUCACCGAUUGAAUCCGGCAGCUCAAAGAUGUGGUAUCCACGCAGAGAGAAGGCCCUCAAGCGUUGGAGUUUGAACAACUUAGGAAGAAUGCUAUAAGCCAAGUAUCGAUGCGAAAUAUUUGACAACGUUACUGGUAAAAAUGUUCGCAAAUGUUGGAUAUCAUACAAGUCCUCAAACCUUUUGCCACCAUCACAAUAUUCAGGAAUGUAUGACAGAUGACGAAGAUAUCUGGAAAACCUUUGUUGCUCGUUAACCUCAGAAGUAUACUCCAUUGUGAAGUACAUUUCCCCCGCAGCCCAUUGAGCAAGGUCGCUGAUAAGAUCGUGCAUCACAAAUCGUGAUGCAUCGUUGCUUGAUUGCUGGAAAAAAGAUCUUGAACGUAGCUCUUGAAAGAACUUUCGACCUAGAUCUUCGUUAGGAUUCCCACUCUCUUUAUGAUCCAAGAAACCCGAGGCACACCAUAACAAAAUUAUCUCCUCCUCGUCAAAUUCAUAAUCCUUCGGAAACAACGAGCAGUAUGCAAAGCACUGUUUCAAAAUUGGAGGAAGAUAAUAAUAGCUCACUGCAAGAGCUGGUAUAAUGGGACAUCUAUCUUCUGGUAAUUCCCAUAUCUUGCUACUGAGCACACCUUUCCACUCACGUUUGUAAGGUUUUCCAUGUAAAAGUCCUCCCAGUGUUUUUGCUGCCAAGGGCAAGCCGUUGCAUUUGAUCACUAUCUCCUUGCCAAUUUCCUCCAAAGACUUGUGUGAACUGAAAUCUGUUGUCUCCAAAGAGUGCUGAGCGAGUACAGACAGACAGUCCUCAGUUGACAAGCUUUUGAGUUCAUAAGCUUGAUCCAGGCUCAUGAUUUUGGCAACCUCUUCAUUGCGAGUGGUGACAACAAUCUUACUUCCCUGUGCGCCAGCUUGAAAUGGAAGGCUGAGGUGAACCCAAUCAGUGUAAUUCUCAUUCCAAACGUCAUCUAAAACAAGCAAAAAUUUCUUUCGAGACAACUGCUUCUUUAGCUCCUCUUGAAGAAAAUUUAAAUCAUUAUUAUCAACAGUCUGCUUAGUAAUAGAGCUUAGAAUUGUUCUUGUUAGCCUGAUAAGAUCAAAAUCAUCAGAGACACAAGUCCAUUCCUUGAGAUCAAAAUGAUCCUCCACUUGCUUAUCAUUGUAGACAAGCUGAGCAAGAGUGGUUUUACCCAGCCCGCCCAUACCUAUAAUAGGAAUAACUGCGAAUCCACCAUCCUUUCUUGAAUCAUCCUUCAACAACAAUUCAACAAUUUCCUUCUUUUCUGUUUCCCUGCCAUAAACUUUGGCUUCCUCCACCAAAGAAGUUGUAUCUCGCCUUUGCCUGGCUUUUUUGGACCCCCCAGCUGAACUUUUUAUCAAAUUCAGCGAGCAUAUUCCUUCUUCAAUAUCUUGGAAUCUGUCGUUGAUCUUUUUGAUUUUGGACAUCAAGGCGAAAUCGAACUGAAUCGAUUGUGGAGUAAAAGUGGUGCAGCAAGUAGGAAUGAGCUUCCGAAACUUACUCUUCGUGCUUGUACGACUGCUGCUGGGUUGAUCAUGAGCAGCAGCUGGUUCUCCAUUUCCAAGCAGCAACUUCCUCCGGAAAGCCUCAGUUUGGAACUCAUCCAACAAGUCUUCAACGUCAUAAGCCAAGUUCUGAAGCUGGCCAAGCCACAACUUCACAGAAUCAUCAGUCGUCUUCUUCUCCUCAGCAUCAUCAAGCACCGCCUUGAUCGUCACCAACUUAUUCUUCCACUUCACUAGAUCUGCUUGGAUUCGACCUUGGCGUGCAAACAACCGAAUCCCCUCUGAAGCUAACUUAUUGAUCAGCAUCUCAACGCACGCCGUAAGGAUUGCCUCUCCGAUGAUCGACAUUUUUUCUUUUUUCUUUUUUUGGGUUUUUUUGGACAGAGAAAGAAACUGAAUUAUGAGUUUGUGGAAAGCAAAAUGAGAAAAGUGAAUAAGCGGAAUGAGUUUGUGAUUGUGUCUAGCAAGCCUAGAAAUCAAGAAAAACCCACUGUAAAAGUGAAAAGUAAAACGGAGCCCACCACAAAUAUAAAAUCAGAGGAGCACAGAAAUUAAAAAAAAAAAAAUCAAACAUGUAAUGAUUUGUAAAGUUAUUAGCGAUUUGUAAAAAUCAAACAUGCGUCUUCUUCCUCUGAGUGUUUUUUUUUUUUUUUUCUUUUUCAAAAGAGAUGGUGGGGUUGGGAUGUUUGCAAAGUUAAUAGCGUGGGUCUAUUUGUUUUUGUUUUAACUUUAUUAAUUAAUUAGUGAAGCAAACAUGUAAUGAUUUGUAAAGAUCACGGGCAUCAGAUUAUUAGGAGGUAUUGCGCUUACUAUUCGCAAUUUCUUGUAAGAAGAAUUUGUAAAUUUCGAUGAAAAUGUAUCGUUAUUAAGUUAUUAUUUAAUUUAUUAAGUUAACUUGAGGUAUUAAUAUUCACUAAUUGUGGUGCUGGUGAAUUUACUUAACUUAUCAUUAUUUGUAAUUAAAGAAUGAGGUUCAAUCAAUUUAUUGGAGAAAAAUUAAUUUUAAUUCUUAGGAUUUGAUUUCACUCUCUUUUACUUUUUGACGUUGCUAAAGAGACAGUAAAAAACUUAUUAAAUGUCAUCAAAUGCUUGCAUCUCAUCUCACACUUUAGCCACAAAUGCUUGACAUUUUUUAUUCCAGUAAACUGAAAAUAAAAACAGAGCCCACCACCCAUAGAUAAUUGAAAAAUGAUAAACGAACGAAAGCCCACGAAGGAACGACAGAAAACGCGUUUCCUCAUCCAAUUUUGUUCUUGUGGACCGAAAAUAAAUAAUAAAAUAUUUUUUAUGGGAACCGAUAACAAAUAGUAAAAUAAAGAAUAAAAAAAAUGGUGUGAACGAACGAAAGCACAACGAAGGAGGAACGACAGAAAACGCGUUCCCUCAUCAAAAUUUUCUUUUAUGGGACCGAUAAUAAAUAAUAAAAUAUUUUUUUGUGGACCGAUUAUAAACAGUAAAAUAAAAAAUAAAAAAUGAAAAAAAGAUAGUGAAAACGAACGAAAGCGCGAGGAAGGGACGACAGAAAACGCGUUCCCUCAUUCAAUUUUUCUUUUGUGGGACCGAUAAAAAAUAAUAAAAUAUUUUUUUAUGGGACCGACUAAAAAUAGUAAAAUAAAGAAUAAAAAAAUGAAAAAAAGGAUAUGUGCAAUUUUUCUUUUAAUAAUUUGGCAAUUUUUCGUUGCCAGAUUCAAUGAAUGUAAAAUCGCACCUCGAUUCAAAAUAAAUUUUAGCUGAACAUAAAUUCGACUCAUUUAUUAAAUAUAUAUACUUAAUAUAAUAACAACGAUAUAGACCCAACUGAAAUAACUCAACAGAGAAAUUGAAACUUACUUUUUUAGUUAUGGCUCAUAUAUAAUACAAGUAUCAAGAUUUAAGUAGAGUUCACAUAUAUACAUGCGGCUAGUUUUAACUGAGAGAUAAAUUAAUCAUUAAUAUUCAGGUGUUUCUAAAUGAUUGAAUAAUGAUAUUAUACGAACCUUCCCUUUACAAGUCUUCACACUCAUAAACCAAGUUAAAAUAAUAAAAAAAAACGUUUCUCUCUCUCUCUCCUUUCGUCAUAUGAUUACUUUAUUUAUUGAAUUAAUUUCCAUGCUAUAACGAAGACUUAAAAGUACACUAUAAUUUUUUAUAAUCACAAUGGUAAUUUCUACCAUCAUAUUAUAUUAUUGUCGUGUCAAAAUAAAUUAUAACAAAAUUUUAGCUGAACAUAAGUUUGACUCAUUUAUAAAAUAUAUAUAUACUUAAUAAAAUAAUAAGACGAUUAAUAUGUUAUCAGUGAUAUAGACCCAAUUGAAAUAACUCUAAUGUGAAAACAAAAAAAAUCCCGCGACCGAUAAUUGAGCAAACUUCACUUUAUUACACGAAAGUGGAAGCAAAAGCCAGAGGCAACCCCCACCACCAUCAAUAAUUUAGCAAGCUUCACGCGCUUGUGCUUGUCUUGUCUGCUUGACGAACUGGACAUGGGUGGACCAAGCAUCCAUUGAAUAACUGGAAAAAGUAAAAAAUAAAAAUCAGUGUCCAGCAAAAAGAAUCUACCUUUAGGUUGUUAAACACAACAAAUAGUGAGACAACAAAUUAUAAUAGGUAAACAACGAAAAACAGCAACUGAAAAUAUCGAAAGAAAUAACAGAAAGCAACAAAAGAGAGAUGAAAUGGAAACAGAGAAAUGAAAUGGGAACCGAGGCUUGCACAAGACAGUUUCCUUAAAACAGAUUUACCACCUCCUGUUGAGUGCUUAAGGUCUGCUGGUAUCUGUUUCCUAGGAUACAACAGGUACGAACUUCCAGUCAAGCACAGGCUGGAAAUUCCGGCGAACCACAACAGUGAACUCGAUCAGAAAAAUAAAAGAAAAAGGAAGGUAGGAAGAAAAUUAACAAGUGCUCUUGGUGCUGAUUUCCGAGUGUUCAAAACCAGAAGAGGAAGUGCCUUUUUAUAGCUAUGUGAGGAUGUAACAGCAGCUCUGUAUUGAAUUUCUGAAUUCAAUUUAUGUUAUUAAUUUGCUGUAACAACCAUUGAAUUUAAACAAUUCAAUUCAAAAAUUGAAUUACAUAACAGCAAGAAAUAAUUGUAAAGCUGUUACCACUUAUUUGAAUUCAAUUAAAAACGUGCCUAGCUUGCACGGAUGAUUUUGGGCUGAUAUUCGUGUACGCUGGACGCGCGGGCGCACUCGGUCUUGGAUAGCAGCAGCUCUGUAUUGAAUUUCUGAAUUCAAUUUAUGUUAUUAAUUUGCUGUAACAACCAUUGAAUUUAAACAAUUCAAUUCAAAAAUUGAAUUACAUAACAGCAAGAAAUAAUUGUAAAGCUGUUACCACUUAUUUGAAUUCAAUUAAAAACGUGCCUAGCUUGCACGGAUGAUUUUGGGCUGAUAUUCGUGUACGCUGGACGCGCGGGCGCACUCGGUCUUGGAUUCGCACCCCCCUGCGCACGCGCAUGUGGAGAGAGCCUCUAUCCUUAUAAUUCUUACUCAUGCAUGGUUAAGUGUUUAUAUUUAAACACUAAUUCCUAGGCUUCUUUUUCCCAUGUGGGAUAAGCCUCAUUUCCUUUCAAAUUUCCAACUCCAAGGGUGAACUUUGAGAGACAAUUUCUCAUUCACCCAAGCACCAUUUUGAGAAAAUAAGAUUAUACUUUUGAAGUAUGAACGGAGUAGAAUCCGAAACUCACAAUAUUUUCCACUUUCGUUAAGUGGGACCCACUCAAAAUGUGCCCUCAAAAUAGCAUGUUAUGCUAUUUUUUCAACAUAGGUGUUGCUUCCUAUUCAGUACAUGCAUAGAUAAUGUACAUCGACCUAGAAUUAAGAAAAUGGAAGUAGAAAUUAAAACUUACUUUUUUAGAUAUGGCUCAUUUAUAUUACAAGUAUCAAGAUUUGAUUAGAGUUCACAUAUUUACAAUGUGUCUAGUUUUAAUUGAGAGACAAACUAAUCAUUAAUAAUCAGGUUUUUCUAAAUGAUUGAAUAAUGAUAUUAAUUAUUGAUAUUUACAAAAUUUGUAAGAAGUAUAACUAAUACAUUGGGAUAUAUAUUUGUGCAGAAUGGCAAAUAUAAAGAAUAGCAAUAAAAAUGGUGGAACUUUAAUAUGAUGAAAAAAUGGUAAACUGUAGAAAAUUAAUAUAUAAUUCAAGGUACGUUACAAAUAUCACUUUCCUUCAGACAUUAUUUACCCCCACCAAUUGAGUGAAUGCACAUGAGUUAAGCAAAUAUGCCUCUAGGAUAUAAUGAAACGCUUCUUUGUUUGCUUGUGUUGCGCAUCGACAAAAGUAAAUAUGAAUAUUCCUUAAUGUUGCAAGCUUGCCACGAAUUAAUAUAUUGUUAUUGUAAAAAAAUAAAAAAAAAAAUAAUGUAUUGGAUAUUUGAUGCAUAAAAGAAAUAGAUAUUAUUAGAUGAAAUUCAUUUUAAGAAAUAGGGCUACAAAAAGAGUGGUGUAAUAUCAUUUUAUUAGUGUCUAAAUGGCAUAAAUAUGACAUCUAUUUACAGAUAUAUUUAUGCUCUUUUAUUUAAGUUAUCAUCUUUCGCAAUGCCCUUCAUUCAUAUCCAUUAGAUCAAGCAACCUAAUUCCCACUAAAGCUAACUUAUUGAACAGUAACUCAACGGAUGCUGUAAGGAUUGCUCUUGGAUGAUUGACAUUUUUUUAAAAAAUUUUUUAGGCAAAGAAAGAAACUGAAUUAUGAGUUUAUGGAAAUUAAAGCAAAUGAGAAAGUGAAUUAGCACAAUGAGUUUGUGAUUGCAAAGGAACCAGCAAAUCAAAAAACAAUUAAGCAAGAGAAAAAGGACAAUGGACACUUUAAUAUUCGAGAAAAUGGAUAUGAAACCUCUAAACGUUUUAAAAAAGAUAUAUAAUCUCCUUUUUAUUAGUAAAAUCUGUUUAUUUCAGUAGUAACUUAAUCUUUAAUUUACAUUUACUAUCAUGUCCCUAUAAUAAAUAAAUUAAUAUAUUUAACUUAAGAGAGUGAGCCCUCCAGUUUUACUUCCCAUUUGCCCAAUUACCUUUCAUUCAUAUACAAGCAUGUUUAACAUCUCAUUUUGCCUAAUUUUCCUUGGAAGAAAAUAAAUUUCAUCUUAAUUUUAUCUAUUGUUCAUCAUUUUUUAUCAUCUUAACAUUGGGAAAGAUAUAUUCAUGAUUUAAAUUGAAUAAUUUGGACAAAAGAUAAUUAUAUCUUAAUUUUAAGUUUUAAAUAAAAAGUUGUUGGUUUUAUUAUACAUGUCAUCGAUGACAUGUCUUAAAUCAAUAUAUUUAUUUAUUUAUUAUAGGGAUAUAAUAAUAAUUAUAAAUUAAAAAAUUUAUUAUUAAAACAAAUGGAAUUUAUUAACAAAAAUAGGAAUUAUAUAUUUUUUUAAAAUAUUAAAACAUUAUUUUUUUUUUCAAACGUUAGGGUAUCACUGUCCAUUUCCCAUUAAGCAAAACAAAAGUGAAAAGAAAAAGCAGAGCCCACUAUAAAUAUAAAAUCAGUGGAGCUCAUGAUCAUGCCUUUGCUUUACAUACUAAAUUAAAUAAAAGCUGAACCAAGAAUCUUUGCCUUAGCUUAACAUGAUUAAUUAGGCACUACUUCAUAGAAAACGCGAAAGCAAUAAACCCUUUUUUUAAUCUUAAAUGUCAGGAAUAUAAUUCUUCUGCGCUAAUUAAUCCUUCUUCUCUGACCGUCUCUUCAGGUUCAUUUCAAAAGUUUGAAGAGAGUUUAUCAAAUCUUCUACUUAUAAAAGCAAGCUAAAUUAAAAGAUUUUAAUCUCUCUUAUUAUUACUAUUCGUGCACUAUGCACGACAUUUUUUUUACAAUAAACAAUACCAAUUUGUAAUGUAAUGUUAUAUUCAUAUUCCCGUCGCGUCGAAACUUUAAAUAAUGAAAAUUCGACUCGUUCGUUAAAAGGUAUAUAUUUGAUAAGCUAAUAACAUAAUUAACAUAACGUAAAUAUUACACUAACUAAAAUAAAAGACAGUACCCGCCACCAAUAAUUAAAUUAGCAAGCUUCGCAUGCUCAUGUUUCAAGAAUUGAACAUUGGUGAAUUAACAACAAGGAUCAAUGAAAGAGUUACAAAAUAACAAAAUGGAUACCAUGCAUUUUUUCUUUCGACAGAAAAUGGGGCUAAUUUUCAAAUUCACUUAUUUACAAAAGCAAUACAGAAUGAUUUCCUUUUAUUUUGAAACAUUGUAUGAACUCGAAUAACAAUGAUACAAAGAGAAAAGUAGUAAUUCUCUGAUUUUUUUUUUCUUUUUCCCCUCUUUUUCAAAAGGAGACGGUGGGUUUGGUUGUUUGCAAAAUUAUUGGUGUGGGGUUCUAUUUGCUUUUGUUUUCACUUUAUCAAUUAACUAGCGAAGCAAACAUGUAAUCAUUUGUAAAGGAGUCACUAGCAUCGGAUUAUGUAAGAUGAAUUCGUAAGACUUAUUAAUUUCAAUGAAAAUGUAGUGUUAUUAAGUUAGUAAUUCACUAAGUUAACUUGAGGUUCUAAUAUUUACUAAUUGUGGUGAUUAAUUUAUUUAACUUGUCAUAAUUUUCAUUUGAGAAUGAAAUUCAAUCAAUGUAUGAAAAAAGAAAAAGAAAAAAGAUAAUUUUUAAAAUUUUUAAUUCCUAUGAUUUGAUUUCACUUUUUUCCGAAUAUUGACGCUGUAAAAGCUUGCCGAAUGUCAUCAAAUGCUUGUAUCCCAUCUCACAAAUUAGCAAAUAUCGUUUGGUUUCUUUAUAGGUGGCCAUCACAAAUUAAAAGUAACAACAUCCACCAUAUAUGGAAAAUUAAUUUUGAGAAUACUUUUUACUUUUAAAAGAAAAAUACGAGUACAAUUUAAUAAGAGAGAACAAGAAUUGAUCAUGUCCCAAGAGACUGAAAAUAAGAUUAUAUAAACUUGAAUGCAGACAUAUCAUAUGUUAAUCUUAAUUUUUUUUGUUGCUAAAAAUUAAUUAUUGUAUGGUGAGAAACACAUUGGCCACUUCUGAAUCAUGUUGCAUAUUUGUUAACUCAAAGAAACGGUGCACUUUUGUAUCAAUCAAGCUCACUUUGUUAAUAUUCUUCAUCAUUAUGGUUAAUGGCUUAGCAAAUAUAGAAUGAGGAGUCAACCAAAAUGAAGUACUUUCUCUUGUAUUAAUCUUUUAUUAAUUGUUGAAGUUAAAAAAAAAAAGGUUAAAACAAGUUAAAACAGUUCCAACUCAAAAUCAGUAGGGUGUAAGUAGGUUGUUAUAAAUAUUUUUAAAUUUCAGUCUAAUUUAAUUGUGUGAUGCACAAACUUUCUCACUUCUUUCAUAUAAAUAAAGGGUAGAACUAUUUGAACUCAUUAAAUUAUUUUUUAAACCCCUCUACUUAUUAAAACCAUCAUAAAAAUUCAAAAAUCCUUUUUAUACUCACUACAUCUCUUGAAAAUAUUGCAAAUAUGACACAUUUGUCUUCACCUUCUAUUUAUCUUCAACAUUCACAAUUUUUAUUUGAAUCUGUAAUAUUUUUACCACUGUUCAUUCACUCAUUAGAGUUCCAAUAAUAGAAUAUAGAGAUUAAAAAUAUCAUUAGCAAAUUAUUUGUUUGUGUUCUAUAUGAUAUUCUUGGUUUGGAAAAAGCUUCAUCGGCAAUAUAUGUAAAUAAAAGACUAAGAACUUCCAAUAAUUCAGAUUUGAUCGAAACUUCACAAACUUAUUUUCACUUUAAAAAAAUAAAAUGAAGUAAAAGAAAUUCUUGUGUUUUAAAAGAGAAACUGCCAGACAUGUUUCUAAGACAACUAGAAACCAAACUAGGCUUGAAGCAGUGAGUUUUGAAUUAUAAAAAAUACAUAAUUGUAAUUUCACCUAAAUCAAAUGAUGAAUUUCAUGACAACGGAUUUAGAUUAUAGACCAAUAAACUAAGAAUUGGAGGUUCAUCGCAUUUGUUCUUGAAAUUGUUUUGCGCAAAAAAGUUAACUAUUGUAUUAUGUUAUAUUGCAAUAUUUUAAUACAAGUGUAUUGUAUUAUACUGUAUUGCAUUAAAACUCAUUUAAUAUUAUACGACGUUUGAUGUUACACUGUACUAUAUUAAUUUUUAAUUAUACAUACACUAUAUUAUACUAUACUAUAUUAUUUCUUUGGUGGUUAAUUUCAAUUAUAUGUUUGGAAAUAAUAUUUAUUAGUAUUUAGCAAAAUAUAAAAUAUAGAACCUUAAAUUUUAGAAUAUUUACAUCAAUUUUUUUAGUAUAAAUGUAAAUAAUUAUAAUAAUUCUUCAUAGAGCUUAUGUAAAAAUAACAAAUUCUGAAUUUUUGAUAUCGUAACAUUAUUUUUUUUAACGGCGUUUUUCAAAUGUAUAACUUAUUGAUGAUGCACCAUAAAAAUAAAUAUCAAAUUUUGCGAUCAUGAUCAAGUCGAGUUUUACAUGAUGAAAGCAGCAUGACACAAAAAUUGAAAAAAAUAAUGGCCGGCAAAAAGUUAUAGAAGCAACAACAAAAGUGCUAAUUACUUGGAAAAUAAACAAUCAAGAGCCGCUGACAGAUAUGAGUCAUAUGACAAGGUAGAGGAAUACAUAUAUCUGCGUACAUUUUUAACAAAGAGAUGCACGUCCAAGAAUACAAAAAUGAUUCACAUACUAAUAUGCUAAUAACAGGCUUGAUAAAGCUACAACCUACAACAUUACACAAUUGUUGGCUUUGGCAUUAAAAAAUCAUCUUUGUAACCAACUGGGUAGCUAUAAAAUGAAUACUAAGUCAAUCAAAGGGGAAAGCUUGCUACAAGACUUUGAAGCAUUAUUCUGUUGCAUCACCUUCCUCCUCUGCCUCACUUGCUGCAUCCCAAAUUAAAGAACAACAAAUAUUAAAUAACAAAAACAAAAUCUUCAAUAGACUUUUCAUACUCCAUAGAGCAAAUCUAUGGGAAUCCACAAAAUAAUUGAAAUACAUCAAUCCUGCAGGUCAUAGUAACAAAUUACAGAUACACAAUCAUGCAUAUGCAACUAAAAAAUGCUUAUAUAUUACAGCCGCUUUUUGGCAUGACUACUUCAUAAGUUAUAUAUGAUAGAUAACAUUAUUAUUCUAAUCACAGGGUUAUGAUUUUAGUUGGACAUACAAAAGCUUCGUGCAUGAAUCUGUAUCAUGCCACCUUUCAUAAGUAAAAAAUUUAAAUCAAAUCAAUUUGGUUGAGCCUUCAAAUUCCUAUUCCAGUCAAAGGAGAUGAUUUUUCCAAAGGUAAAGAAUGGUCCGAUUACUUAAGCAUAUCAACCUUUUUUCUAGGCUAAAGUUUACCCCUUUCCAUUUCACUAACUCUCCUCACAUUACCUUGUGUCAACAUUUGCAUACUUGAUAUACUUUCACAACGGCUAAAAACUCAUUUAGUCCAUGUAUUUUAAGAUUAGUAUCUAUUUAAUCCAUGUAUUUUUAAAAAUAUCUCGAAACAUCUCUACCAUUAAAGUAUUAAUACCCCUACCGUUACUUUUUAUUUUUUUUCGCUUACUUUUACAAUAUUACCCUUUUAUAAUAAUAUUUUUGUUUGGACAUUAAUAAAAAAGAAAAUAAUUAAAUUACCAAUUUAACUCUAAAAAUAAAAAAAAUUAUAUUAAUUUUUAAUUGUCAAAAAUUGUAUAUUGUAUUUGUACCUUAUUUUACAUUAAAUUUGUUUCCAUCCGUUCGAUUUGAGAAAUGGCAAAUCCAAGAUCCAUAUCGUCAGGCUAUUUAUUUCUGCACUUGUAACAUAGGCGCUGCCAAAAUAAUCUCUCUUACACCUUAGUAAUUUGAUCAUUUCAAACUACACAGGUUGUUAAUCAAGGACUAAUUUGAUAUAAAUAAAUAUAUUAUGUUAUUAUUUAAAAGAAAUAAAAAGGUAGGGAUGUAAAUGUUACUAUACAUUCAGUUAUUACCAAUAAUCCCCUCUGACUAGCGAUUUUCUUUCUAUUUUUUUUUUUUAAUUGAAGCAAUUUACAAAUAUUUAAAAGUAUUAAGUACAACUUAGAAUUCUAUAUAGUUCAAAAAUCACCACAACUAGUGUCUAGCCAUCUAUUCAUGUAUUUAGGAUUAUAUAUACUCUUUCCGUAAUUAUGAAAGAGAAAAUAAAUUGUGGAGCCCACAUCUUAUUUUGAGGAGGGUUUCUAUCCUUUCUCACAAUAAGCCCACUUUACAGGGUCCAAUUACCCCAAAGCUACAGCCUCGGUGCUAUUUCUAUUUUUGAAUUAAUUUAUUUAUAAAGUUUCAGUCUUUAAAAAUAUAUGUUAAAAACAUAUAUAUAAGUUAUUAAAGAAAUUACAGUGAUAUAACCACAAAUAAUUUUAUAAAUUAUGACAGAAAAAAAUAAUAGGAUAAAAUAGACUCAAUUUCAAGUUAUAAUGUAUUUAAGUUGGAUUCGGUGAUUGAAGAUGUAGUUGCCAUUGUACAAACAAGAUAAGAUAUUGCUUUAUCGAAGCGGUUCGAAAAAUACAAGCCUGAAAAUAAUUGUUUUAUAGGAAAAAUAGAAGAUCUUAUUGAAUCAUACUCUGAAUUACAGAAUAACAAAUUUUUUCUUAAUAAAUCCACUCAUUAAAUUAAACUCAUAUAGAAAGGUUGUAAAAAGAUCCCAAACUAAUUAAAAUUUUUAAAAAUUACCCUACAUCAAAUUAUUUUUUUUGUACCAUAAAACAAAACGAUAGUCGCAAACUUAUUUUGUACUAGGAGUAAUGAUUAUGUACAAAAAUGGGCACAGAAAGGUCUUUGGCUCUACAGUCUACUCGGUGAUUCGUGAAAUGCUUUCAAAGGGGGGGCAAAAAGAAAAAAGAAAAAAGAAAAUAGAAAAUAGAAUAUAUUCUAAUUUUUUAAUUAAAAAAAAAACCCUACUAUGUACUUUUAUAAUAACUCCCUCGAGUGCAAUGUCUCAAAGGUUGUCUUCUUCGUCCCGCUGACAACCCAAAAGGCAGAAACGCAAUGUCGUCGAAUUCGAUGGAGUCAUUGAUUCUCCAACUCCACGAGAUCUCGGCGGUUAAAAUUCGGAAACUUUAAGCUAAAAUCCGGCAUAUCGUCUCCCGUUUACAUCGACCUCCGACUUAUCGUUUCUUACCCUUCCCUCCUCCGCCAAAUAUCCAAAACCAUCAUCUCCUCCCUCCCCUCCACAACCAAAUACGACCUCGUGUGCGGCGUUCCGUACACCGCCCUCCCAAUCGCCACCUGCGUCUCCGUCUCCAACGACGUCCCCAUGCUCAUGCGGCGCAAGGAAAUCAAAGACUACGGCACCGCCAAGGCCAUCGAAGGCAAUUUCAAGAAGGACGAAAUCUGUCUGAUCAUCGAAGAUUUAGUCACCAGCGGCGCGUCGGUCCUCGAAACAGCGGUGCCAUUGAGAGCGGCGGGGCUGGUGGUGACGGACGCCGUCGUAUUGAUCGACAGAGAGCAGGGAGGGAGGGAGAAUCUGAAGGAGAACGGAAUUGAGUUGCAUGCGAUGAUAAAGCUGAGCGAAAUGGUUAGGGUUUUGAGGGAGAAAGGGAAGCUUGAUGAGGAAACGGAGAGAGUGGUGAUGAAGUUUUUGGAGGAGAACAAGAAAGUGGCGGCUUCGAAUUUAGGUGGGGUUAGGGUUAGGGUUAAGGGUUUGAAGUACGAAGAGAGGGCGAAUUUGAUGAAGAAUGAGACUGGGAGAAAAUUGUUUCAAGUGAUGGUGAAGAAGGAGAGUAACUUGUGUUUGGCUGCUGAUGUUGCCACUGUUGCUGAGUUGCUUCAAAUUGCCGAGAAGGUUUCUUGUUUUAUGGUUAAUGGCUUAGCAAAUUUAGGAGGAGGAGUCAGCCAAAAUAAAGUAUUUUCUAUUGCAUUAACCUUUAUUAAUUGCAGAAGUUAAAAAAAAUUAAAACGAAUUAAAACAGUUCCAACUCAAAAUCAAUAGUUUAUAACUUAAGGAUGCCGUCCGGACUGAAUUCGGACCGGAUCCGAGCUAGUUUAGGGAUGUGCCGGUCUGGUCUCGGGCAUCAUUGGAGAAGUCCAAUGUCCUCCAAGUCCAAAGUCCAAAGUCCGGCCAAGAACUUAAAUUUUAUAGAAAAAAUAAUAAAUAUAUAUUAUUGUAAGUAAUUAUAUUUAUUUAGCUCGUCCAUUACAUAUAUUUAAAAUUUUAAACAUUUAUAUUUUGUGUCCAGUUUCAUUAAAAUAAGAUUUAAAAAUUAUAAAAUUAUGAAAUAAAUUUAUAAAAUAUAUACAUACAUAUAAUGUUAUAAAAUAUAAAAUCCAACCUUUCUAGGGUGAAAUAAAAAGCCUAGCCUAGCCCAAUGUGUCCAAAAAAUAUGUCUGAGUUGGAUCCAGGCAUUGCCUCACCCGAACUUGACCCCGAGUUUUGCCAUUACUCUAGAUCGUUAUAAAUAUUUCUAAAUUUCAGUCUAAUUUACUUGUGUGAUGUAAAAAUUACCUUUAUCACAUCUUUCAAAUAAAUAUUCAUAAAUUUCACCUAAAUUGUCACCCAAAAAAAGAGAAAAAACGUAUAGUUAAUUUUUCUACUUCUUUACUCCAUUAUUCAAUGGGAAUAUAAUAAAUUAGGAGAAAGGAGAAAUUAAGGAGAAAAUUAGAGUGCUUUUUCCAAUGGUAAAAACUCAUGCAAAUGCUUAUUUCAGAUGUAAGCGUGGCAUUCAUUAAUUUGACCAAAAAUAAGUGAAUUUAUUUAUAUUUUAAUCAAAAUCGAAAGAUAUAAACAAAAUUUUCCCACUCCAGAUAUUUAUCAUUUUCUCGUUAGAAAAAAAAAAUACAUAAAAUUAAGAAACCAGUAGGCACUGAAAGAGAGAAAGAAGAGAUCAAAAGAUCGAUUUGGAACUGAAAGAGAGCUUGAGCUGAUCAUUCAUGAUAAUAUUCUGCGUUUGCUAUGAUAGAGACAAAAGUUGGCUUUUUGUAUGGUUCCCCACUGACGGCGCCAAAUGUCGACGCCAAAAUUUGGACUAGUUAGUUACAGACUGGAUACCAAAUUUUGCGUUAGCAUUAAAUUUAUUUGUUGGGGAAGCGGCUUACCAAUCACCAAGGACGCCCUGCGAUCACUAGCAGAUAACUCGCAAACACUUGAAAUCAUAAAAAAUGGUAAGAGGCGCCAGAAGUUUUUUUCCGGCGUGAACCCUCCAACGUUCAAGUCAGUUAUCGGGUUUACAAGAAAAACAAAAUAUGCAAUUUCUAGUUUUUUUUAAUAAAUAAUCUUAAGUAAAUGUAAUAGAAAAAUCAAAAUUGAGAAAAAAAGUUGAACCUCCCUCUUUAUUCAUUCCCCUAGGGAUUUUUUUAUAAAGGUUUAAGUUUCCCCCCACUCUCCCCCCCCCCCCCCCCCCCUCCCCCCAAAUAUCUUAUAUCUUUGUGAUCAUAAUAUAGAUGAGAUAAAAUAUGAGCCCCCAAAAUGAUCCCAAUCAUGGAGGAGUCCUCCCUGGUUUGUUGCCCUAUUUUCCUAUUUGUUCUCCUCCACUCUCGAAAGUUAAGGAUGAGAUAAAAGUAACCUUUUCACUCUCCAUUUUUUUCCUCACCAAAUAGUUACGAAUUUAAAAUAUGAGUAUGAUUUAAUAAGAGAGAAUGAGAAUUGAUCAUGUCCCAAGAGACUGAAAAUAAAAGAUUACACAAAUUUGCAUGCAGGCAUAUCAUAUGUUAAUCUUAAUUUUUUGUUGUUCAAAUAAUAAAUUAAUUCCACUAAUCCUUUUUCUAAUUAUAUGGUGUGUAACACAUUGGCCACUUCUGAAUUAUGUUGCAUAUUUGUUAACUCAAAGAAAUAGUACACUUUUCUAUCAAUCUAACUCACUUUAUUAAUAUUCUUCAUCAUUAUGGUUAAUGGCUUAGUAAAUGUAGAUAAGGAGUCAGCCAAAAUGAAUUACUUUCUCUUGUACUAACCUUUGUUAAUUGUUGAAGUUAAAAAAAUUUUAAAAUAGUUCCAACUCAAAAUCAGUAGGCUGUAAGUAGAUUGUUAUAAAUAUUUCUAAAUUUCAGUCUAAUUUAAUUGUGGAUGCAUAAACUUGACUUUUUCACUUCUUUCAUAUAAAUGGAGGAUAGAACUAUUUAAACUCAUUAAACUACUUUUUAAAUUCAUGUACUCAUUAAACCCAUAAUGAAAAUUCAAAAAUCUUUGUUAUACUCACUGCACCUCUGAAUAUCACAAAUAUGAAUCAUUUGUCUUCACUUCUGUUUGUCUUCAACAUUCACAAAUUUUAUUUGAAUCUGCAAUAUUUUUACCACUGUUCAUUCAUUCAUUAGAGUUUCAAAUAAGAAUAUAGAGAUUAAAAAUAUCAUUAACGAAUUAUUUCUUUGUUUUCUAUAUGAUAUUCUUGGUUUGGAAAAAGCUUCAUUGGCAAUGUAUGUAAAUAAAAGACUAAGAACUUCCAAAGAUUUGAUGGAAACUUGUUAUACUUGUUUUCACUUUAAAAAAUAAAAGGAAAAUUAUUAUCUGUAUAUCAUAAAUUUGCACUUUUAUAAAAAAUACUACAACACUUUAAGCGUAUAUCAAUCGUCCACCCUAAAUUGAUAAAAGUUAUCUGCCGACCACUAAACCGUUAACUGCCGUUUGAAAGUUAACAGAACUGUAGCGAAUUGACGAUUUUACCCUUGAAAAUUAUCACUUGUAUACCCUUAAAUUAUCACUUGUAUCAUAUGAAAAACCAGAUUAUCCCUAUGACGUUAUCAUAUUUAAACAGCAACUAACAGUUUGAUUGACAGCAUAUACAUUUUGUCAACUUAUGGUGGACGACUGAUAUAUCUUGAAAGUGUUGUAGUAAAUUUGAUAACGGAGUAAAAUAAGGGUAUACGAUUGAUAAUUUCCCAAAAUAAAAUAAAUAAAACAAAAGAAAUUCUUGUGUUUUAAAAGAAAAAACUUCUAAGACAACUAGAAACCAAACUAGGUUUGACGUGGUGAGUUUUGGAUCAUAAAGAAUACAUAAUUGCAAUUUCACCUAAAUCAAAUAAUGAAUUUCAUGACAAUGGAUUUAGACUAUAGACCAGUAUACAUAGAAUUGGAUGUUCUUGGCAUUUGUUCUUGAAGUUGUUUUGCUCAAAAAAGUUAACUAUUGUCCUUAGGAGUAAUUUUGGUUAGGGAGAAUUUUGUAAUAAAAUUUUUAAUGAAUUUAUAUUUUUGGUGAGUAAAAUUAUGGGUUCAUAUAGACUCAUUCAUAAAUAAUUAUUCAUAAAUUGAACCAUUCUUUUAUGUUGAUGCACAACCUAACUUAACAAAAAUAAUGUUCAAAUUGUCAUAAAAUUUAAAAAAAAAUCAUUUAGCUAAUUUUUCUUCUACUUUACUCCAUUAUUCAAUGGGCAAAUUAUAAAUUAGGAGAGGGGAGAAAUAAUGGGGAAAAUUAGAGUGAUUGUCGCUAUGAUACACUGAUACAAAUGCUUGGGUGCACGCGCGUGCAGCGUUCUUUAAUUUGGCAAAAAGUAAAUGAAUUUAUUUGUAUUUUUAAUCAAAUUCAAGUGUCCAAACAAAUUUUUUCGGAAAAAGGAUAAAUACACCCAACGUUUAGGUAAAAGGAUAAAAACUCCCUUAACAUUUCAAAAAAAAUAUCUACACCCUAAUUCACUAACGAAAAUAAUAAUUUUUAACAGAAAUUAUUGUUAUACCCUUCUAACAUAUAAAAAAAUAUAUAUACAAGUUUAAUUUGUGGUAUUAAUACUAUAAAAUUUUAUUUAAAUUUUAAACUUAUAUAUUUAACAAUUCUUCACAUGUUAUCAUUUAAAUUUGUAUAUUUAUAACUAAUUUUAUAUGUUAUUUAUUAUGGUAUUUAAAAUUGAAAUACAAGUCAUUAAUAACCAAUUUUAUUUAUUUAUAUUCUUGAGUAAUGAAUUAAAUUUAUUUGGCUUGAGUAAUGAAUUUGAUAAAAAUUUAAAUAGAGAAAUUGAGUAAUGAGGGUAUAUUUAUAAUUUUAUUAAUAAUAUAUAAAUAAAUUAGAUAAUUAAUAUUUUUUUAUAUGCUAUAAAAAUAUAAUAAUAAUUUAUAUUAAAAAUUACUGUUUCUAUUAAUGAAUUAGGGUGUUUGAUAUUUUUUUUAAAAUGAUAAAAAAAAUUUGUCGUCUUACCUAAACGUUAGGAUUGUGUUUAUCCUUUUCCCAAUUUUUCCACUCCAGAGUCUAGACAUUUAUCAUUUUCUCGUUAAAAAAGAAAUUGCAUAAAAUUAAAAAAACAUCAGGCACUGAAAGAGAGAAACAAAGAAGAUGGAACCUAAAGAAGAAACCCUAGCAACAAUCCCAGAAGAAGAAGAAGAUGGAGACACGGUUAUUCCCGACGUUGAGAACAACCCUAAACCAACAACAAAAGACAACUCUUCGGACUCGAGCGAUGCCUCUGACUCGGACUCGGACUCUGAAUCAGAAGACGAAGCAAAACAGAGCAUGGAGCUUCAAACCCUACAGUAUCAACUAUCCAACGAACCCUCCAAUUACGACACCCAUGUUCAAGUAACUUCAAUACACAUAUUUAUUGAGUGAUUUUGUGGAUACCCGUUUGCUUGUUCUUCUUGGGUUGCGAUAAAAAUGGUUUUUAUUUUUAUUUUUUCAGUAUAUAAAGGUUUUGAGAAAAAUGGGUGAGAUAGAGAAGUUGAGACAAGCUAGGGAAGCCAUGAAUGAGAUUUUUCCAUUGACUCCUGCUAUGUGGCAAGAAUGGGCGAGAGAUGAAGCCUCUAUUUCAACUGGGUAUCUGUCAUUUCCUUUUUGCAGUGGUUUUUUAUUUCGAGAACAAAUGUUUUUUCACUUAGAGAUAUGGAUGUUUAUGCUAGUUAUUUGCUAAUGUAAAAAGGAACAAAACCUGCUUAAAAGGUAUUAAAGAAAGAAAAAAAAAAGAACCAAUUUGAAGAAGGGGAUACUUAUGGUGGGAGUUCUAUUCUUUGGGGUUUAAUUGAUGGGAAGAAGAAAUAGCUUAUAUGUUUACAGAAUUAGACAUUUGAUCGCGGAGUUAGUUGAGGAAGAUAAUUAAUCACAAUGUCUGAUGUUUUUUCUGUUGGCUCAGCUAAUUGUUAAGAUUUCAUACUUUUUUCUGGUUUUACAUAGCUGUGACCUAAAGCUUAUUGUAUAUAUUGAUAAUUACACAAUCCGUUUCUUGCUGAUACUUGGCUUUAAUUUGUAGACCUGAGGCUCUUUUGGGAGUUGAGAAGAUUUACGAAAGAGGAGUUUCUGAUUAUCUGGUUUGUUCCCUUUAUGCUUACAGAAUUUGAAUUAACACUAUGCAUGAAUUUAUGAUUCUUUUUAUUUUUUAUUUUUUGAGAAAGAUUUUAUGAAAUUGAAGCAUUGUAGUAAAGCCUAGUUGUAAUCUUGAUUCACUUUGUUUUUAUUUUAUUACCAAGAGGUGCUAACAGUUCAUGAUGCACAAAAGAUUGGGGGGGGGGGGGGGGGGGAGGUUGGGGGAAUCUUCUUGGUACAUACAUAAAUUUUAGUAUCUGUAUCAUUUUCAACCAAAAAAAUAAUUUUACAGUGGCUGAAGAGCAGCAUUUUCAUUUAUAUGAAAGUUCAAUUGUUAUAUCAUCUGUUUCCGUCUCCUUUGUGGUAAAUAAAGUCCUUGAUGAUGGCAAUAAGAAUCACAGAAGAAGUUGUUAAUUUCAUAUCUGGAGAUUUUCAUCAUAGCAGUUCAUUGAAAGUGAAGGCAGCUGAAAACACUUUUUUCUGAUGCAGUCUGUCCCUCUUUGGUGUGAUUAUUUGAAAUUUGUGCAAGAAUAUGAUCCAUCUAUACGCGAAUUUUUACCCGAUGGCAUUUCAAAGGCAAGGAAUCUAUUUGAGCGGGCUAUUACUGCUGCUGGUCUGCAUGUUUCAGAAGGCAGUAAAAUAUGGGAAUUGUACAGAGAAUUUGAGCUAGCUAUAUUUUGUAGGAUUGAUGAGACUAACUUGAAGGUGAGAUAUUUCAAUUUAUUUUACUUUUUUCUUUGGGGGGGUUAAAUAACGAGUUUAUUACCAUCUAAAGAAAGAAAAAGGGAAGGGACUUUUUUUUUCUUUGGGGGGGGGGGGAGGGGGGGUUGCAACCCUAGCACUUGAGAAGCAUUCCAAGACCCUUGCUGCUUGUUUUGCAGGAAAAGGAAAAACAGGUUCAGCGGAUUCGAAGUAUAUUUCAUCGCCAGUUGUCUGUUCCCCUUGCUAACUCAAGUGCAACUCUUCUUGCCUACAAGUCUUGGGAGGUCGAACAGGGGGCUGUUCUUGAUGUUGAAUCUAGUAAUCUAGACGGAAUUUCUUCUAAUGUUGCCUUAGCAUACCAAAAGGCAUUGGAGAUGUGUAAUGCACGAGCUCAUUUUGAAGAGCAGAUUUCCAGGCAGGAUUUAUCUGACUCAGAGAAAUUUCAGCAAUAUUUGGUAGAUGAAUUUACUAUCAUCAUUUGAUAGCUUUUUAUAAUAAGUAAAAUCUAGCUGUAAAAAUUUUAUUAAUUUCAACUUCUUCUUUUUUGGUGGAUUUCUUCUUAUGGCAUUAGUAUUUUGGUUUUGUGUAGCUUACAAAU